rnacentral:lncRNA from 1 species
UUUUUUUUUUUUUUAAGGUGAAUGCAGAAUUUGGCAUUGAAUCUCACUUAAAUUAACUUAUACUCUCUUGAGAAGACAUUGGUGUGUGUAGAAUUUGUGGUUUGGGUUAAAUUUUUUAUAAAAAAAAUCAUGUUUUUGUUGAUGAAGCAAAGAAUUUUGGUAUGUGCAUGCCAGCUUGUAGCAAAUGAGAUCUGGAAAAAAUAGAGUAAAGAUUUAAGAUUUAGAAGUUUUUCAAUUGUGUACUCAAUUAUGUUCCCUUUACUGAAAAGCUUUACCUAUUUUGAGCCUCCCAAUCUUAAAGAUGAGAGUACUUUAAUCUCCAAUAACAAGCUAGUGCCAACACCAUCUCUUGUCUCCUCAUAACACAAACGCUCCUCCUUCUACUAUUCUUUUUUUAAUGCAUUUUCAACCCUUUCUCUUUUUCACAAAAAAAAAAAAUUCACUCUUAUAUAUUUUUAUUUCGAGGUUAAUUUCAAUUUAACAAGAAGGAAAACUUCAUCACAAAACAAGACUAAUACCUUAAAUUUUAAUAAUCAUCCGUCAUCACUUGAACAGUGGAAUAAGACUUUAAGUAUAACAAAAUUCUCCCUUUGAGAAUUUAACUGUGCUAAGUCAAACUCAAAGUUAUUUCGGUUUAAUUGGAAUAAUUUCAUGUCAAUUGAUUCACACGAGUGGUGGUAAAUUAAUGAAAUUUUCCUUAUCCGUCUCUAAUUUAUUUAUAUAAAAUGUAUAAUUUAAAAAAAAAUAGUAAUGCAUAUUUGUUUUUGACAAGGAAGUGAGCCUUUUUUUAUUAUAUUAUUUAGAUUUUCAAUCAAGAGGUGCAAAAGCAAAAUAGUUUUCGUGGAAUUCCUAAAGAAAUAUCUUUAUUACUAAAGCAGACAAGUUUAAAGCCACAGCAGUUAAAAGAAACAAAAAAAGUGUUACACAUUUUUAUUGUUGGAUCGUGUGUUAGGACAAAAGUAGUGAAUGAAUGAGAACUAUAAACAUUCAUUCACUUUUUUAAGUCCAAACUUGCCUAUGUUAUAAAGGAUAACUCACGUGUUAUAGUUCUAACUAUUAAUUUAUGAUGAAAAUCUCACAUCGACUAGAGAUUAGAAUAUUUAUAGUAUAUACGUGGGUGCAAACCUCAGUUUAAAAGUCGAUUUUAUAAGAUUAAGUUAGACUUAGUUUACUUCUUAAUAUGGUAUCAGAGUCAUUUUGAGUUUAUCUUAACGAAUGUUUGUUGAUCUUAUCAGGUCACCCGACUGUUAUUUCAUAUAUAUAUAUAUGCAAAUCUCACUUAAAAGUCAAUUUUAUAAGAUUGAAUUAGACUUCUUAAUAAGUUAUGUAGUGUUUUGAUUACUAGACUAACAAUCUUCAUCAUAUAUCAUGAAAGUUUUGACACUAGGUAAAAGAAUUUGGUCCAUGACUCACGAGUUUUCCAUAGCUUGAUGACAUCUCCCAUCUUGAACUUUUCAUGUUAGUUCAAAGUCUCCAUCAAUGCAAGCAAUGAAUGGUGGUAAAAGUAGAUAGUGGACAGAAGGAAGAUUUCCAAGUAAGCUUGCAUAAAAGUUGAAUUUUAUAGGGGGACACACAUAGUGGUGCACAAUGAAUGUACUCAUUAUAACCUAUGCAUGGUCAUCUACCUCAGUAAACCUCAAGUUUAUCUUCUUCAGCCUCUGAUGUAUGUUAGGUGCACCUUUCACUUUGCAAUUAAUAUCAUAUUACUGUUGUUUUGAGAAUCAAAGCUGCAAAUAUUUGCACAACUUAUAGAGAUGGAGAAACGAGAAAGUCAUAUCAUAUACCAAUAAAAUAAGAUGAUGAGUGAGAUGUAAUUGGAGUCCACUAAGACCCUAGCUAACUGACAAAACAAAACAUAUGCAAAAGUAAAAAUUAUGCUUAUAGUUCAUCACAUUGAGACUUAAUAAACAAUGGGCUUACCUCUGUUAUGUUUCCUAAGAUUCCUUUUGGGGAAGAUCAUGACUUUAACUUCUGUAUUUUGAUAUUCUAAAUGUCUGCUAAACAGAUGAAGUUUUUUGUUAAGAGUGAACUUUAAGCCUAACUCAACUUCAUAAAAUCGGCUUAUAAGAUGAGGUUAUAAGGUGAUGUAGGAUCUUACACCGGCUACUAACUCGUCAUGUGUGGAAAUAUAUGUUAUGCAUGAUCUGAUAACGAUCCGAUAGUGGUUGACAAGAUAAAUCCAAUAAGCUCUCGCUACGAUAGACUUUAAAUGGUUCUGAUACCAUGUUAAGGAGUGGACAACCUAACUCAACUCCAUAAAACAAGCUUAUAAGGUGAGGUUUGCAUUCACUUAUAAGGUGAUGUGGGAUUCCAACAGUUUUAGAAGGUUAUUUUUCACCUAAAUGGGUAAAAGAGAAGCUUUGUUACCAUUAUUAUUUAUCAUUAUGCUUUAGACCAGGUUUAUAGCCUUUAGACUUGUUUUUUUUCAUGUGUAUAGAUAAAUAAAACUCUUCUUUGGGUGGGGUUAGAACAACUUUGAUUAGUGGCAAGCAAGAAAACAACAAAAAAAAGGAAGGUUAGAACGAAAAGCUUACUUACUUUUUGUUGUCAAUUCUAAUUUGAAAUCCCUGCUAAGUUCCAUAGAUUAAUUAUCAUAUCCCGGGUACAAGAAAGAAGAGGCAAAUACCAAUAAACUUCAGUUCCUUUUACAAGUGCAGUUCUUGGUGAUUUCCAUUUUUUUUCUUGAGUUCCUUUUAGUGGGAAAAAAUUGAAAGAACUUUAAUUUGAGGUUAAUGGUUAUCCAUCAAUCAUGCAGAAAAUCAUAAACAAAUGAAUGUGAAAAGAUUUGUUUUUACAAACUAAGGUUAUUCUUCAUUGUUUCAGUGAUAUUUCUUUUGUGGUUAUUUUUUGGCCAUUUCUCACUCUAUGUGAGAGUGAAGAGCUCUCUCUUGUAGUUGUGCAGCUUAGAAAUGGAUGAUUGUGUUAUUCUAUGCUUUGAUUCUCUGUGCUCAUAAAGGUUUCCUUCUUUUGUCCUUGUCUUUGUCUCUCACCUUUUCAUGGAUACCCUUCUAGACUGUUGCAGCAUCACUAUAUAUACAUUGCAAUGCAUAUUCACACGUUUCAUUCCAACUCUACCAUACCCUUUUGGGUGUAAAGGGGCAUCACCAUCCUACAUUUUCUUCAUAUUCAUUGCAGUUGUAGUAGCUGGGGUGCUUCUGCUUCACCAAUUACUUCAAACAGUAAAAUGAGUCAUGCAAUGGGCUCUGGUUUGUUCUUUUUCUCCACUUCAUAGUCCUUUAUCCUUCCUUGCAUCUACUAUGAAUUAGUCUUUAGAUUUCUAUCACUUGAUUAUAGGACCUUCUCUGUUCUGUUUUUAUCUGUUAUGUAAACCAUUUGGUAUACUAUUUUCCUCUGGUUUCCUGCAUUACUCACUAUCUCCAAACUGAAUAUGCCAUUGACUACUAUGUUUUCUUUCUUAAAAUUGCAGGCAGUAGAACCACUCUAAGAACUUUUGAGUUUGGAAAGACAUAUGUAGUGAGACCCAAAGGAAAACACCAAGCCACUAUAAUUUGGUUGCAUGGUCUUGGUGACAAUGGUUUGAGGUAUGGAUGCCAUCAUAGGCCAUUCUAAUGUUGUCACAACAAUUACUUGUUCAUUGUCCUAUAUUUGCUUUUCUUCUUGGUGGAUCCUUUCACUUCUCUUUUCCUUUCUACCUCUCAUUAUAAUCUUUAAUGUUCUCUGAUGAGUGUUAAUAUGUUGACAACCUUGUACCAGAUUACAAUUCACACAACUGUACCAGAUUAAAGCUGUCAAAAGAAACUAUUUUUGUUGAAAUGCAGCAAUUUUGUAUUGACAUUUGGACUCUGGUGUAGGAUUAUUGACAUAUGAGCACUCUUUUUAAUAUUAUACCUUUUUCUUCACCCAACCUCUCUUUUUCCUUUUCUUUUUCACUAUUCUCUCUAGUGGCACAUGUGAAUGAAUUAUUUCAUGUUGAAUUUUCACACAAUUCAACACGUGAAAUGUUUUUGCCUAUUUCUAUAUAUAGACUCUAAAUAUGUGGGUCAUGAAUCAUAAUUAACAUUGGUUGACAUCAUGAGUACUAAGAUAGACACAAAUUUUUCACAUGACCAUGUCUCAUGAAAAUGCAACAUUAGAAUAUUCAUUGCUGAAUCCCCACUCCCAUCCUCCACCUUCACAAUCUCAACUUCCAUCAAGCUCUCAUCAAGGAGUUUAAAGGCUGGAUCCAGCUUUCACUUCUUUCCAAUCUAAAACCUUUGUACUAUUCUUUUUCUUUUUUGACAGGAUAAUGUAUUACAUGAAUCAAAACUGGUACAUUCUAGUAAUGCUCAUUACAGUGUUUACUAUGUUCAUGAAAACACCAUUGAGUUUGAACAUUUCAAAACAGUGUCAUGCUAAAGUGGGGGAAGUUUUAAACUUCCUGUGUUACACAUUCCUUUUCCAUGCAUGGUUGAGUGCUUUAUUCUAACAAUGUUAUCAAGCAAACCUUGGCUCCUAAUGGAUGUGUUAUAUUUACUUUCUUAUAUAAAACUUUCAUAUCAUUAAACUUUCAUAUUCGACAUCACUAUGUAACGCGGCAUCACUAAACUUUCUUAUUCGACAUCACUUUUCAUAUUCGACAUCAUUAUGCAACGUGACAUCACUAAACUUUCAUAUUCGACAUCACUAUGCAACGCGACAUCACUAAACUUUCAUAUCCGGCGUCACUAUGCAACAAUUGUGUUAUAUUUACUUAUCAGUGACAUUCUUAUCUGAUCUUAAGCUUUGUUUAUUGUAGCUCAUCUCAGCUUUUGGAAUCCCUUCCACUCCCAAAUGUAAGAACUUUAUACAUUGAAUCAGUUUGAGGUUAACUUGAUUCAAUUAGUUUGUUUUUGCGCCAAUAUUUCCAAAUCCAAUUGACAUGAUGCAGAUAAAAUGGAUUUGUCCAACUGCCCCCACCCGUCCUGUGGCCAUACUUGGUGGUUUUCCAUGCACAGCAUGUAUGACAUACAUAAACUUUUCUGUUGCUACCCUUUUUGAAUCAAAUCAUCACUAUGUAAUCUGAGACUUUUGUAGUCAUGAAAAAGAACUGUAAUUUGCUUAGUGGGUCAUUAAUCAGGGUUUGAUGUGGGAGAACUUUCAGAAGAUGGCCCAGAUGAUUGGGAGGGUUUGGAUGCCUCAGCAACUCACAUUGCUAACUUGUUGUCAACAGAGCCUGCUGAUGGUAAACUCUCAAGACCAUAUAACAUCAAUUUAGACAUCAAGUUUUUUUGCAAUUUUACAAUGUCCCACAACAUCAUUUCCGUUUUAUGAUUAGUUAAGAAAAUUGAUUAAUCUCUGUUUUAUUAAUAACGUCCAUUUAUCUUUAACUUUGAAAUAGGUUUCUUUUUUCUUUAAACAUAUAUAGAGUUCCUAGAUAGAUAUUAGAGCAUUUUAUAACAUAUAAGUGAAUGGAAACUUCAUUUUAUAAGUCGGUUUUAUAAGAUUGAGUUAGUUUUAAAAUUCACUUCUUAAUAUGGUAUAAGAGUCAUUUAGAUUUAUAAUCUAUCCUAACGAGAGUUUGUUGAACUUAUCAUACCACUUAUUAUUGAACCAUACAUAAAUAUAUAGUAUUAUGCAUGAGUUAAUCUUAAUGUAAAAAGUGCUAUCAGAGUCAUUUAAAUUUAUUGUCUAUCAUGACGAGAGAGUUGGUUAGACUUAUCAGAUCACUUAUUAUUGAGUUAAGUUUGUUAGACUUAUCAGAUCACUUGUUAUUGAACCAUGCAUAAAUAUAUAGUCUUACACACAAAUUAGACUUGAUCUAUUGAACCAUGCAUAAAUAUAUAGUCUUACACACGAAUUAGACUUGUUAGAUCACUUGUUAUUGAACCUUGCUAAUUAGACUUAUUAGAUCACCAUAGUCAUACACAAGAAUUAGACUUAUCAGAUGAACCAUUAUGCAUAAAUAUAGUCUUAAUUUUUAAAGUAAGAAGUGUGUUAGAAAUAUAGAGAUUAAAAUAUAUAAUUGAAUGGAAAACUUUAUAAUUUUGUAAGGUUAGGUUGAGAUACGUUUGAAAGAUUUAUUUUGUUAAACAAUGAAUAAUUAUGUGAUAGUGAAAGUUGCUAUUGGAGGCUUCAGCAUGGGUGCAGCAAUAGCCCUAUACUCUGCAACUUGUUUUGCCAUAGGAAGGUAUGGAAAUGACAUUCCCUACCCUGUCAAUCUAAGAACAGUGGUUGGACUCAGUGGUUGGCUUCCCGGAUCAAGGUAUGCUCUAAAACUAUUUCUUUCACUCAUUUCACAGUUUCCUAACAAUUCCACAACACUCCACACACUAAUUCACAUGCUACUUCUAGGACCUUAAGGAACAAGAUAGAAGUAUCACAUGAAGCAACACGAAGAGCAACUUCAUUGCCCAUUUUGCUGUGCCAUGGAAUCAGUAUGCAUCAUUAAACCAACAAGUUCAGUCAUUUUUCUUGCUGGAUUCCAAUGUUCUUGCUUUGUACCAUUUGUAGGUGAUGAUGUAAUCCUUUACAAAUAUGGUGAAAAAUCAGCUCAAUCUUUAUGCUCUGCAGGGUUUCGAUAUGUUGCAUUCAAAUCCUAUGAAGGGUAAUGAAAUCAUCCCUCUAAUUGCUCUAAUUGGUGAUGAAUUAGUUGAAGAAUGUGUUCAUCUUUUGUGUCUGUGAUGUGUGCAGGCUUGGUCAUUACACAAUUCCCAGAGAGAUGGAUGAGGUUUGCACUUGGCUUAGUUCAAGGUUGGGCCUUGAAGGCUCCUCAUAAGUCACUUAGUAAAUAUUAUUUCUCACAUUUUAUUUUCUCAGCCCUUUUUGUAAUGUUCCUCAACAAUAUAAUAUAUGUAUUUCCCACAUUAUAUUUCUACUUUUGUUUAUUAUUCUAAUUAAGAGAUUAUAACAAUAACAAGUUUUAUUUAUAUAAACAUAGGAUAUAGUUAAUAUUGUAAAUUUAAGGCGAAUUGAACAUAGUUGAAGGAUAAUAGCAGCUUAUUUAAAAAGUGAUGCUGCAAAAAGUGAUGUGGUGUAGAUAGUAACUAAUUUCUGUGAUGGGCUUCAUCGUUCUGGCCCAGCCCAAGAGUUUGCUUCACGGCUUCUGUUGCACCUUGGGCCGCGCCCUUCACCUUCUCCCCUGUCUGCUGCAGGAAGCCUUGGGUGUUGUCCUUCCCUGAUUGGGCCGAUUCCUUCGUUGACUGGCCCAUCUGUGAGGCCUUCCCUUGAGCAGCAUCUUUGUUCUGUUGGGUCUUCUCCUUUGCCGCUUGGGAAGUGUCGGAAGUUUUGUCCUUCACAGCAUGGGCCGUUUGUUGGGCCUUAUCCUUCGCAGAUUGGGCCAUAUCCUGGGCCUUGUCCUUUGCAGCUUGGGCCUUAUCCCCAAUAUUGCCCACAGUCUGCUUGGUCUUUUCCUAGAUCACCAAACAAAAACAGAUUAUAUAAAGUCUCUUCCUGCACCUCUACACUUUUCUUCUUGCACCCCUACAUUCUUCAAAAAUACCAAAAUUAUCCUUUAGAUGUUUUAGAUGUUUCCAGAAUAGUGGUUCUAUAAGCCAAAGAUGUUCCAGAAUAUAUCUUUUCCAUAACACAUUUUUUUUAGUACCGGAACACAUUACACUCUGAAAGUCAUUUUUCUAAAGGGGGCAAAACAGUCUUUUCUGAAAGUGAAGGGUGAAAGUGAGGGGGUGCAGGAAGAAAUUUGUAGAGGUGCAGGAAGAAGUUGCCUAAAAGAAACAUACAGACCCAGUUUAAAAUAUUAAUUAUAAAUUAAAAAAGGCCUAAAACAAUAUUAAAUAUACAAUUUUUUUUUUUUGAACAUUGGAAGCAUGAAUGGUAGAGAAAAAAAGAUGAAAAAUGGUUGAUACCUCAGUUCGGCCCUUGGUUUCACCAGCACCGUAGCUUUGGUUAUGGGAUGCCAUGUUUUCUUCAAUCUCUAUCUUUUUUUCUUUUUUUUUUCAACUCACUUUUGACUGUGUUUGAGUUGCUUUCUUUUCUGUCUAUUUAUAGCGCUUCGUGCCUUUUGUGGUACUGACACGUGUCCAUCUUCGUGACACGUCUAAGGCACGUGCCACUCUUAAAAUCGAGUGCCUUUUACUACCUUUCCAUGCAGGGAAUGAGCCUGUGGAUUUUCGCCACGUGCUACAAUCUCAAAGAAGACAGAUAAGGAACAGAGAAUAGAGACAAAAAUGUUUUAUUUUAAAUAAGUCGGAUCAUACUCGAACACACCUUUAAAUUAUGUGUUUAUCGGACACGACAUUCGUAGAUAUAUAUAAAACAUGUGAAAUUCAAAAAGUAUUUGUUAGAUUUAUAAUAAUUGUAGUACGGUUCUAACAUAAUUAUAAAAUUGAAAAAUAUAUUAAUUUUUUAAAAUUUAAAUUUUAUUGUAUAAAUUGUUAUUAUGAUUAUAAAAAUAAAAAACAAAUUUUUAUGAAUCCAUCAUGAAAACAUCUUUUUUUCCAAAAAAUAAUCUGAAGCAUACUUGUGCACAUAAAUCCUUAUUGUCAAUUUAUAUAAUUCAUAAUUAUAUAAUAUAUAGAUUUGUGUUCCGUAUCCUACAUUUUAGAGACUUUACGUAUCUUGUAUCCGUGUCGUAUCAGUGUUUGUGUUUGUAUUCCAAAGGUCAUAUCUCAUAUCAAUUACAGAUAUUUUAUAAUAUAUAAGAAAGUAAAAAUUCAUCUAAUUUUACAAGAUUGAAUUAAUUUAAAAUUUACUUUUUAACAUGAUAUCAUAAAUCAGAGUUUGUUGAUGUUGUGAGAUUAUUCAUUAUCAAACUACUUAUAAAUAUAUAAUUUUAUUUAUGAAUUUAAGACUCUCGAAGAGUGUGUUAGAGAUUUUACAUUGAUUAAUUAAGGAUAAAAGCAUUUUAUAUCACCUUAUAAAUUAAUUUUACAGAUUAAAUUAAAAUUAAAAAUUUUCUUCUUAAUACCUCUUAUACAUGUAUGUUAGUAUGAAAAUAAAUAGAAAUUUUGAUUUAAAAUAAAUAAUAUAUAGAAAUUAUACUUUAAUAAUAAUAUAUAGAAAUUUAUUUAAAAUAAAUAAAUAUAAAAUAUGAGACUUUCUAUUUAUUUAUUAAAAAUUAUUAACUUGUAAAAUAUACACAUUUAUAAUUCGGUCAAAGGAAAAUAUCACAGAUAAAUGGUAGAAAAUGAAUUAAUCAAACUGCUCUUUUGCUUGAGUUAAUGAGUCUGAUAUGAAUAAAUUUCGUGCUUAUCUUUAAUUGUGCAACUAAGCUUAAAAUGCCGGAAUUUAAUUUAAAGCUUAGUUAAAUUUUAAGUUCACAAUAAAUUUAGAUACUUUUAAUCACAUUCUUUUAAAAAAUUAUUCUAUUGAAUAUUUAAAUUUUGUAUAGUUAGUUGAAUUUGUUGUGCAUCGUUAUUAAUUACAUUUCUAUAUGUAAAAAGUAAAAAAUAGUUUAAUUAAAUUUUAACUUCUUUCAUAAAUGUAAGUAUUUUUAAUUAAGUUAUUGUGAAAAAAUGUGUUCUAUUAUAUUGAAUGCUCAAAAUUUUAAUAUUCAAUUAAAUCUGUACCUUCAAUUGGUUAAUAUAACCAUUUGAUUUUAGAGUUUCGAAUAAAAUACCAUAAAUUUGAACAACAAGACAAAUAAAAUUCAGAACCCUAAUUAUUUAUAUAAAAAUAGUAUAACUUGAUUUUAUAAAUUAAAUAAUAAAACAAAAUUCAAAUCAAGACAUAAAAUAAAAACAAUGAGGAUUUUGGAUUUUUUUUUUCAGUAUUUUACCAGAGAUUAUAAAAUUAAACUAUUCAUCUCCAAUUAAUGAUAGAAAUGUUAUUAUUAGUAAAAUAGUUUUUAAUAUUUAUACAAAAAGAAAAUUAUUGCAUUUUUCAUAAAAGUAUAUAAUUUUAUGACAAAAAGUAUAUUCAAAUUAUAAUUGUCUGUAUAAAUUUUUAUUGACGACAUUAAAUUUAAUUUCAAAAGUAAAUAUAUAAUUAAAUACAUAAUAUGCUGUUUGAUAUUCUCAUUUAAAAAAAUCAAUAUUUUUUUUUCAAAACAUGUCCAUUAAAGGUAUCCUAAGGAAAAAAAAAUGUAUUUCUUCAUUCUAAUGAAGCAACCUACUCUUUCAAUAAACAAUGGCUUUGGAAUUGAAAAAUAAUUAAUUCAAUAACAAGUUAGACAGAAAACAGUGAAUUUGAUAAGGUUAAAUAAUCUGUAUUAGUUUAUGAUUCAGAAUUUGUUUGUGUUCUACAGCAUUUAUUAAAUAAUCUGGGAUGAUUUGUAUUAUGAGAAAUGCUUGUCUUAACCGAUAUGGAAAAAUUAGGUAAAAUUAUGUAUUAUUUUGAAAAAAAUCAUGUGGUGGUGAUAAAUUUGUUAAUUUAUCUAUAUUCAUAAAACGUAUUUUUAUUAUUUUUUUUAGAGUUAUUUAUUAAUAAAUAUAAAUUAAUUAUAUAUAUUUUUGUUGAUAUAUGUAUUUUUGUCUAAUUUUCUAUUUUAUUGUAUUUUUUUUAAAUUUGUUUCAUGAAGUUGCAGAUGAUUGUUAAUUAAUGUGUAGCUCAGGUGUAAAGUUUCGUAAUAAAUGAGAGUAAUAUUUUUUUUUCAUGUGGUAGCGGAAAAUUGUUAAUUGAUGUUUGAGUCUAGUUGAGAUGUCAAGCUUUUAAAAAAAAUAGUAAAAAUAUAAGAUGAUUACAUAACUAAACUUGAUCAGUGUAAAAAAUUGUGUUGCUGUGAUAAUUUAUUUUCACAAAUGAAACAUUUAUUAAAUUUGCAUUUACCGAUUUACAGUAACAUUAGGGUAUUGCUGCGUGAUGAAAAAAAGAAUUAUGAAUUAGGAAGUAAGAAGAAGAAGAAGAAGAAGAAGAGAAGGUGAAGUGUUUGUUUGUGUUGCAGUGGUUUUCGAGUGAGGGUCAGAGAAGAAAGAUAAAGAAAGAAGAGAGAGGAAAUCGGAAUCGGUGGGUCUAAGAGUAUUGAAGAGAAGAACAAAGAAUCAAUUGAAUCGAAAAUGUCUCUAACCAGCGUCAAAAUGUCGGAAGAAGUGUGGUUGAGUUGCGUCACUCAUGCAUUGUCCACUGAGACCGAAGAGAUUAUGGGUCUUCUUCUUGGGGACGUUCAGGUAAUUUAACCUAACAUCGCUUUUUUCUGUUAUCAAGUCAAUUGAAGAUAAACGCAGCACGAACUUUGAUUGAUUAUUGUGAUGGAUUGAUUCAGCAUUCGAAAAACGGGAACGUCACGGCAUUGAUUUGGGGAGCGUCGCCGCAGACGAGGUCUGAUCGGCGGAAGGAUCGAGUGGAAACCAACCCUGAGCAGUUGGCGGCGGCUUCUGCCAUGGCUGACAGAAUGACCACCGCCACUGGAACUACCACAAGGGUAAUUGGUUGGUACCAUUCGCACCCGCACAUUACAGUUCUCCCUUCCCAUGUUGAUGUACGCACCCAGGCAAUGUAUCAGCUUCUUGACUCGGGAUUUAUUGGCUUGAUUUUUUCCUGUUACAGUGAAGAUGUAAACAAGGUUUGUCUUCAAUGCAUGGCCAAAACAUUCUUCAAUUCUAGAUUUUCGUUAAGUUUAUCGUCGUGUACCUUUGGACUGUGUUCAGGUAGGCAGAAUUCAAGUAAUUGCUUUCCAGUCAUCUGAUGGGAAGCAGAAUCACAUACCGAGACCUAUACCGUUGUCUCCUAUAAAUAGAAGCCCUGUUAUUGAUAUUGAUUCAUCGCCAAGUUCCUCAGAGAAUUUAUCAAUACGACCUGGUUACUUCAAGGCAGAGAACUCUGUGCAGGACACCGGUGAUUCAACAGGUGUUGGUGCUAGUAAGGUAUAAUUUUUCAUAUCUCAACAUGAUUUAAACUUUGGUAUGCUGUGCUGGUGGUUGGUCGUAGAAUAGAUGGUGGUAUUUAGAAUGCUUAUUAUGCUUGAAUGUAAAAUUAAAAAAAUGAUGCAGCUUACAGACAUUGUAAUUUCUUUAUUUGUUUUCUGCUUUUCAGUCCCAAGUUUAAACCAAUCUCUAGAUGAUUUGAAAAGGCUAAAAUACCAACAUGACCGAAUGGUUUUUAGUGUCCACCUCCAUUGGUGUUUUUGUGGUGUAUUCAUUCAUAUCAUGACAAAGUUUUCGAUGCAAGAUACUUGAACCAACAAGCUUUAGAAUCCCAUUUUCUUUUCAGAAUAUGAAAUGAAGCUAUUGGAUUCAGUGUUUGGAACUGGGACUAAAUGGGUAGUAGGAUCCAUUGAUGGAUUGGAGUCAGUUAGUAUUAGGAAUAUACGUAGUAGUAAUUCUGCAUUGGUUCUGUAUUAGAAACUGCAUGAUUGCAGUUAUUCAUAGAAAAUAUUAGAUUUAAGUGGGUUAGGAAGGAUCUACUGAUGGGUUGGAGGCAGAUGGUAUUAGGUGUAUGUAUACAUGGGAUAUAAAAUAACUUAUGUUGUAUUAGUAAUUCUGCAUUAGUUCUGUAUGGGAAACUGUUUAGUGGCUGGUAUCAUAGAAAUUAGCAGUUGUCAGUUACGUAUUAAAAUUAUAUCUAGUAAUAGUGGGUGUGUAUUAAGAAAGUGUACUGUUAUUUGCAGCUUGUGAGCAGGGAGCACUCUCUAUUAGAGACUUUUGUCUCUGGGACAACAAGAAAACUGUUGUAUUGUGUAUGAUUAAGCCACUCGAUAUUGUAUUUUAUCAUUUUGUGUUUUAUCAUAGAACCACCCUUGGCAUGAGUCCAAUCUGCAUUUCUUUUCUGAAAAUUGUUUUACUUGAAGUUUCCUAUUAUGACUGGUUCUUGUGUAUACCUUUUGUUGAUAUGGCAGAUUAUGAUAAAACAUGAACUCUCGGUCCUAUCAAUAAAACUAGUUUUUUUUUUCUGUACUGGAUAAAAUUACUGCAGUGUGUUUUCUUUUUUUUAGGACUUAUACAAUUAUAUAUUUUUGCUAGGACGGGGGGAGAUCAGACUUGGGGAAUUUCUUUGCUAAUGCUGAUGCCAACUACCAUCCCAAAAAUUCAGACGCUAAUAUAGUUGAUGUUGAUCCCAUGGAUAUGUCAGAAAGUAUGCAAGAGGCCAUGCAUCGUUCAAAUUUGGAAAUGAGGUACAGAAUAUUGACAAGUGUGAAAUGCACCACUAAUAUUUUUUUCAUUUAUAAACGUAUAGUUUAGGCUUAUUUUUGGUAUUUGGAUUCUGUGGUGUCCUCUUGAUACAUAAGGGAACACGGGGCUGCUGUUUCAUAUUUAAAGCCUCAAAUCUCAGGUGAUUUGAUAAGAUUAAAGAUAUCUGCUAGGUAUUUGCCAAUAAAGACAAACACAAAGAAGAAAGAGGGGAAGACCUCAGUAUCCAUUUAUGUUCUGAACAAUAGUUGGUUUCCUUUGGCACAUAAAUUAUAGCUUGUCUUCAAAAUAUUUCCUCUAAUUCUUUUCAGGGAUGAUUCCCGUUUUGUUGUCUAGGCUUUCCUUAACUUGCUACACUAUAAAUUAUCUAUUAAUAAAACACAGGAGAUGGAGAUAGACAUUCAUCAUGUGGAUGAUUGUCAAUCUCGGUGUUGGUUGAAUGAUAAAUGGAAGCUAUAACUGUAGAACAACUCUUUAGUUUAAAACAAUAGCACCCUUUUCUGCAUUCUUUGUAUUAUUAUUGGUCAGGUCAACCUUGCUUAAUCAUUUGAGAUUGACAAGAUAGUUUCUCAGUCUUGGGUUUUAAAAAAUAUCGUUUAUUGGUUUCAGUGGUGCAGCGUUUGUAAGAAGAGAGAUUCCCCUUUAUGUUGUGCCAGCCUCGUCUUUAACCAACCUUGAUUCGCCGUUAUCAUCAUACGCAGAUCUGCAACAUGUACUAUUUGAAGAGGAACGAAAUGCAUAUAAUCAAGCCAUCUUACAAAAUAUGAGGUGAUAAUUUGGUAAACUAUAUUCUCAUUCUUGAUACUUCAACGAACUGUCUUUAAUUUUCUUGUUUACUUGCUUUAAUUAUAUAUCAUCCUUUUUGUAGUGUCUUUAAUUUCUGAUGUACCUUUUGUUUGUACUCUGCAGGGAUGGGAAAGUUCAUCCUCUGACUUUUAUACACCACACUUCUACUUAUCAGGCUUCCUUGUGCAAGUUGAUUGAAUACUGGUCAGAGCAAAAUGUCCUUUUUCGAGUUCCUACUUAUUUUCUUUUACUUCUCCAAUAACAAUUUACUACUUUCUGACUUUACAGUUUAAGUCCUGCAAUAAGUGCACUUCAAGAUCGACUGAGAGAUAAUGAAAUUCGGGUAUUUAUCAAAAUUAAAGUUGCAUCAUGAUAGUUAUCAGUUCUAAACAUUUAUUGCACCUAUAUGUUGUAUAUGACAGUUAUCAGUUCUGAAUGAAGAAGCCAAAAGUCUGGAGGCUGAGGCAUAUAACAGAGGGAACGAAGCAAGUACAGGAUCUCCUCGUCAAGUUGCAUCUCCUGCAAAUCGAGGAGGUUCCUCUCCUGGUCUGAGAAAUUUGCAAGGUUCACCUGAAUCAUCCGGUUCUAGGAAAGUAGCAAGUCCUGGUAGCCGGAGCAGAAAAGGAUAUUGAAGAAAAACUCUAUUUGAAAGUAAGGCUUCAACCAAUAUAAUCGAUGAUGAUUUACGAUGGUUUUCCUAAUAUGGGAUGUUUAAUAGGUAGAAUGUACAUGGAAAUGGUACUGCCUCAAGUUGAAAUGAUGCUAGGUGAUGUAUUCUGCUAGUAAUAGAGUAAAAAUGGCGUUUUGGUGAUUUCUUUCAUUUGGAAGAACACAUUGAAAUUAUCUAAUGGUGUCCAUGGUUGGAUUAUAAGAUCCUUUUGAUAACCAAGAUAAUUGAGAAUUGCCACUAUUCCAAAAGUAAAAGAUUUUCAUGAAAAAGUUAUUAUUUGUGUAUACGCUUUACAUGAAAAAGUGUUGCAAUAAUAAUAAUAAUAAACGAUUAAUAGUUUAUACAUAUAUAAUAGGUAAGUGUUUUAGUGAUCUGGUACACUUGUCAACACAGUUCUUAAUUUGGUAAUAGAUUAGCCAAUUUCAUUACUAUAUUUGGUUAUUUAAUUUAUAAGAUAACACGUUGAAUUGAUUAAUGCUUAUGUUCAAAAAUUGAAUUUAAGUAAUCAAUUUAAAAAUAAAUCAUAACUCUUUCAUCUAAGUAAGUUGAGUUGUUCCUUGAAAAAACAGUAAAAAUGUAAUUUUUUUUAAUAAAAAAGGUUUUCAAAGUUAAUAAGGAAAAAGGACAAAUGAAAUAAUCCAACACCAUAAGAUAAAUGAAAUUUAGAUUUUUUUUGGGAAAAAAGAGUUCAAAUCUGACACAAUAAUUAUAUAAUAUUGGAAGAAUAUACAAAAGCUCCGAAUGAGCUAAUAAUUAGGGUGAUAUACAUGCAAAACAAUUCUAAAUUUAAAAUAAUAUUUAUGAAAGGAGUAGAAAUAUGUAAAAUUAAAGAGACCAUUUAAUUAUUUAUUUUGAAUUCCUUGAUUCAAAAGGUUUGUUUAUAAUAUCGUGCUUUAUAUCAACAUAAAAUUUAGUAUACAUAGGGAAGGUUCUCGAACUGUUCAGGUAAUCUGAAAUAAAAUGAUAAAGUAUUUAGUAAAAUGAUUAAACUAUUAGUUAGUAUAUAAUACUUAAACUACAAACUUGAUAUAACUCUUAAUACACAUGUUUAUUCUAUGUUUUUUAUGUUAAGAUUUAAUGUAAAAAAACAUAAGUGUUUCUAUGUUUCAAAAAUUGAGGGUAAGAUAUUCUUUUGUGAAAAAAUAAACUAUUAAUAAAAAUAUUAAAAAUGAGUAAAAAUAAUAAAAUGUGUCUUUAAAAUUAUUUGAUUUAAUGAAAUUAAGGUUUGUUUCUUAUAAUAAAGGAUAUGAUAAAAGAAAAAGAAAUUAGUAAAUUUAUGAAUAUUCACCAAGUUGAAUAAUAGUUAAAAAAGAAAAUAAAAAAUUGUAUGACGAAAUAAAGUAAUAAAGAUUUUUCAAAUGAAAUAAAUCUAAGGACAAGUGAGAGAAUAAUAAAGAUAAUUUUUUUAAAAUACUUAUUAAACUGUGAAUGUUAUAAUAAUUUAAAAUUAUGACAAAUAUAAGCACAAAGAUCGAUAUAAGAUGAACGAGAUAAAUAUAUAUACUUGUGGCCGAGACUUUAUAAACAUUAUAAAACUUGUGGCCGAGACUUUUUUAUAGAUUUUCAUUAUAAUUUUCAAAUGUAUAAAUAUAAUUAUAAUGUUAAAUAUAGAUUUUUUUUUUAAAUGUAUAAAUAAAGAGGUACCCAUUAUAGAUUCUUUGUAUCUCUAUCAUUAUUUGUUGCUGAUACUUGUUAUAGAUUUUUCAACACUUAAUGGCUGUAAAUUAUUUCUUUAAUAUACUUGAAUAAUUUUUUUUCCAAUUUUUUUUCUUUUUAAAGUAUUUCUAUAUCAUAAAAGUGCUUUUAAGUAAGCAAUUUAAUAAAGUGUGAAUUCCUCUAAAGUUGAAUGCAAACUUCCAAAAAAGUCAAAAAAUGAGUUAAAGCCACAAAUUCCAAGAUUUGGAAAUUUGGAUUCCCUUGCCAUGUUGGUUGAAAUUAAAGUGCUCCUUCAAAAAUGCCUUUAACUUUAAACAUCCUUGGCUUAGAGAAAAGAUUGAUAAGGAGAAAGAGGAUCUCUAUUCCACUUUCUCUGUGAGAAAAAAAAAACCAUUUUUUUCACUCCUAUGAUGUACUUUAUUUUAAUGCAUGAAAUCUUGAAACAAAAUGAAUUGUAAACACACUCCAAAAUAUUUUGUCCAAAAAUAAAGUAUAUCUAUUACAAAGUAAAUUUUAAUAUUAACUUAAUUUUAUAAAAUUAAUAUAUAAGAUGAAAUUUACACCUAUUUAUAUAUUACAAAAAGUUAUUAUUUCUAAUUAAAGUAUAAUCUCUAAAAAUAUUUUGUUUUUAUAAAAGUUCUUAUAUUAGACAUUACUAUAAAACUUGACAUCUCAGUUAGAAUGACACCUCAAGUAACAAUCAUCUGUCAUCACAUAAAAAAUAUUACUAAAAAAAAGGAAAUACAAAAAAAAUAGAGAAAUUAAAUCAAAAUCCAUGUAUUAACAAAAAUGGUACAUAGGUAAUUUAUACCUACUAGUAAAAAACUGUAAAAAUAAUGGAUGGAAGCCUAUUAUACCAAUGAAAAAACUAUUUUUUUAGAAGGAAAACGAUAGUUUAACAAAUCUUAAAGUUGUGAUGAGUUUAAAAAUAAAUAUAUAAUAAAAAAUAUAUUUAAAAUUAAAUGAUAUAAAAAAAUAUUAAAAUAAUAGUACUAGAAGCUUUGUAAUAUGUUUUAUAAAAAAUGUGGAUUUUCACAUAUUUACACUUUUUGGAAUUCAUCCAUGCAUGGUUUUCUUUUCCUUUUCUUCUUCCUUUUUUAGAAUUUAUCAAAAAAUACUGCGCACACUCCAUUCAUUCUCUUUUUCUGUGGCCUCUCGUAUUAUAUAAACCAUCUUCCUCAUCACCACUUCAUCUUCUUCAUCAGCUUCUGCUUCUUAUAGAUUGAAGAAACGAUGAACAGAGUGGGAGACUGGAAGUGCAGGUGGUGCCAGCACCUGAACUUUGAGAGGCGCGAGUGUUGCCAACGUUGUGGCGGUUUUAAAGGCGGAGAGGGGAAGGAUUACGGUGGUUUUGCUGAGUCACAUGUUCGACCAGGUGACUGGUACUGUGAUGUGUCUAACUGUGCUUCACACAACUUUGCUAGCCGUUUAACCUGCUUCAAGUGUGGUGCUUUCAAGAACACUGCUGCUCACACUUCAUCCUCAACACCCUCUUCCAGACCUGGAUGGAAGUCUGGUGAUUGGAUAUGUAACAGGUGAUCAAGAAUAAUUGUUUUUCCUCUCGUAUUGCAGUUGUAUCGUCUGAGUGUGAAACGUAUGAAUCGCGAAACGGUUCUGUAUCGUUGUUUGGAUUUAUGUGUGAACUAGAUCGGAUUACUUGAAUUUGUUUUAUAAAAAUCCUAUGAUAUUAAUCUAAUCUGGUUAGUAAUAUAACCACUCUUAAAAAGAUGGUUGUGAUUAUUAAUUAUAUUUUUACUUGUUUAUAUGUUUUAUAUUAUAUUUUUUAAAUAUUUAUGAAUCUACGAAAUUAUUCAUUAUCCAAAAUAUGAACUCUUUGAUUUACGAUUCAAAUACUAUAGGUAGAUCUCACAUCGAUUAGAGAUAAUGAUAUUUCAUAGUAUAUAAAUAAGUACAAAUCUCAUCUUAUAAGUUGGUUUUACAAAAUUAAAUUUGUCUUAAGGUUAACUUCUUAAUAUGAUAUUAGAACCAUGUCUAUCCUAACAAGAAUUUGUUGGUCUUAUCAGACAAUUAUCGAAUCACCUAUAAUAUAUAGUCUUACACAUGAUAUCACGAGUCGAGAUGUCUCAAGAUUAGUUUUAUUGUUAUGAUUUAAGUUUAUGGAAAAACUCAUUUGCAAGAAAGCGGUGUUGGCAUUACACACGUGCAAUAUGAUCUUUGUUGAGUUAUACUUUCCUAUACUUUUUAUAGGGACAAUGAUACGUUCACAACUCACAUUUUUUAUACAAUCACAUUACAACUCUCAAUAUUAUUAUUUUAAUAUUUUUUUUAUAUCAUUUAAUUCCAAAUUUAUCUUUUAUUAUAUAUAUUUAUUUAUAAACUCAUCACAUCAAGAAUCAUAUUCAAUUCUUUAAAAAAUUAUGAAAGUAUCAUUUUCUUGUUUUUUUUUUAUGACAACACAUGAUUUUAUUUUUUUGUUUUUCACUGUGCAGAUCAGGAUGCAAUGAACACAACUUCGCUAGCAGAGUGGAAUGUUUUAAAUGCUUAGCUCCAAAGGACUUGCACUAGAAAUCAGACUAUCCCCUUAUGUGAUUUAACACAUGAACUAAACCAAACUAAACCAUUGUUGUUUUGUAGUUUAAAUUUAUUUUGCAUUUGGAUUUGAGAAUUCUAUUGGACAUUUUGCUUUUGAAUAGAAAUAAAGUUAAUUUAUAACAUAUAUAUAUAUAUAUAUAUAUAUAUAUAUAUAGCUGAAAAGAAAACAAUAAAUGAGGAGGUGGAGCUGAAAUUAUGCUUAUUUAAUAGUUAUUUCAAUUUUUUAAAAUUUUGAAUUUCAAAUAAUUAAUGCAUAUCACUCUUAGCAAGUUAAAUUUUCUCAUAUUAAUGUUAUGGUUCAUAUUACUCCUACUCUACUAAUAUAAAAUAGAUUUUAACAAAAUACACUGUAAAAAAAUCAUAAUAAAUAAUUUUUGAAAAAGCAAUUACAAAUAUUAUUUUAAUUAUAAUUCAAAAAAGCAUUUUACUUUAGAAUGAAAAUACAUGAUUUUCACACAUGUAUUCACAUUUUUACUACAUUAAAAUAUAUAAUUUUAUUAUUUUGAAUAAUAAUUAAUUAAAAAUAUAUAUAUAUAUAUAUAUAAUUUUGUAAAAAUAAUAUUAAAAAAUUAUAUAACUAAUUGUUUUUUAAAAAAAAUAAAGAAAAACUAUUUAAUUUAUUUAAUAAAUAAAUAAAAUUUUAUUUUUUAAAUGAUAAAAUUGUUCAAUUAAAAGAUAAACCAACCAUAUAAUGUAUUUUGUCUAUAUAAUGAUAUAGAUAAUUAUUAAAAUAAAAAAUAAUUAAUAAAUUAUAAAAUAGUAAAUAAUUACUCAAAAAUAAAAUGGUAAAAAUCCAGCUGUAACUGUCUUCAUUGUAUUGCCAUUGUUGUUGAUGUUGUUCUUGUUGAGGUUGUUGAUCUUCCCGUCUCUCUCUUCUUCUUCUUAUUCCUCUUUAGUCUUCUUUGCCUUCACUCUUUCAACUUUCAAUUGAAACCAUCACCACACUCUUCUCUCCUCUUUCACCUUCCUCACUUCCCAACCCUUUUCCCCUUUUCCUCCAGCUUCCAAUGGCUUCAUGUGAGUCUUCCUUCUCUCGAUUUUAUCGAUCCAUCAUUCCAUUGCAAAUUACAAUUGAUACUUCAAAGAGGAACCUUUUUCCAUUAUUUUAGGUUUUGCAUGUGCUUUGCUUUGCAAUAUCGCUUCUGGGGUUGGGAUAUGAAGGGGAAAUGUGAUUUUAUAUUUGAGAUUAAGUUUUCGGUAACAUGGUCGUUGCUGGUUUAGUGAUAUUGUGUUUGUUUUGUAUUGAGUACUGACAAUCUACUAUGUUUUUAAUCUGAUGGGUGAAGCACUCGGUGAUCUAUUUUACUAAUCCCUUCGGACUUUCCAAUGCUAUAGGUAUCAGAUUGUUGAUAAAUUCGUAAAUGGCUGCAGCCUUCACUAUGAUGGCUUUUCAAUUAUUUUGUACAAUGUAACUAUUUCAACAAACCGGAUCUUGAGUUGUAAUUUUGUAAUGAUUUUUUGAACCAGAUAUUGAUCCUACUGGUUAAGUGUUCUUCCUUCAAGUAGGAUUAUGUAUGGGCUUGCUGUUCUAAGCCUCAAGAAUAGGCUACUAGUGGAAUAAAUUGACAUUACUAUGAAUGAUUUCUGAGAAACAAACACUGGUCACAAUGAGUGUGAACGAAAAGAAUACAUGUCUCCCCCUUUAGCAGCUUUGUGUGUAAAUAUAAUCAUGAUGAGUGUUGAAAAUGGUACUUUUUCAGCACCAAGAUCAUGUCUACUACUCUCUGUUCAUUGUACUCUUUGCCGAAGUUCCAUUAUAUUGUCUAGGAAUCUAUUAGAAAUUUCUAUUAUUUUGUUUCUUCUUUAGUAUUUUUCUCUUUGAUUUCAUCAAACUAUUUUUAUCAUCAUUUACAUGUGCAUUUGACAAUUUUUCUAACAUUUCAAAGAAACUUUUUCUUUAUUCUUCAAUCAAUCUCUGUUGUCUUAACAUGUUGGAUACUUAGUAUGCAAAUUAUGAAAGUGUUUGGUGUUUCUUUUAAGACUACUGAAUUGUCAUGUACCCCCAAAAAAUAGUGGUUAUCAUGUCAUAAAUUCUAUCACAGGUUGCUUAGGUACCCCAAAAAUUAAAGUAUUGAACUUGCGCUUUAGUGGAAAAAAUGUUGGCCUUUCACAACAAGUUGGUACAAGAAGCUGGAGAAGGCAGUCUUUGCAGUACACUAGUUUGGUUAUGUCACGGCAGACAGAUAGGUUUUUGGCAUCAGCCAAUGCCCCAUCGUCAGAGACCCAGAGUAAGUUCUUCUAUUCUUUGAUUCUAUAGUACUGUACUGAGGUUAAUACUUUUUUAUGAUGAAUCCGUGGAACUUCUACUGUAAAAUGCAUAUACUAGUUUGUAAUUUGCGCUGAUAUAAUGAUAGGAACUUAGGCUAUGAAGUGUCCAUGUUCCACACUGGGUAGUUUAGGAUGCUCGAUGGAGUAUUUAAGUAUUUGGUUCUCCCCCUCUUUAUAGUUAGGUUUUGAGGGUGAGUUCCCCAAGUCCUUGGGUACUUAUCAUAUAAUUACAAUCGUGAGGCUAUCUAAUUAUAGAUGGUCUGAUCAUCCCGAUAGCGGGUAACACAAUAGAUACAAAUUCUCGUUAGGAUAAAUGACUCUGAUGCCAUCUUAAGAACACUGGGUCAAAGACACUAUUAACUUGAUAUUUGUACUAUUGUCUGGCUUCAUUAACAUACUUUAAAUGAUUACAUCACAGUUAUUACAAGGUCUGAAGAAGGUUCUGAAGGGACAAAAUCUUCAGUUUUGACAAGUCAGCUUAUUCCCAAUUUUAAUGAGGUUAGUACUUGGAAAAUCUCAUUGUUUAUUCAUCAUCUAUUUCUUUUUUCAUUUUUUCAGGGGAAGACAUCUAUAAAACAGAUCCAAAUUCGUGAUGACUUUAUUGUGCUGCUUUCAUCUAUUACCUUAUUUGUUUGUUAGUCCAAAUUUGAUUAAGUUGUUCCAUAUUUAUAAAAUCAUUUUAUGUAUAUAACCUUUGUGUGCUCUGGUAUAUUUUAUAGCAUAUGUUGCCAGUAUAUUUUGGUCCAAAAUUGGCCAAUGCUUAUCUUGAAAUAUUGCUCUACAUUAGGUUCUGGACCUUAAGCUCCUUCUGAUUAAACUUACAAAGCACAGGCCAAUAGAAAAGUACAGUUUGUGUCCAAGCUUAUGAACCUAUCAGAUGUUUAGCAUAUAGCUCCUGAGGCUUGACCUACAUCCCACCUUUCAUUUGAUAUAACCCCCUGCUCGAAGAAAAAAAUUUGUGUGGAUUCUUCUGUGAUUUUAUUUACUUGGCUGUGUUAAAUAAUCAUUUUAAUCCUUUGGUUCUGAAGUUUUCCCAGCUAGAAAUACUUUUCUUUUAUGACACUUGAAAAGAGAUUUGUCACAUUGUAAUGCACAAGUGUAUUUUCUACAUUUAUUCUUCAUGAAUGGAAAAUUUGAACUCAUGUAUCUCUAUGUACUGUCAUUCUUUGUAGGUGGAAUUCCUCGUCACAAAAUUAUGUGACUCGAGUUCAAUUGGGGAGAUAGAUUUAAAAGUAAGUACAAUGAAGUUGAAUUUUGAUGUCUUCAUUAGCACAAUGUUAUUCAAAUUCUCAUAAUGGCAUUAGAUAUAUCAUCUUAGACUUGCUUCUUAUUGUUGUUUCCUCUCUUCAUUGUCAUAUGCCCAACCUCCUAAUGAUAUCAGCUUGCUGGGUUUCACCUGCAUAUAGUGAGGGAUUUGACGGAACAAAACGAAACUCUACCUCCUCCUACUCCUAUUCCUGCUUCUGUAAGUGUAAAUGAUGUCGUAGAAACGCCUAAAACAAAUGGAUCAGUUUCUACAACUUCAUUGGCCAUCUCGAAUCCUUUAGGCCAGGUGUAUUUUCCAGGAUCUAUCCAGAGAUUCCUAGACAAAGCUAAGGAUGAAGGCUUGGUGAUAAUUCCAUGUCCAAAGGUAAGAAUCUGAAACUUGUACUUUACAUUUUACAAACCUUAUAUAAUGCACUCUAAAACCAUAAGCAGGUGGGGUACUUUAGGAGAUCACGAACAAUAAAGGGGAAGCGUGCUCCACCAUCAUGCAAAGAGGUACAGUUGUUGACGGCUUUGCUCUUCUCCUUUUGUUUUUGGCUUUUGAUGUUUUUCAUGAAGUUGUGUCCCAAUUGACAGAAACAAAUUGUUGAGGAGGGGCAAGUGAUUUGUUACAUUGAAAUGCUGGGUGUUGAGGUGGCAAUUGAGGUUUGCGUCUCUUCCAAGUUAUUGUGUGACUCUGAUGUUUAUCUAAUUUAGUUACUAUAGUGACUAAUUAUUUUUUGUUUCUAAAUUUGGUUACUAUUUAAUGAUUUUCUUAUAGUGGAUGAUGAGAAGGGGGCAAAUGAUCAUAAUAUGAUGACUACUAAUCAUUGCUAUGAUUCUCAUGUUUGCAGGCUGAUGUGUCCGGAGAGAUCAUCAAGAUACUACGAAAGGAUGGAGGUUAGUUUCCUAAUCAUUUCUGUCCAAAGACCAGACUGGUAUUGUUUGGUGUGUGACUCUUAUUUUUGGUUUUUCACAGAACCUGUUGCAUAUGGUGAUGCGCUUAUUGCAAUAUUGCCAUCAUUUCCAGGAAUAAAGAAGCUUCAAUAAGUUUUAAUUUUUCAAAAAAAGACAUUCUUGCCAACCAAUAAGCUUUUUUAUUUGUAUUACUAGUUUUGCAUAGCAGAGACAGAGCUAAACUCAGACAACUUUGUUUUCUCCUACUUUCCUGUGUUCUGUUAGUGGAUUUGUCCUUGGAAAUGAUCCAGGCCAUAACUUUGUGUAAGGAAAAUUUUGAAACUUGAAUCUUUUGAUGUAUUUGUAUCUUGAAAAUUUAAAAUAUUUUUAAACAACUAACAUUUAUAAAUAAAUAAAUAAAAUGAUUGGAGAAAAAGAAAAGUCAAAUCGAUGUGAUUUUUCAAUCUUUUAAUAACCAAUUUUCUCAUACUUUCCUGUUUCUGUUGGUGACUUUGUCAUCACAGUUAUAAGUUUUUAUGCAUUACCAUAUUCUUGGUCUUGAGUUAGAAUAAUAGGGGUUUUAAAUUGUAAUUUUAUGCCAUAUUAUAUUAUUAAGCUAUAGUAAGUUCAAAUUUUUAAAGUUAUUUAAUAACGAUUAUAUAUUUUUUUAUUUAUAAGGUUAAAAAUUGAGUUACAUAUAAAUUUGGGCUUAUUAAUUUAUUUAGAGACAUGUUAUGUAACUUAUUUAAAAGGGUUUGCGAUAAAUUAAGCUUUCAAACAAUAUUAUUUUUUUCAAUUAGGUUAGGAUUCACAGUAUUUAAACUGAUAACAGGAUUUUGAAAAGGAAAAAAGGUUAAUUAAGUAAAUUUAUAGAAAAGGAGAAGGGAAAUGUAGAUAUUAAUAAUGGGAGUGUAAAUAACAAGAUCAAUAUUUUUAUUUUGAAUAAGAAACUGACAUUGAAGCCCAAAGCCCAUAUAUAUUGGGGCGGCUUCUUCCUGCAUCUCCAUAUGUGCUUGUGGCACCCUCAUAAUUUUUAAAAUUCCAAAACUGCCCUUCUCUAAUUAAGUUAAAAUGUUUGAAGUUACGGUUAUGGAGGUGUGUGGAAGUGUUGGUGUGUGAAGAAAUUGGUGAAGGAGCUGGUGGUUAUUCUAUUGCUAUUGAGUUGCGUUUUCGAUGGUUCAUGGUGGUGCAUGGUGGUCGGAGGUAAUUGCAUACGGUGAAUUUUUCGUUUAUGUGUUGUUUACUUAAAACCAAAAGUUUAUAUUGGAUUUAAACAAUAACUUUCUAUUCACUUAAUUUAGAAUAUAUUUUUUCAAAAUAACAUGUUCAAGAUUAUAUAAAUUAUAAACUAUUUUCAGAUUUCGUAUUAUCUUUCUGUGUAUGUAAUCCAUAUAUUUUUCUUUAAGAAAAUUAUUAUGGAUUACAUAAAUUAAUACUAAAUCUGAAUUGUCCAAAUUCGAUGAAUAAUUUUGGAUUACAAAUUGGCUUCCAACUUUUGUAAUCAAAAUGUUUAUAAAAUAUGAAAAACAAAAUAGCAACAAACAUAAUGACAAAUCAAAAGAGACGAAAAUAGAAAAAUACAACUAAACAACUAACAUUUUCCACCACAAAUUCCAAAAAUUACAUAAAAAAUCACCAAUAAAACCUUAAGUGAGCUCAACGGGUACUCAGUGCUUGGAGUGGCGCGCUCAGAAAAAUAGAAACAAAGGAAGAAGGUGUAAAACUGUGUGGGUUUUAUUUUUUCACUAAAGGGUAGAAAAGUAUUUUCAUAUUUAUUAUGGGGUGCACAAGCACAUAUGGAGGUGCAGAAAGAAGCAGCCCAUACGGAUGGUGAGGCUAUUUUGGUAUUUCUCGUGUCAAUGUUUCAUUUGGGCUCGAAUUCCGUGUCGGGAUUUGAGUGUCAAAACAGGUCAAUAUAAAUUCAGUACAUGCAUAUAUUAUAUAUUAUACACAGUACAACGCAGAAUCAACUCUUAUCAUUCUUUGAUUUCAUUCAUUGCAGUGCGCUUUGACCGUUUCGGAUUCAGAGCGGUGCAUUUGGCGUGAAGUGAAGUGAAGAUGGAGGCACAAGCAGCAGCACAGACACACCAUCUCCGAAACUCAACAGAAUCAGAAAAGCAUAACAGUAAUAAUAAUCACCACAGUAAUCAUAACAAUAAUCGUAACUUGAUGGUGAAGACUGAGUUGUGCAGGAGAUUCAGGAGAGGCGUGUGCGGUCAUGGAAUCAAAUGCGAUUACGCUCACAGCGUCGGGGAGCUCCGUCGCCAACCGAAGCUGUGCAGAUUGUUCCUUCAAAACAAACACUGCCCCUACGGACGCACCUGUCGCUACCUGCAUUCCGCCGCAACAGCGCUACCACCGCCGCCGUCAACUUUUCCGAUUCCAAAUCCACAAUCUCAACCAGGUUCUCUCUUCUCUUUGUUCUAUUAACGUAAAUAGAUCUAUUAAUUGCUUAAUUACGCGUUGCGAUUCCACGGCGACGCUGACGAUUCCACGGCGACGCUUACGAUUCCAUGAUUAAACAAUGCAGGUCUCGUAUAUACACUACAGCUUCUUAACAUCCUCAAAAUCGUAUUUCUACUACUCUACCUCUCUAGUAAUAGUAUAUUCUGUGCAAGUAGUUAAUUUAUUAUUUGAUUGAAUAAUGUAGUUAAUUAUGAUACCGAUAAAUCUUCUCUCGUCAUGAUACGCGCGUAAUUGAAUUUUAUUUUAUUAAUCUGAAAUAAAAAUCUCUGUCAUAUAUUGUUUGAAAUUUUUUUGACUCUACGACGUGAUAAUAUCCAAUCAUUUAAUAUAUUUUUUUUUCCAUUUGAAAGGUGCUGAAGAUCAGAUCGGUUCAAUUCGUGAUAAAAUUAUUUAAAGUAAACAUUAACAUUGAAAAAAUGUUUUAUCGUGUUAACAUUGUUGUUAAUUUCAUAAUUGAAAAGUAAAUUAUAGGAAAUAAAUUGAUUAUUGAAGAACUUUUGAAAAUGACAUUUACAUAAUCCCAAAUAAUUAAAGUGAAAUUCCUCAUUUGUUGUUAUCUUGGAUAGGAUUACUUCCCACGAAGAGGACACAUGAAAAAAAAAUCAUACUCGGUAUAACCAAAAUGUUCAUCAUAAAUGAAAUCCCACACUAUCAUUAUCUAACAUGUUAAUAUAAGUAUAUUAGAACUACGUUGUUCAGUUUUAUCUAAUAUUGUAAAAAAAAUAAAAUUGAACUAAAUCACAACAACAAAAUAUGUUCUUCUUUUCUUGUUUCUGGAUUGGUUUGAUAGUAUUUCAAUUUAUUUAUUUGAAUUAAUUUGAUGAUAAUUGGUUUAGUUUAAUUUUGAACACCACUAGUCAAUAGCCAAUCCAUUCAAUAGCACUGAAAUAGGUCUUUGCUAGCCGAGCCAGCAAGCUUGGUCAGGUAUGGAUGGAUCUGUGGGAAGAAAAAUAAUUUGGUCCAACGAAAAACAAAUUCUGUUUUCCUUUUGGAAAGAAUAGAGACAGACACUCUUUUUUUGCCAUUUUGAUGAACAAAAUUGUUGGGUUUGAUUUGACGCUAUAUUUGAAAAUAUUUGCAUAGCAUUUUGUGGUUCAAUAGAACAUGGAACUAUAUCCACGUUAAUAAAGUCUGACCCCUGUUUUUGUGAUGCAGAAGUAGGGCAACUUGAUCGCUCCUCUUCUGCCGAAUACAAGAGAAUGCAAACUUAUGCUGCUGUUCCAAGUGAUAGCUACCCUUAUGCAGAAAAUAGUACAAUGCAUACUGCUAUUGCUGCUACUGCAAAUGCCUCAACUAGCACUCUGGCAGCUGGCUCUUCCCAUAACAAUGAACCAUAUGCUGUGAAGUUCGUGUUCAAGAAAAACGAACUAAAAAAGAUCAAUCGCAUCUAUGCUGAUUGGAUUUCAGAUUUUUCCCGCUGAGAAACUGGCUGGACAAGUUAGUGGAUAACUAUAUUAAAAACUAAGCAAUUUCUACUAAUGGGUAAAAACUCAAAAAUCAGUCUGAUCGAGUUUGUUUUGAGGAAUAUGGUUUGGUUUGAUAUUUUGCCCUUUUUUUGCAGAGUAUAUGCUUAAGUAUUGCUUCAGAUAUUAGAAUACACUGAACUUCUUAAGCCUACCAAAUUUAUGGUGAAAUGAGAAACAAAACAUAGAGCACGCCGGAAAGAACAUCAAGGUGAUGUCUUCCAAGUAAUAUUAAGAAUUAUUUAUUCUUCCAACUAUGUCUAGACAUAGCAUCAUCAGUAACGAUCUAUUUGAGCCAAAACAAAACUCUUCUAUUCAUACAUAAAGCUAAAUGACACCUAAUUAAAAACAGGGCUUAUAUAGGUUUUAUAUUACUGGGCUUAAUAACUUGUAUUGUCGUACUUUUGGUUAAACACGUGCCUAUAUUGGGUUUAUUUACUUUCUGGCUUUAUGUUUGCCACCAGUACUUAACACCAAAUUAUAGAUAAUGUACUCAGAAAGCCGAAAAAUCUUUGGACAAAAACAGGAUAUCUCUCAUUUACUUGAAAAUGGAAGAGGAUGUGCCUGCAAAAUGUAUAGUAUUAGUAAUGAAUAAUAAAUGUCAUUGAAUGUUAUCCCAAACCUGUAAAAUGUCAACCCAUUUAUAGAGUUAUAAUGGGUUUUAGAUAUCCAUAUAAUUAUUUCUAUCCACUUAAUCCUAAUAAUCGUUGUUUCAGAUAACCGAGAGGUAUCCGGUUCUUUUGUCUGAAGACUUGGUUUAUAAAUAAGAUAUAAAAAAACCACGACAUAGAUUAACACGGUUGACUGAAUAAUAGAGUUUGCAUUAAUGAAAUGAAGGAUAUCAAUGAAAUCAGAAGAAUAUUGAUACAAAAAGAAAUAGAGUAGUUACUAUCUUUUGUUAUUCAUGUAUUACGCCCAGAGGAUUUUAUCCAUUUCAAAGUUGACCUGACUAAUGCGUCCAUUGGAUCAACACAUUUCUUGAGAAGAGGGUCAUCUGGGGGCAAGAGGUCCCGCAUAUCAUCAGAAGCAAGAAUAACAGAAUUUGCUGCUCUCACCAAAAGAACUUGAAGUGCGAUUCUCAAUAGAUUGCAUGCCCCUUCCAUGUCCUUUCUGUUCAAAGCUUCAAUUGCAGGUAUCACUGUAUGCUCCAUUGUUGCUCUAUCAGGCAGUACAACCUCAAAACCCUGAAUAUCAUUAAAUGAGAGUAAGAAAUAUCCAAAUCUCUAUAGCUUGUCAAGUGUCACCCCAAUACAUUGUCCUUUUUAACCAUUGCAGAAAAAGUGAAAAACAACUAGUGCAUUAUAUGUAAGUACAUACUUGACAAUCAACUCCUUGUUCAUAAAUAAGAAAACGAUAAAAUUGCAAAAACCAACAAAGUGUUGCAUGUGCAGGCGCAGAAAUACAAAAUUCAUUAUGAACAUAUUGACAGAUACCAUUCAGGUUUUUAGCAGCAGUGGUAAGCGGUGGUAACUCUGCAGUGCACAGACAUAAUAGUCUAACAGAGCUGCAGUAGAAUAAAGACGUAGCCAGGUAGAAUUCUUUCAAUGUUCAUAAUAUUAAUCAUGAGGUCUAAUUAUUCUAUGUAUGCACGAACAGAGAUUAUUCUUCACAUACGAAAAUGUGCUAAUGAAACUAAACCAGAAGAGAAGCAAUAAACACAUGAAGUAGCGUACACAUUAAGGCCAUGUAAAACAUUUAUGAAGUGUAUGUUGUAAUAAAGCAAAAGCUCCUGAUAGUACAUGCUCUGCAUUACCAAGAAAAUAUUAAGAUCUUGUUCUCUAUGAGAGAAAUAUGGGAUCAAAAUUCCCUCUGCCUUAGGUUUUUGUGUUCCAGCUGCCAUUAUACCAAACCAAUACUAAAGUACUGAUUCAUUUGAACCAACAACUAGAGACUAAAUAUCGUGUUGACUAAGGUUUAAUGAUCUAUAAGUACUUUUUGACACAGGAAAUAGAUAAUGGAUUUUACUAAGGAAACUGGAUCUUCAUGAAUCAUGGGAAAGAAACCAUGCAGCAGUGCUUUUGUUUUAGCAUAUUAGAAAUGUUGUCGGCACUUGUUGAAUAAAGUUAAGAAACAAGUAAACGAUACAAACAAAUUAUCUACUCAUUGUAAACAUACUCUUCUAUUGAACAGAAACAAAGCUUCCAGCAAUGCACAUGGAUAUAUGGCUUGCGCAAGAAAAAAAGAAGGACAUGGAUAUGAAAUUGAGAGGUCAGGAACUGCCCCUAAUAGAAACUGGCUCGCUCACAAGAAGAAAACAACAAAUUUCGAAAGAAUUUGUUCCAGGUCUGUAUCAUAUAGUGGGUUCUGAAAGUUAUACUAUGAAAAGCAAAACUGUAAUGGACAUUCCUCAGAGCAACUACAUUGGCCUGAGUUAUUAAUUUCUCUAAGCCUAGGGUGCAGUAAUAAGAUUUGCUUGAUAGUUAAGAUAUCAGGUUAUUGAAAACAAGAUAGGGAAAUUACUUCAUUUUGAAGCUUCUCUUUAUAAAAACCAGCAGCCAGAGUUGCAUUUGUGGCUAGCACUCCAAUCGGCAAAGGACUACUGGCUUAAAGAGGCUUUAGCUUAGCUUCCUUGAGCUCCUUGGCAACACACUCGGCCAUGUGAAGAACAGGAACAGAACAUCCCUCGCACACUUGUUCAUACCAAGAAUGUGACACAUUACAAGGCAUGACUAUGCAACUGGCCCCAGAAUUCUCAAGAAAAACCCUCUUGUUUCUAAGACUCUGCACAAUCGAAGAAGAAUCGAGCUUCAAAUUUUCCGCUCUACUUGUGCUAGAAACAAAAUAACUCCUUUCAAAGGACAGAAGCUCCUUACUAAAGAAAGGAUCAGAACACAGUAGAAAAGGAAUAGAAUUUCCUCCAUCUUCUGAACUCAACUCCACAAGUUUUCUCAAAAAUUUGAGAGUGGCAUCCACAGACACCCCUCCAAUUAUACCCACAGUACUUCCCUGAGUGACAAAAGGAGCACCCCUUCCUGAAGCAAGGUUUGUGGCAUGAAUCUUCUCAGAAAAUUUCCCACUUUCAUCUGCAUUCAAAAUAACUGAAGAUGGGGGUGUGGCCUGAACAUGGCACCACCUUGUCCUGCCAAAGUAUCUGGGAGUAGGAGCAGUUACACAACCUAGUAAUAAUGUUUGGAACGGAUAACUCAAAGACAUCACAUCCAACAUCUCCAAUGUCUAAGAAAUUUGAGAGUUGGAGUUCAAUCUAGCCUUGUGUUUGUUCUUCUGUUGUGUGUUAAAUCUACAACCCCAUUUGAGUUGCAGAGUGAGAGUCUGAAUGAAGAAGAAGCACCCUGUAGAAAAGCCCUUCUGCGGACAUGUGGCUUCACAAUUUCUCACCAACCCUUCUGAAUUCUCACCUCAAGGUAAAACCCACCACACAAUGCUUCUCUCUCCGUUUACUCUUUUUUAUUAAAAAAAAAUACACAUUCUCAUAAUUAUUACAUUAGUAAAUGUAAUCGGUCAAUUAUAUUAAUUUAAAAUUUGAUUCCCGUGACUUAAUAGAUAAUAUUAAAAUACAUUUAAAAAUAAUAAUAGCAAGAGAUUACGAUUAGAUAUUUAACAUUUAAGAAAAUUAUUUAGUUUUUAAUACUUUUAAGGAUAGAAAGGCAAUUUACUCAGUCGGUGUAUACAAAAUUUCACUAGGUUUUCCUUAUUAAAUAUUUUCUAGGGAAGCUCCCAAAUUAAUUAAAUUUUGUAUACGUGACAUUUGGAAGAAAUUACAAAUUAUCAUUAGUACAAUUUUUAAAUAGUUACUACAAAAAUAAAUGUAUUAUGUUUUAAGGAUGGAAAACGUGUUAAAAUCCUCGAAUGUUGGGAUCUAAGUCAGCCACCUCCAUCUUUUUCAGAUUAUUCCUUUUAAUAUCUGUUUAUUUCUCACUUUUUAUCAUUGUUUUUAGUUUGUAUUUAUUGUAUUUCUUAUUAAUUAAAUUUCUUUAAUAUCAUUAUUAGUAUUAAAAAAAUUUAAUUAUUAUAUCUCACACAAGUAGCUCAAUUAUCUAUAAAUAUUAUUCAAGUAGGUAUUACUCCUAACUCUACUCAUAUAAAAUAGAUUUUAACAAAAUACACUGUAAAAAAAUCCUAACAAAUAAUUAUUUGAAUAAGCAAUUAAAAAUAUUAUUUUAUUUUAAUUCACAAAAGCAUUUUAUUUUAGGAUGAAAAUACAUGAUUUUCCCAUGUGUAUUCACAUUUUUAUCACAUUAAAAUAUAUAAUUUAUUAUUUUUAAUAAUAAUUAAUUAAAAAAGUGAAAAUAAUACAAUUAAAAAAUAUAUAUAUAUAUAAUUUUGUAAAAGUACUAUUAAAAAUUUAUAUAAAUAUUUUUUUAAAUAAAGGAAAAUUAUUCAAUUAUUUAUUUUAUUAAAUAAAUAAAUAAAAUUUCAUUUAUUAAAUGAUAAAAUAUUCAAUUAAAAUUUAAAACCAAUCAAAUAAUGUAUUUUCUCUAUAUAAUAAUUUAUAUAUAGAUAAUGAUUAAAAUAAAAAAAAUAUUAUUAAAUCUAAAAAAAUAAUCAUAAAGUAAUUAUAAAAUAUAUAAAAAUAACUUUUAUAUUUUUAAGUAACUUUUUAUUUAUUUUGUAGGUAUAUUAUAGAUAAUUAUUUUAGUUUAGAAAAAUAAUUACUCAAAAGAUAAAAUAGUAAAAUUUAUUAAAAAAAUCUCUAAAUUAAUAUCUUAGAUUUAAAAAAUGGUUAAAAAAAUUAUAAUUAACUACAAGUUAAGUUAAAAAUUUAAAAUGUAGGUGUUAUAAGAUCUUAAAUGACAUAAAAUAAAAAAAUUUAUAAAGUAACUUUUCUUUCAUAAAACUUAAAAAAAAAACAAUUAAAGUGAGGUCUCAUAAAAUGUUGGAUUGAAAAAAAGUUACCUUGAACUUUUAAAAAUUAAUGUGGAACAAGAAAAGUUAAAUUAAAAAUCAUAAUCAAUUAAUAAUUAAUAAAAUAUUUAAUAUCACAUUAAAAGUGGAGAUAGAAUAGUGAAUAAAGCAUGGAGUUUUGACUGAAAAAUGGGGAUAGAAAGGGAAACAGAAAUAGUAAUCCUAAAAAAUCCAGCUGUAACGGUCAUUCAUUGUAUUGACAUUGUUGAUGUUGCUCUUGUUGAGGUUGUUGAUCUUGCUGUCUCUCUCCUCUUCUUAUUCCUCUGUAGUCUUCUUUGCCUUCACUCUUUCAAAUUGCAAUUGACGUCACCACCACACUCUUCAAUCCUCUUUCACCUUCCUCACUUCCCAACCCUUUUUCCCUUUUCCCAGACAUUUUCUGCCCCACCUUCCAAUGCCUUCAUGUGAGUCUUCCUUCUCUCUAAUUUAUCGAUCCAUCAUUCCAUUACAAAUUAUAAUUGAAACUUCAAAGAGGAGUAUUUUCCAUAAUUUAAGGUUUUGCAUGUGCUUUGCUUUGCAAUAUGGUGACUGGGGUUGAGAUAUGAAGGUGGAAUGUGAUUUUAUAUUUGAAAUUAAGUUUUCGGUAUCAUGGUCGUUGCUGGUUUAGUAAUAUUAUGUUUGCUUUGUAUAUCUACUAUGUUUUUAAUCUGAUGGGUGAAGCGUGAUCUACUUUACUAAUCCCAUCGGACUUUUCAAUGCUAUAGGUAUCAGAUUGUUGAUAAAUUCGUAAAUGGCUGCAGCCUUCACUAUGAUGGCUUUUCAAUUAUUUUGUACAAUGUAACUAUUUCAACAAACAGCAUCUUGAGUUGUAAUUUUGUAAUGAUUUUUUGAACCAGAUAUUGUAUUUGUCUCUGAAACCAUGUUUAUGGGUUCUUGUUUUUUGAGUUUGUUAGGUUCAUGCCCGUUGUGAGAUAUAUAUUACCUCCGGUUUCAAUCAAGUGUAAGCCAAAAAAACACUAAUUCACAUCAAUUAAGAAAUGAUGUUAGUAGUGUUUAAUUGUUCUAGUUUCAUUUAAGAAAGUAAUAUUUGUCGUAAUCUAAAUUUUUCAAAACUUGAUAUCAAGAAUAAAAGAGUUAUUAUUCUCAAUUAAAUAUAGGCAUCUUAGAAAUAGUCUCAUUAAAUGAUGUAAAAUUAGUUGAGGUUUGCUUAUAUUUGGGACUGGAGAGGAUAUUUUGAAAAAUAGUGCGAGUAAGUUAGCCCUGACAACAAAACUCUGUUUUUUUAGUAUCCUCGGAAUAGGAAAAAGAUGCCUUGAUUUACACAAUUUAUAUAGUGUGUGAGGGCUUGUGAGACAGCUUGGCGUUUUAAUUUCAUGACUGAACCUUAGGUAUUUUCCUGAGCUGCUGACAUUGCAAUAGUCCAACUCUAUUCUUUUUACAGAUUGUGGCAGCUAUUUCUUCUUGUCCUUUAAUUUGUGAUCCUAAUGGUUAAGUGUUCUUCCUUCAAGUAGGAUUAUGUAUGGUCUUGCUGUUCUAAGCCUAAAAGAUGGGCUACUAGUGGAAUAAAUUGACAUAACUAUGAAUGAUUUCUGAGAAACAAACACUGGUCACAAUGAGUGUGAACGAAAAGAAUACAUGUCUCCCCCUCUAGCAGCUUUGUGUGUAAAAUAUAAUCAUGAUGAGUGUUGAAAAUGGUACUUUUUUCAGCACCAAGUUCAUGUCUACUACACUCUGUUCAUUGUACUGUUUGCCGAAGUUCCAUUAUAUUGUCUAGGAAUCUAUUAGAAAUUUCUAUUAUUUUGUUUCUUCUUUAGUAUUUUUCUCUUUGAUUUCAUCAAACUAUUUUUAUCAUCAUUUACAUGUGCAUUUGACAAAUUUUGUAACAUUUCAAAGAAACUUUUUUUUAUUCUUCAAUCAAUCUCUGUUGUCUUAACAUGUUGGAUACUUAGUAUGCAAAUUAUGAAAGAGUUUGGUGUUUCUUGUAAGACUACUGAAUUGUCAUGUACCCCCAAAAAAUAGUGGUUAUCAUGUCAUAAAUUCUAUCACAGGUUGCUUAGGUACCCCAAAUAUUAGAGUAUUGAACUUGCGCUUUAGUGGAAAAGAUGUUGGCCUUUCACAACAAGUUGGUACAAGAAGCUGGAGAAGGCAGUCUUUGCAGUACACUAGUUUGGUUAUGUCACGGCAGACAGAUGGGUUUUUGGCAUCAGCCAAUGCCCCAUCGUCAGAGACCCAGAGUAAGUUCUUCUAUUCUUUGAUUCUAUAGNNNNNNNNNNNNNNNNNNNNNNNNNNNNNNNNNNNNNNNNNNNNNNNNNNNNNNNNNNNNNNNNNNNNNNNNNNNNNNNNNNNNNNNNNNNNNNNNNNNNUGCAUAUACUAGUUUGUAAUUUGCGCUGAUAUAAUGAUAGGAACUUAGGCUAUGAGGUGUCCAAGUUCCAAACUGGGUAGUUUAGGAUGCUCGGUGGAGUAUUUAAGUAUUUGGUUCUCCCCCUCUUUAUAGUUAGGUUUUGAGGGUGAGUUCCCCAAGUCCUUGGGUACUUAUCAUAUAAUUACAAUGCGUGAGGCUAUGUAAUUAUAGGUGGUUUGAUCAUCCCGAUAGCGGGUAACACAAUAGAUACUCUGAUGCCAUCUUAAGAACACUGGGUCAAAGACACUAUUAACUUGAUAUUUGUACUAUUGUCUGACUUCAAUAACAUUCUUUAAAUGAUUACAUCACAGUUAUUACAAGGUCUGAAGAAGGUUCUGAAGGGACUAAAUCUUCAGUUUUGACAAGUCAGCUUAUUCCCAAUUUUAAUGAGGUUAGUACUUGGAAAAUCUCAUUGUUUAUUCAUCUAUUUCUUUUUUCAUUUUUUAGGGGAAGAUAUAAAACGGAUCCAAAUUCGUGAUGACUUUAUUGUGCUGCUUUCAUCUAUUACCUUAUUUGUUUGUUAGUCCAAAUUUGAUCAAGUUGUUCCAUAUUUAUAGCUUAUAGCUCCUGAGGUUUGACCUACAUCCCACCUUUCAUUUGAUAUAACCCCUGCCCGAAGAAAAAAGUAACUAUUUAUUACAGAAAUUUGUGUGGAUACUUAUGUGAUUUUAUUUACUUGGCUGUGUUAAAUAAUCAUUUUAAUCCUAUAGUUCUGAAGUUUUCCCAGCUAGAAAAACUUCUCUUUUAUGACACUUGAAAAGAGACUUGUCACAUUGUAAUGCACAAGUAUAUUUUCUAUAUUUAUUCUUCAUGAAUGGAAAAUUUGAAGUCAUGUAUCUCUAUGUAUUGCCAUUGUUUGUAGGUGGAAUUCCUCGUCACAAAAUUAUGUGACUCGAGUUCAAUUGGGGAGCUAGAUUUAAAAGUAAGUACAAUGAAGUUGAAUUUUGAUGUCUUCAUUAGCACAAUGUUAUUCGAAUUCUCAUAAUGGCAUUAGAUAUAUCAUCUUAGACUUUCUUCUUAUUGUUGUUUCCUCUCUUCAUUGUCAUAUGCCCAACCUCCUAAUGAUAUCAGCUUGCUGGGUUUCACCUGCAUAUAGUGAGGGAUUUGACGGAACAAAACGAAACUCUACCUCCUCCUACUCCUAUUCCUGCUUCUGUAAGUGUAAAUGAUGUCGUAGAAACGCCUAAAACAAAUGGAUCAGUUUCUACAACUUCAUUGGCCAUCUCGAAUCCUUUAGGCCAGGUGUAUUUUCCAGGAUCUAUCCAGAGAUUCCUAGACAAAGCUAAGGAUGAAGGCUUGGUGAUAAUUCCAUGUCCAAAGGUAAGAAUCUGAAACUUGUACUUUACAUUUUACAAACCUUAUAUAAUGCACUCUAAAACCAUAAGCAGGUGGGGUACUUUAGGAGAUCACGAACAAUAAAGGGGAAGCGUGCUCCACCAUCAUGCAAAGAGGUACAGUUGUUGACGGCUUUGCUCUUCUCCUUUUGUUUUUGGCUUUUGAUGUUUUUCAUGAAGUUGUGUCCCAAUUGACAGAAACAAAUUGUUGAGGAGGGGCAAGUGAUUUGUUACAUUGAAAUGCUGGGUGUUGAUGUGGCAAUUGAGGUUUGCGUCUCUUCCAAGUUAUUGUGUAACUCUGAUGUUUAUCUAAUUUAGUUACUAUAGUGACUAAUUAUUUUUGGUCUUCUAAAUUUGAUUAUUAUUUAAUGAUUUUUUUAUAGUAGAUGAUGAGAAGGGGGCAAAUGAUCAUAAUAUGAUGACUACUAAUCAUUGCUAUGAUUCUNNNNNNNNNNNNNNNNNNNNNNNNNNNNNNNNNNNNNNNNNNNNNNNNNNNNNNNNNNNNNNNNNNNNNNNNNNNNNNNNNNNNNNNNNNNNNNNNNNNNCCUGAGGGUGGUUUCUAUGGUUUUGACUAUUGUCAUUAUUAUUAGUACAACAUUAUUUCUUCAAAUAAACUAUGGAACUUCACUUCUUUUUUUUCAACUAUUUUUGCAUAGUAUAUGGCAUAUUUUUAUUGGUAUAUAUUAUUUAUGACUACAUUUGUUAUUAUAAUAAUAAAAAUGAUUGUAGUUUGUCAUCUAAUUAAAGUAAAUUAAUAAAUAUUAGGUACUCUCAUUGGUACUACUAGUUACUAGUUUUAGGCAAUACUUCAAAUAUUACAAUUGAUAACUAUUGUUUUAAUGAGCUUAUUAUAUAGAUUAUGAAAGGGGACAAAGUUACCAUAUGAAAAUUAAAAAUUAAAGAGUACAAAAAAUUGUUAGUCCUAAAUAUUAGAGCAUUUUGAAUUUAGUUUUACGACUAAUUCAUGCUUUAAACUUAUUUCUUCUUUGGAGUUUACAUCACCCCCGAAUAAUAGAAAAAAUUGGAAUUUAUGUUGUUUUAUUACAUGAUCAUUUCAAACUUUGAGAAAGUAAAAUUGAAAGGGUGACUACAAUAACUUUCCUAGCACUAAAGAUAAGAAGUGUUUUGAUUCAAUUAUUAAAAUAUUGUACAGAUCUAAAUUUAAAAAAUGAAGACACUUACUGAAAAUUUUGAUUUUUCACUCGUAAUAAAUUUUUGGUUAAGUAUACAUAUAGAUAUGUAUUAAUUAAGAGAUAAUAUUUAUUAUUUAUUUAAUUAGAAAAAAUGGAAUUUAUUGACUUUUUCUCUAAAAAAAUAGCUAUUGAAAAGAACUAAAAAGGUUAAAAUAGAAAUUGAUAAUUCAUAUUAUAUAUUUUUAUAAAAACUGUUUUAGCCCCCAAAAUUUCCAUACACGGUACUUGUUGACGUGAAAGCUUUAACAAUCUAUAGUCAUUAAACCCAGAAGCAUUUUAAAUCCAUUAUACAGAAAAAAGUAUGGCAAAAGAAUGUGAUACUCAUGAAGUUCACAACAUGAGAACAAGCUAGUUUUUUUAAAAAAAAAUAAAAACUCAUGUUAUAUAUCAGUGUAAAACUUAACAUCUCAGUUAGACUAAAAUCUAAACUAACAACAAUUAUCUACCACUAUAUGAAAAAAAUUAUUAAAAAACGAUUAAUAAAAUUCAUAUAUUAAUAAAAUCGAUUCAAGUAGCAUAUACCUAUAAAGUCUAGGAAAAAACGAGAUGAAAUCAUUCACAUCGAAUUUUUGACUCAUAAUAUAGGCUAACUGCUUGAAGACAAGCAGAAAAGAUACAAGAUUGGACAAAAAUAAAAAAAUUGGCAAGACUAUUUCCCCAAUAACUCUAAUCGACAAGACUUAUAAUUUCUUUUAAAGUUAAAACAAACUAAUCCAGACAAAUUUUCAUUUCUUUUUUAGUGGAUUUUUUUAUAAUGUGCAGGAGUUGAUGUUACUCCCACCAAAAUAACGAAAAAGACGCAAACAAGAACAUCGUGAUAUUUGGUAUUGGUGUUCUUAUUAAUACAAAUUGAACAGUGUAUUACCAUUAGUUAAAUCAAAAAGAGUAAAGACUGUGAGAACAUUCAUAAACAGUGUGUUUCCUUUUGUAGUUCCUCCCACUAUAACCCCAGGAGGUACAGCAGGAAGGUAAUUGAGACUAUUUUACAUGUGUUAUACUACUGAAAACCUUUAACCAAACAUAUUAUGUUGCCUUUCAAGAACUCAAAGGUAAAUACAAUUACCAUCGCAUAAGCAACUUUCACAACCUCUGGGCAACUCUCUCAUACAAAUCACGAGGCCAAUUCCUCUUUAAAUUAUUUGCAAUAAAACUCGCAAUCUGCAAAAAAAAAAAAUAGCCAUCAAGAAACAAGAACACAUAUUAGUAAAGUAAAUACCAAAUAGCACUGUGAUGGUCCCAUCAGACACCAAAUGUAACUGGAUACUAUAACCUACAAAUGCUUGACAUAAUCAGCUGAAAGUUCUAAUUUAGAACAGAUGAUAAUUAAAAAGGCUUUGCCGCUGACGAGGAAGCUUAACUAAACCCUAAACCCUAAACCAUCAUUUACCCUCCUCCGUUCAAUAGUGGGUAAACGAAUAUUUUCGUAACAACGUAAAUUAAAAUCUACCAACCAAUGGAUUGCUUUAAUUUUAUUCCCACGUCAUUAUUUCCUUUUCUUCUCGUAUUGACAAUAGAUUUUAUACAAAAUCAACCCGAUUGUUCCUUUGUCUGUCUUUCGUUUCCACACACAAAAACAGAAAAGAGAACGAAUGAAUAUUAACUACAACAAAAGUGAUUAAGGGAAGAGUAGAAAUUAUUAUCAAACACAGAUUCAUAUCAACAGAUUAAUACUGAUUCUUGGGAAAGCUUCAAGAUAUGGGUUAGUAGAUUUUACCAUACAAUAUGGAAGGCAUAUGCUUAUUAUAGAUCUGUGACUUCUCCCAACACAUCAUUUUUUAAAAAUAAUAAGAAGAAUUAUGGUAUUUCAAAAAAAGUGAAAAAAGCAUGGAAAUAGCCCAACCAACCAAUGGUAUCCACAAGAUAAUACCUUAGCCCUUAAGGCACGAAGUGAUCCAUCAGAGUCAGUCAAAUUGUCCAGACAACUAAGGGCAACUUUCAAAAGAUCUGGAACACAAGCUUGGACAUGCGAAGAUAAAUUUUCAAACGCAUCAACAGCACUAUCAGAGCCUCGAGGGUCUAGAGGAAGAAAUGGAAGUUUAGCAACCUCCCUUAAUGCAUCGACAUAAUGCCCCAGUCUUGCUAAUUUAUGAAUUGACAAUAUUGACUCAAGUUGUCGUAACACGGUUUGCUGCUGAAAAACGUGUUCUCUCUCUUGAUGACUGAAAAAAAGAAUUCAAUCAAUCAUUUUACUGAAAGACGGAAUGCUGCCAUGUCACAUAUAAAGAAUAACAAUAAUUUUAUAUAGUUAAAAGCAUUCAUUAUAGAAUUCUGAUUGAAGUGCGAAAAUGAGCACUGUUAGGAUCACCAAUUCAUUAAAAUGUGCAUCUUCAACUUCCGAAAUCCUUCUGAUUUGCAGUAACUCAAGCAAUAGUCAGGCAUCUUGGAAUUUCUAAGUCCUACUUUAAGAAUAGCAAACACCUAAUAGAAAUUACACCCAUGGAAGCAGCAAAUCCUAUAGGUAGUAAAUCUCAAUUCACUCCAGUUAUGCAAAAAGCAGACAUUUGGUCUGCUUCCCCCCAUGAUAAUAGAUGUGUUUAAAGAGCAAAACAUAUUCAGGGUGAAAUCAUGUCAGAAUAAGUUCCAAACGUGCCUCUAGGGUUCAUAUAUUUCAAAGAAUGAGCAGAAAUGUAACAGUAUCAAUAUCCCAGAGCAGAGCACAGCUAUAUAUGAAAUGAGGUACAAGAUUCAAUAUGACCUGACAUCUGGAUAAUACGCAUAUGUCUCCAAAAUCUCAUUGCCAGAAUGGAUAAAGCCGGCAGUCCGACUUUCACCAUCUAAUCUUCCACGGAAAAGGGCAAUAAUAGCUUCAGAAAGGCACUUGUUGAUGGUAUCCAGCGCCAUUGAGAAGGAACCUACUCUCUUCUGAAUUUCUAUAGACUAAACCAAAAGCAAUAUUAAGGUUAGAUGAAAACCUAGUAUUCCACAAGCAAAAAAAGAGGGAUAAAGAAUAAAUGGAUGAUGGAAACGAAGUAUGGAUAACAUUAUUGCUAAAAUAAAUCUGGGAGUAAAGACACAAAACAACAAAACUAAAAUGUGAAAAUUAAUUAAAAUUUAUAUGAAAUCACAUUUAUUAAACAUUGAAAAUGAAUGAGUGAACAAUAUCCCGGAAUGCAUUAAAAUAAUGAUUUAGGUCUGCACCAGAAAAAUGAAGUCUAUGAGAGGACAAAUCAAAAUGAGCUCUCAAAUUAUAAUGAAGUGUUUUUCCAUUCCAGCUACCUAUGAAACCUGAUUAUUAUGAUGUGAGAUAAUUCUUAUCAGCCAGGUCAUGUUAUAAUUUGGUAUUGGCAGGCAGACAUUAAGGUGAUGGUGGACAAAGACUGCCUUCUUUUCCUAUUUUCCUUCUAAUAAACGAAAACAGUAAGAUAAGAAAGAAAGAAAUUACUUUGUCAUACAUCCCAGCCUCCUGACACUGCAAUGCAGCUUCAAUUAGAAAUUGUUCCCUUGCUUUUGGAUCAGUCACAAAACGUCCCAAUUCACCUUCUUCUCCGGAACCUCUUGCACCAAGUAAAAGAUAUAUGCCUCCAUCCCUUAAUAAUAGUUCCGUGAGAAGCUGCUUCAGCAUCAGAUUUCUCUGCCUUUGUUGAUCAACAUUACCUCUACCAGUCCACGACAACUGCCCACCGCCCACUGCUGCAGCAGCUUGUGCAUAAAAUUCUAGGGCCAUUUGGAGAUCACCAAUACGUAGAUACAUAGAUCCAUAUUGCCUGAUAAUGGUGGAUACUUCUGCAUAAGCAUCCAUCACUCCCAACUUUUGCCCAGAACCAGCACCUUCAGAAAGGACCCCAUGAUCAGCUAGCACAAUUGAUAGGUGUACAGCAUCAAUGUUAUACCCUUCAUCUCCUGCUUCCUUAGACAAGUAUAAUACAGCUGGAAGCAAUUGAAUGCUUAAAAGCAAAAUAUAGGGAUAUACCAGAGGAUCUUUUCCAUUUUUUGUAUAGUAUGAGGGCUCAAAUUUAUUCAGGUAACUUUGCAAAUCGUCCAGGCUGUAUGGAAUCAGACUAUCGCUUAGAACAAUGGAUGAAGGUCCACUAGGACAAUCCCGCACAGCUGACAAUUUGAACCACAAGAAAUCUUCUAUUGUACUAAAGAGAGUUGGCUGAUCUCUGAGCAGGCGAUCAAUAUGUCUUCGGGAACCUGAUAUGAUGGCAUACAAAAGUAACUUUUUCUUGUCAUAUGCAGUUCGACCAACCCUAUCACCAGUUCUCAGCAUUCUUUCACAUUCCUCUGAUGCAGCAGCUGCAAUCUCUUCUGGGACCAUCCCUCCAGUAUUAAUCCACUCUGUGAGCUGUCAGAAACAAGUAAAUUAUUGAGAUAUAUUAUAUCAUCAAUUAGUAAGUGGUGACCAUAGUAUGUACCAAAGGAGCAAAUUGAUGUGAAGCACGUGAAGAUAGGGCAAUAUUUCUUGCGUCAUCGUAAUAACCAGACCUCAGGCAAAAAUAUAUCUGUCACCAAAUAAAUAAAUGAAAUAUUACAAGCUUGGCUCAUCAACAAUAUUAAUUUCAAGAAACAAAAAAGAAAUUAUAGAUAUCAAUAAACUAAGUCAAACCAAGGAAAAAUAAAUUCAAGAAAAAAUAUAAUUUAGUAUAGCCAAUUGUAUAGUCAGAUUAAGUAUCUGAGACCUGCUGCCAUGUUGUAUCAACAGGAGGCUGCCGCCGAGCAUCACCAGCAUCAAAAUCCAGUACUCCAUAAUCCCUCAACCGAAUCUACACAUAAAAACAAAAAUCAGCAACCGUUUGAAAAACUAAAUGCAUGACAUUAUUUGUAAGACAUUAUUCAAAUUGAGACAAACCCGAAGAAAGGCACGGAUUCUGUGCAAAUUCCCAACACCACCACCAAGUGCAGCCUACCAUUAGAUAGAAAAGCCAACAGAAAUUAAGUGCUAUAACAAAAACAAAUUUAUGCAUGCUCUCCAUCAUAUAUGAAUAAAGAAUACCAGAGAUAAAAAACAUUGAGAGAAGCUUGAAAAAUACUUCACAGUUUCUAGAAGCAUAUCCCUCAAAAUCAUGUGAGAAGUAUGAACAGUAAUAAAUAAACAAGUUCAAACAGUUUUUGAAAGAUAAACAUUGGCACAAAUAAUGCAAAGAAUGUGCUUUGUUUAUAUUAAUAAAGAACUAGUGGGAAGCAAAAUUAUUCUGAAAGUGUGACAAAGUUUUCCUCAAAAAGAAAAGCUCCCUCAAAAGCAUAGCCUGCAAGGGCAGGGAGUCAGCCGUGAAGAAAGGCAGAAUUAACGGUCUACAAAAAUAAGUAAGAAAGUACUAGAAAAAUUAUUUGCAGACAUUAGUACUACUAGUAUGGAAUUCCUGAUAACAAAUUACUUGUGCAGGAUGGCUUUGUAUGGUGUCCAUUAUGUAUUUUUCAUGUCCCCAUUCAAGGUGGCGUCUUGCGCCAAUAAUCAAUGACAUCCGUUUUGAAACACGUUGCGGGGCUGAGUCCUCACCCAUCAGCAUCUGCUUCAAUGAGUUUUAUAGAGGAUAAAUAAAAUAUUUACUGUGACAAGUAGAAGCAAUAAAGUUGCAGGCACACAUUAUUUCUGUUUUGUCUAUUAACAUUAUAACGGUAUCAACUACAAGAACAACCUGAACAAGGUGCCAUAUCUUUCGCAUCGUUACUGAUUUUCCACCACUAGCAUCAAUGCCCAAAUUUUCAUAUGCACCCUUGAAAGCUGCUGCAGGCUAAGAACCAUAAAAAUUACCGAUUAUUAACACAAAAAGGUAAAUAUAGCUAAGAUCUUUUGGGAAGGUGGUACAGAAAACACAUCAAAACAUAUAAUGUGCUAUUGUAUAUUCGAAAAUGAAGAAUGGACAUGAUAUUGGAUUAAAAUUCCAAAAACACUAUUUUCACGGAAAUAAAUAUUUUGAUCACCAAAAGACAUGACUUUUAAACAGGCAACACAACACAGUUUAAUCAAAUAUAGAAAUCUCAUUAUAAAUUGAAGGGAUGCAAAAAGUAGGGGACAUACUUUAAAUGGUAACCCAGAUUCCCUUGCUUUAUUCAGAUUCUUCACUACCUCAGCAUAGACAGAUGCCUUUUUCUCCACAAUAGGUCUGCCAGACAGGGGAACAAUCUCCAUACUAGAACUACCAGAUGAGACUUGUGGAGUAGAAGACACAGACGCAAUCUGACCUGGGAGGGUACCCACACUGCUGUUAGCAGCAAUGUUUGUCCUAGGUAAUGUUGAAAUUCGACUUAAACUCUGAAGGAAAUCACGCUUUUCUUUUUGCCAAUCCUCCUGUCAUAAAAGUAAAUUCUACUGCACAGUAAGGAAGCUGAACCACAAAAUUAAAAAACAAAUAAACCCUAUCAUAAAGUAACAAAUGGAAUAGUAUACUCAUCCCAAUUUAAAAAUUGCAAAUGUGACACAAAAUCAUUUACUCGCUUCAUUAUGCUACCUCAUUUCAUAUGUGAAGUUCCAUGGAUUAACCUAAGCAAAUUCAAUUAGAAAAGCAAUCAUCUAAAAGGAAUGUUUUUAUGAAAGUUAAGCAGGUUAGCAGACCUAAUUGUCAUUAUUAAGUUAAGACUGCUAAAAGCUAUUAAGUUGCAUGACUUGGACCGAAAUAUUUUUUCCUUGUCCUUUGGUUUUGUCUUCAUCUUUAUUUUUUAAGAGAAAAUGGAAAUUUUACAGAGUACAUAUCGAUUACUAAGAAGGUUAACUCCCCCAAAAAAGAAGAUCUCCUCAUUAACAACACCAAAAUAAAACAUGGAAAAAUAGACAACCCUGUUAAUAUAAUAAAAAUAUUCAGUCCCUUCGUAAUAAAUUUGUUGCAAAUCUCACAUCUAUAUAGUUCUAUAUAAUUUAGUACAAAUCUUACAUUGCAAGUCAAUUUUAUGAGGCUAAAUUAAGUUUAAAAGUCUACUUUUGAAGAUGGUAUUGAAAUUUAUCUUAACAAGGUUUCUUAGGCCUACCAUGUCGCCCACAAAUAUCUAGUCUCACAUGUUCGACAUGUAUAACCCACAGUAUAAAGGGAUGUGUUGGAGAUCCCACAUUAAUUACAAAUAUAGUUAAAUUAUAAUAUAUAUAUAUAAGUAAGUGCAAAUCUCACUUUGCAAACCGAUUUUGUGAGAUUAAGUUUAGGCUUCCCAUCUACUUUGUACGAACAUUUAUAGUCAAGUCCUAAAGGCCAUAAAAAAUCUAAAGGCAUUUUGAAACAACUUAACAAAUAAAAGAAAAGGAAGAUAUAACAAUAUAGGACAGAUUUAAUAUUUUCAGCAAUGUAAGGAAUAUAAAAGAAAGUGCACAAAAAAAAUGGUUUACCAAUACUAUGCCAAAGAUUCAUUUUUUGAUAGUUUUAUGAAUAUAACUUAGACAAUUGAAAACUUAAUGAAGUAUCAUAUCAUAAAAGACAUUAUUACACUAACCUCUAAAACUUUCAUCAUGUAAUCAUUGAAACUCCUGAGAUUAUCCUUUUGAGCUUCCUGAACGGCAGAGACCAUUGCCAUUUCAUGAACCUGAGAGUAAAAUAUGGUACACAAAUUGUCUCAAUUCCAUUUAAAAAGGAGUAGAUGUUUCAGACUACAAAGUAAGAAGAUUUUCUUCGUUUUCCAUAACAAGCAACAGAACUCCACAUAUAAACUGAAUCACAUUGAUAAAAUUGAUCCUUCCAACUAGAAUCAUUCUAAUGUCCAAAUUAAAUGUUAUAAUAAAUCCGAAAUUACUAGAAGUCAAUCUGAAAGUGUAAAGUACCUGCUGCAGAUACUCUUCAACACUUGUUGCCUCAACAGGAAAAACAUCCUCAAAAGUUGUCUAUAAAGGGGGGGAAAGAUAAAAGGUAUGGCAUCAGCAAGAUAGUAGCCAUGUGAAUUAAGUAAUAGAGAGAACCACUGCAAAACAACUUGACAUGAACUUUCAAGGGAAAAUUACUUUUGCUAACUGACAAGUUAUAUCAGAAAAAGUGGACAACAAGUGUGUGAACAAAACUAGGGCUCACAGAAAUUUAUGAAACCUAUAAUGGAAUGCAUAAACUAUCUACCUAACAGGCAAAAAAUAUAAUACUUAAUAAGUCAAGCAAAGAGAAAAUUUCAGUGUAUAAAAUAUUACAAGGUUGGUUAAGUAGUACCUUCAGUUCAAAUGACUUCAGAUCCCUUGCAAGCUGCUCUGCAUUUAUCCCCUCACGAGCAAGAAGCCUGUUCGUGCAACAGAAAUAAGAAGAGUGAUAAUAAUAAUCGACUAUGUGUUAUCCUUUGACCACACACACUCUGCUUUAAAACAAUAUGGAAACCCAUAUAUUUAGGGAUGUAAGAAGACAAUCUCCACAUGCCCUAUGAACAAAAAUAUGAUGUUAAAUGGAUGGCCCUUUAAAAAGGAAUAGAGGAAGACCAAAAGAAACCUAGUAGUGGAAACUCGAAAAUGGGAUAUAAGAUGUUAGUUAACCAUUGGCUUCAUGAAUGAAUGAUACAAGAUUGAGUUUGAAUGAAACGGAAAUCUGGAACCCAAGUUGCCAACACCUUUUGGAGGCAAUAAGGCUUGGCUAGGAACUAAAAAUCUUUCUAACUACUCAAAGCACUCCAACUAGCCAUAAGACAGUCUAGGAUUUUUAUAAUUUCUAAAUUCUUCAAGAUUGACUACUUCAGACAUAACAAAAAACUUGCAGCAAUCAAAAUUUAUAGACAAAGAGUACCUUGUUGCAGCGAUAGAUUGAGACGGUGCCUCAGUCCUUACGGUUUUGGAUUUAAGCUUCUUGGAUAAUGAUUCGAGUUGAUCUAAGUUCCUCUGAAUAACGUACGAAAGUGGAUUCAGAACCAGAGAUUAAAAAAAACACUCUACAUUUAAUCAUCAGUAGUGACUAGUCACAAUUCUAACUGACAGCAAGCAAUGCUUCUUCAUUAUCUUGAACAAAUUGAAGCUAUACUUGGUUCACAAUCGAAAUACACACUCGGACUCCAAAUUGAUUCGGCGGCAUUGGUAUGAAAUUCAGAAAUGAGCUAUGAAAAUGAAAUAGUGAAGCGAGUUAGUUUGGAGAGAAACCUGAAGUGGAGGGAACUGAGCAGAAGGUGCAGCUUGUUCUAGAAGCUUCGUCGAAGAAUGUAGCAGAUCAGUCCAACUACUGAAGUCUUCGUUCGCCAUGGCUCUCUCGUUGAAGCUUCGCGCACGGAGAGAGGAAGAAGGAGAGUUUCACAGUAAAACGCUCUUAAGCCCUAAAAUUUGAAAAGUAAGGUUCGGUUCUGCACCACGACGCACCCAACCCAACGGGUUUUUCGAACCGGAUUCGAAUCACCAAAUAUACUCAUUUAUAUUUAUAACUAUUUCAUAAAAAAGCUACACUAUUAAUCAAUUAUAAAUUACUAUAAAUAUAAUUUUUGAAGCAACUAUUUCAAAAUUAAUAAUUUUAUUGCAUGUAAUAAUCUUAAAAAAAUAAUUACUCUAUUAAUAUAUUCCAUUAUAUUACAAAUAAAUAAAUGGUAAAAAUAAAGUUUACUUUCUAUGAGAAAUUCCACAUUUAAUUUUAUUAUGAAAAAUAUUUAUGUCCAAAUAACUGUAAGUUUAUUUUAAUAAAAAAAAUAAUUAUUUCUAUAAAACUAAUUAAAAUUAUGUUUUCGAUAACCUAUUCAAGCGUAAUUUUUGUAUAAAAAUUAUAAUAUUGUAAUUUCUACAAAUAAUGUAUUAUUUCUUUAUUUUAAUAUUUAUAUGAGUGCCAGGAAUUAACUUCGUAAUUUUUUUAUAUGUGUAAACUAGAUAUAAAUUUAUUUUAUGUAAAAAUAUAUAUGAAAGGUAAAUUCUAAAACUAAUAUAAUAUGGAUGUGAAUAGCAAUGAUUUAGGUAUAAGUUGGUCAAGACUUUAAAAUUUUCAAUAACAAAAUAACAAAUAAAACAUAAGUGUCUACAACAUAUGAAUUUUGGUUGAUGUAUAUUUGGAAAGAAAAAAUAUUACACCUUAUUCUAUAAAUUUUUUUGGUAUUUAUUUUUCUAUUUCUGUAUCGGUCGGACGACCGAAGACAUUAAUUAAUAGUAUAAUUUAAUAAACAUGUAACAAGAAAGCAGUUACAAUUAACGUUGAAUUAGUUAAUGACACUUCGAAACACACUUCCGUAAUAUCAGGAAGUCACUACACACAACCCGAUGACCACUACACAUGUCUUGACAAACUGGUUAUUUGGUCCACGUGAGUGAAAGCCCCAACUUGAGCGUCGGAGUGCAAUCGCAAGUACCCGCUAACCGGCCGAGCACGCGCAUAGGAGAGGAAGAACUUUAAAAAAUUCAGAGACUACCAAUACGACAGUAAAUUGUGUAUCAAGGAUUAAAAUUACUUAGGCGCCGAAAUUCACACAAGUACAACUUUUUUAGAUUAUUUGUAUUGUGAAUUAAACUAGCUAUAACCACAAUGCUUUUUUUUAGUUUAUGGUGGUUGUGGCUCGACCAAAUUACAACAAUGGUAUUUAAGUUACUAAAAAAACGUUAAAGUAAUUGUAUAACACGUUUGAUAAACAUUUUAAAUUUGUGUUUGGACAAUAAAUGUUAUAACUUAUAAGAAACUUAGAUUACUUUAAUUUUAAUUUUAAAUAUUUGUUUUUAAUAAAAUAAUUCAAAUUUAUUAAAUUAUAGUUUUUUUAGAUAAAUUAUUUCAAUCACAUUUAAAAUGAAAACAUAUAAAAUAAUACUAGUAACAUGAGUAGAGCAAUAUACAUGCAAAUGUCACUAAAAAUAACAAUUUUUUGUUGGAAUAAUACUGAUUUUGCAAUAAGUUAUUUAAGUGAAAUGGACUACUAUGCAUUUUAUUUCUCAAACUAUAAUAUUUGAAUUCUUAAGUGAGAAUUUGAACUUUUAUUUUUUAUUUAUUGUGGUGAAGAAGAUAUCACCAAGUAUGAUUUCUAGAAACAAAACAAAGAGGAAGAAAACAAUACUUUAAGUACCAUAUGUAUUAGCUGAUGUGUUGAUCUUUUGAUGACGAUGAUUGCACAUUCAGUAUCUUAAAGUAGUUAAAUGUAAAACAAUAAUCAACCUCUAAGAUAAUUUUUGGUAAAAUUAUAUUUUCUAUUUUUUUAACACAAUAAUUGGUUAUAUUAAGUUUAUAAUCAAUAUACAAUUUAUUAUCUCAAUUAAUAGUCUAUUAUCCUGGUCAAAAUUGAUUUUUGUGAGUUUCAGAAAAAAAUAUCAUUAUAAUAAAUACUCAGUUAUAUUAUGCAAUAUAAAAAUUACAUUAGCUUAAAACAUUUUGAGUUAAAUAAAGAACAUAAUAAUUAAAUAUGUUUAGUUAUAAUUAUUAUCUCAAUCAAUAACAAUAGAAAAUGUUUUCAAACUUCUCUAAAAAAUAACAUUUCAUUGUUCUCAUAAUUAGCUACUAUUUUCAAAUACUUUUGAAAGUUUUUAAGUGGUUUUCUGGAGUUUUUUAUAAGAAUUAUCUUUUACAUUUGAAGAAAUAUCAUUAAUCAGGAUCAUCAAUCAAUAUUGAAAGUGAUGUAGGGUUUUUUUUUUAUUGUAAGUUUUUGAGAAAUAUUUGCACUUUAGGUUAUAAUUUUUGUUGUUGUUUAUGUAAAAAUUAUAGUGGAAAAAUCUAGUUAAGAUUUUUCAAUUAAAUUGAAUGUAAAUCAAACCAAUAUAAAAAUGGGUGUGCAUAAUUUGUUCAUCUUUAUUAUAUUAUUUUGAUUUUGUUUCAUUAUAAUAUUGUCAUUACUUAACCUUACCCUCUUCAUAAAAGUUGAGGAUGAAUUGUUUAAUUUGAAGAGGUAUUUUAUUCAACCAAUUCAUCCCAUUUUACACUAAAAGACUAUUAAAAUGUUAUUAAGAGUAUCAUUAAACAAAUGAAAUUAAUAUUAAGUGUUACAUUAUGUUUUGGUGAUCAAAAUUAUGUUAAUUUGGAUUUUGUAAGUAAUAUUGAUAAAUGAAUAUUUACUACUAAUUAUGUGUUUAUACUUGCAAUAGUCAAUAAGUCAACUAUCCAAUGAUAUGUUAUAACUUUAUCUAUCAAAGAAACUGAGUAUAUGGUAACUAUCCAAAUAUACACACACAAAAGCUUUUGGAUUCAAAAGUUAUAUAAAGGAAUUAAAGCACCCAAAACAAAGAGUGUGACAUUUAGAGUGUUUUACACAAGAAAUGGUAUUUUCAUUUUAGUACAAAACACACAUGUAAAUGUUAUUACCUUUUAUUUUUAUUUGAGAAUAAAAUAAGUGUGAAUAUACAAAAAUAUUCACACAAAUAUUUCUAGAAAAAACUCUUAUCAACACUAAUUGAAAAAUAACCUUGAUUUAUGACUUGGUCGAGGUUAGUAAAAAACAACUUUAAUUAAAAAGAAUUAUCUACAAUAGACAUUAAUAUAAAAUAACAUGAGUAAAAUAAUAAAAAAUAUCUAAUUAACCAUACUUUGUCUUUGACCAACAAACGAUUAAAAUAAAAAAUAACAAUAUCCUAAUUGAAGUUAGACAUAGGAAAAUAUAGAAAUAAGUAACCUAAAAUUAAAAGAUAUAAGGUAUAAUGAAUUUAUAAUUUUUAAUCAAAUUAUUCUUAUAAAUUUUUAAAAUGUCCAUUUCUUUUAUUCUGUAUACGCAUUUAAGAAUAUUUUGGUAUAUGUAUUUAAGUUCAGUGGAAGUGUGACAUGUAUAGCACGAGUAAGGCCACUGCAUUUGCACAUAAAAGUGAGUUCAGAUUUUAACUGAGCAAAGAUUCCUCAAACUUUAAUCAAAUCCUUAUCCCAUCUUUUAAUGUACUUUCUUCCUUUAAUAUCUUUAUCAUCUCUGCACAAAGUUUCCAUGUGAAUUCUGAAACACAACUCUUUUUUUUCAAUGAUAUAUUGAAAAUUAUUCUGUGUCGGUAUUGUGAAUAUAGUUUCACAUUAUUCAGAGGUGAGGUUUAAUAUAAUUCUUCAUUUUUCAAUUUAUGAAAUGUCUUCUAAAGAGAAAAUCGUGAUAAAACAUUGAUAUUUAAAGUGAACAAUAUAUUAGAUAGGGUGAUUUGUUAUUUAUCGAACUUAAAAUCGGAAUAAUGCACACAAUCUUCACUUGAGUUACACUCUCUGAAUUCAUUUUCAGUAAAAACACUUGGGACUGAUAACACAGAAAAAAAAAUAUUUUAAUCAUUUUAUGUAAAAAGGGUAAUUAUAGACAUAAAAAUAGAGUUAUAGAUUGAUACAAUUUGUCAAUAUAUAUAUUUUUUUUAUUGGGUAUUAAGGGAUGCAGUGAAAUUUAUGUUGUUGUAAAUUAUAUUUAUAAACAUAUUAUAGAGCUUUUAGUUUCUUUGAAUAAUUUUGUGUCUUAUUCUGCUUUUAGCACCCCAACUUUGCUAUUUAGUGCUUUGCACAUGUCUUUUAACACAUCUAUUUAAUUCUAUAAUAGAUAUUAUCCCAUUAAUUUUAUUUUUCUUUUUCUUAUUCCAUUCAUAUGACAUACACAUGACAGUUAAUUUUGGAUUUUCUGAAAUUUAGUUUUGUUCACUUUUCUUUAAUUUAUUGUAUAGGUUUUUUAAUACUCUGACUUCAUUCAAGGGCAGUAAUCCAAAUCAAAUCUUUAAGUAUAUAUAAUUAAGCUAAGUUUAAAGUAUAAAAAAGUUAGUUAAUAGUUAAAAUCACAUUUAAAUAAUUUUAAUUACGGAAGUAUUCAUUUGUUGCAAUUAUACAGUUUAAACAAAUUCACUCAAAUUAUUGUAUAAAAUAUUAUACUUUUGCUAACAUUGAUUAAAAAAUUAAAAAUAAUUAAAUUAAGAUAAAAUACAUUAAUAAUUUAUAUAAAUAUUUAUUGUAAAAAAUUUCGUUAGCGAAAUUGGAAAUGUUUUAUAUAAAAAUAUUUGUCAUGCAUAAUGCAUAAUUAAAAGUUGAGUUAAAAAUAAUUUGUAUUUUUAUAUAAUAAUAAUAUUUUUUUAAAUACUACUAUUUUUGUCAUGUUGUAUAUUUUAAAAAAUAUUAAUAUUAAAAUUAAAGUUUACAUAGAUAAAUAAAUUUUUGCAUAUCUCAGACAACGAAAAAAAAAAUCCAAGACUAGCGCCUUUUUUUUAUGCAUGAACACACAUUGAGAAGUAUAAAGCACCGCAAAGCACACCAUUUGCGUGACUCACUCUUUCUCUGUCUCUUCCUCUUCUUCUCUUCCAUGGACGAUUUUCUGCAUCGAGUUUGCCCUAAUUCUCCAUUCGUACGCAUCUCUUCCUCUUUCCAAUGUUUUUCUUUUCUCUCUUUUCUGCAAGAAACCAACACUUGUCUCCGGCAGCCAUACAUUUCCGAAGUUUAAUCAACCUCCACCAUUUUAUUUGUCAUUCUGUUUUAGAUUCCAAUGUUUUACUAUUGCAUGUUUCUACCUGUGUUCGUUUCUUACUCUGUUCAAAGAAACUGCAAUUCUCUACUGCAUGAAGACUCUUAAUAUGCAUUUAUCGCGUUUGUUACUAAAUUCUUGUUCUGUGGUUUUGAGAUCAUGUGAUUGAACAAUCAUAUGAAUCUUUUUCUUCGUUUCAGUUGACUUCAAAAUUAACUAUACUUCCGUGUCACUGCCAUCUGAGUGACUAACAUUUCUUGAGAUUGAUGAAUGACUCAAAAUGAAAGGAAUAUCAUAGUGUGCCUUAAUGUUUAUACAUUAAAGAUCAUGAAAAUUCAUUGGACUCUCAUCCUGACUUGCACUUUUUUUCCUGGUUUACAGAUUUGGGAUGGAGAGAGGUUUUCUGACUGCUUUGAAGACAUAUAUCCUCAUUCUUUUUGAUAUUUUAGUUUCAGCUCAUUCACUGAUUAUAUAUAUAUAUACACACACACGCACAUAUGAAUUGAUUUUCCUUAAUAUCUCCUACUGUUUUAGGUUUUGCAGUUAACAUAGUGACGGUUGUUAUGGUCGUUGUGCCUGGAUUUAGUCAGAAGAUUGGUCGAGGAGUUCGAAGGUCAGAUGGCCAGGUACUACCUGAUCUUAGAGGUUUUUGAGAAGGCACUAGAAAACUACUAAAAAAAUUAUGUUAAAAAUCUAUAAACUGGUCUCUGUAUUCUGUUUACACAACACUUACUUGCGAGCCUUCUAAUCCUGUAGUGUUUCUUUGUAAGGUAUUCUCUACAACUCGUGAUUGUCCAUAAUUGUCAAACUUUGUUGAAUUAAAAUUGUCUGGUUCACCUGGAAAAGCUAUCAUUACCCCCACAUAUAGUUUCUGUAUUCUACAGUAGUAUGUACCUGAGACAAAUAAUGAUAUUCAUAUAUUUGAUGCUUUACAUUGAAUAAACAGAUGACCUUUCAAGAAAAAUUUGUCCUGGAUUUUAUACCAGCUGUUGGAGCAUGUCUUUCAAUUGUAGACAUAUUUUUUCAGUGGAAGAAAGAGCAUAGUAGUCACUUUGUUGGAUAUCAUAAAUGGUUCUAUAGCUGUUCUGAGUUGAUGGUGUGGGUAAGUUUCCUGACUUUUAGAUGUCAGCUACUGUGUUAUGUAGAGUUUAAUGCAUUUGAUAGCUUGUGGUGUAAUUAUUCAGUCGUAUCUAUGUGUAGAUAAAUAUUAUUUUCUUCACAAAGUGUGCCAGCAGUCAUCACAUUGUCUUCAAUCGUGUCUUAUGUUUCUGGUGGAUUCCGAAAGCAAUAUUGGCAGUUUUAUAUUUGAUGACAAAGAUUUCAUCAUUGAAGGUGCUAUUAUUUCCUGGCUUAGUUUUUUUUAAUUGGGCAUGACAAGUUUACCUUUAUUACUAACAAUUUUUUUCGUUUUCAAAUAGUUUGUAAAUCAGUUAGUUACAUGUGAAAGAUUGACACAAUUUUAAUUGUAGGUUUCAAUAUGCAUCAUCGAAAGUUUAGUUGUUCUCUUGAAUAUCUCAUUUGGCAUAGCCAUCAAUGUGAUUAGGAUAAAGAGACCAUCUUACAAAAGCAGGUACAUACUGGCAUGUGUUUCUUACAUGGUCACUUUCUUUUUUCCAUAAAAUUAGUGAUAAGGAUUAGAUAAAAUUUUAAAAGCAUAUAGUAAAAUUAAUAAUCUUUCUCUCUUGAUUUGAUUGUAGUAGCAGGCAUAGUGCAUUCAUUUGAUAGUAUAUGUGAUUUAGUAUAGAGAUAUGAAAAUUACAUUUUGUUUCUAGAGCACAUUUAAAUCUCGACUGAUUCUGCUGUCACAAUUUUAGUGUUUUGGAAGAUCCACUUCUUUCAAAUGGCGUGGACCUUGAGGAAGGUGGUUAUGAAGACCUUGUAAGUUUAAGUAGUCACCAAACAUAAUUCUCUUCAUAGACUCCUUUGCUUACUCUCAAAAUAAUUAGUCUCCAUUUUGUAUGGGAUGAAGUGUAGAGUAUAAUUUUUGAAUUUAAAUACAAUUUAGUUCUUGUGUGCUUUUUGAGUAGUUGGUUGGUGGAAAAGUUAAAGGGAAAUGUAUAACUUCUUUUUUAAGUAUGGGGCUUUUGAUAAUUACAGAGAUUCCAUAAUUAUUUUGGAGAUAAUUACAUGUUUGGCUUAUAUUUUAAAGAAAAUAUACUCUUUUCAUGUUGUUUUAUUAUGUUAUUUUUAUUUCCAAUUUGUAAGAGUGAUAUGUUUUUACUAUUUACUUUUAUUAAUAUUCUUUCUAUGUAGGGAAAUGAUGGAAACUUUUGGGAUUUGAUGACUUUCAACUUCAUAACUCCAGUAAUGAAUCAUGGUGUGGUAAAACAAUUAGACUAUGAUGACCUAUUGCCACUACCUACUGAUAUGGGUCCUUCUUCCUGUCAUGAUGUGAUUUUAUCCUGCUGGCAAGCUCAACUGAGUAACAAUGGUUCUAACGCAUCUUUAUUUAGAGCACUAUGUAGUGCAUAUGGAUGGCCAUAUCUCCGCCUGGGUUUAUUAAAGGUAUUUUUCAAUAGGAAAUCAUGUUUUCCUCCUGCACACUGGAUAAAUCUAUGUUGAUGGAAACCAAAGCUUGUGCAUUACUCUUUAGUCUUUAUACGCAAUAUUUACACCAUAUGUUUAGGCUGCUAUGGACUUCUGGAAUCUAAUUCGUCCAACCAUGUAAUACCCUUCUUCAACAUUUUGAAUUUUCAUUUCCAACAUGGGAUUCUGACUUUUUCCGUGGAGAUGGAAGUUCUAGCAUUUUUUUAUCUUGAGAUGAAAGGAAAUUUAAUCCCUGUUCUGUAGCUCAGAAGUUUAUGUCUACAGAAGAUGCCUUUUGUUUUGUACUAUACAUUGAAUUCAGUAACAACCAAUGGUUCAAGGGCUAUCAUCAAAAUAGUGAUAGGUUCCUAACUAUUGUUGUGAUAGAUAACUGAUUGUUUAUGUGCCUAGAAAUUUCGGUUGGUGCCACUGGAAAAUAUAUUGAUAGUAUGACAGCUUGGAUGUCAUAACAUGUUUUACUUGUACCUAGACAUCUUUAUUAGAAGAAUACGAUCCUUAUCAAUUUCUAAAUAAGUAGAGAAUGUUUCAUAGUUUGUAUAUAGCAUCCCAUGGCCAAAGGUAAUUGAUACCUUUACAUGACUCUGAAUUGUUUAUCAUGUCAAUUUAAAAAUAAGAUCACUUAAGUAGGAUUACCUGGAUUAUUACAUAAUUUUAAUGGGAUUGACACCUGACACUUGGCAUAUAUACUUAUUAGUUACAAGGGACAAAACAGGAUGUUUCCAUAUGAUAAUGAGUCUUUAUCAUGUCCUUCUAUUUUGUAUUUGGUGUCUUUUAUUUCAUAAAUAAACCAAAAUUUAAUCUGACUAUGCUUUAUUUUAUCUUGUUUCAAUUUAUUUAUGCAUCUACAACUUCCAGGUGAUUAAUGAUUGUAUUGGUUUUGCGGGACCAUUGCUUCUCAAUAAGCUGAUCCAGUUUCUUCAACAAGGUAUUACAAGGAGUAAUAGUUUGUGUUUCUCCACUAUUGAUUAUUAAAAUUUUGACUUGUACCGAAGCUUUAGUUAUCCUCUUAUUUGAUAAGCUUCUUCAUUACUUUAUUCCUUUUAUGCACUAUACUUUUAUUUCACAUUCCUUGAUGCAUAACUUUAUACAUCAGUUGAAAACAUUGCAAACAUUUACAUGUCAAAUAUAUUAACAUAAACAUGGUUAUGGUGAUGGUUAUGUCAUUCCUUUUUUUUUCCUUAAAUAAUUUUCUUCUAUCUGCAUAUCCAUCAACUGCAACAAGAAAACUUCAUAAAAAUUUGGUUCCAUUUUGUUAUUUCUUCCAGGUUCAGCGAAUUUGGAUGGGUAUUUACUUGCAUUAUCCUUGGGGCUCACCUCUAUAAUUAAGUAAGUUUAACUCUUGUAGUUAUAUAGUUUAUUAUAUUAUAAUUCACCCAUAUGUUUUUCCUGUAUAAUAAGUUUAAGGUUCAGGUGAUGAUUGUCCAAACUUAAUAAGCUCGAUUUAAGCCAUUCUUCUUUUCUUAUUGUGUGUUAUUGUUAGAAAGUUAUCUUGAUUGUGGUCAUCCCUAACAUGCCUUAGUCUUGCCCCUUUGGAUGUUUUCUUAUUUGUAGCCUUAAGAUGGUGUUUAAUCUCAUAUCAACUAGGGAUAUGACUUAAUUAAAACUUACAAAGCUUAGGCAAUCCUCAUCUUACACAAUAUGAAAUGAAACUGUAUAGAAUAACUCCUCGCCAUUAUUCAACCAUAGUUGAUUAGAUAAAAUGGCAAUUCAAUUGUGUAAAUAAGAUUAAAUUCACAAAGUUAGAAUUGAGAACCCAAUAGAAAAAAAAUCAUUAUCUUCUUUUUCAACAGAAAAAGAAAUUGUAUCAAUGUGUUCGAGAUAUAAAACCAUCCACAGGCCUCCACAUAAACAACUUAAGCUUCUAGAGUAGUGUAGGUAAGAGAAGAAUGCAACUUGAGGGAGGGGAAAAGUUAACCUUCUAACAUAUAAAAAAAGAAACAAAAAGUCAAUGUUUCUAAAAUUGAAACAAUUCUGUCCAAUCUGUCUGCAAAUCAGAAAUUGUAAUCCUCUUAAAGCAACUAUGUGCAGAACGGCAAAGAGAAAGGUUUCUCUCAGUGAACCUUUAGUCAUGUCUUUAUUGCAUUUUCUUUGUAUCCAGCAACAUUUUUAUGUUGCAUUCUGUUGGACUUUGAGCAAUGAAUAUUUAAAUGUAUGGGUUAGCAUAACUUUGAUGUUUUUUGGCUUUAUUUACCAGUAACUAACAAUUAGUGAGAAGUGUCCUUCUGGUCUAGAUCCUUUUUAGAUACACAAUAUACUUUUCAUCUUUCCAAACUGAAGCUGAAGCCGCGAUCUAGUAUCAUGACUCUAAUCUAUGAGAAGGUAUGCAAUUCUUUUAUUUUAUUUGUUUGUGAAUGCUGAAAUUAUAGUUUUUCGUAAUAAUAAAAUGCACAUACUCUUUUUAUAUACUCUCCUAGUGUUGUUACUGAUGCAUGCAUGGCUUUUGACAGUGUGGCUCAUGAUUAUGCUUUGGUACUAAAAUAUAGACAUUGUUUCAUGUGUUUGAAGUGUCUACGUUUGAACUUAGCAGAGCGUUCAAAAUUUACAAAUGGAGAAAUUCAGACAUUUAUGUCAGUAGAUGCUGACCGAACUGUGAACUUGUGUAAUAAUUUCCAUGAUAUGUGGAGGUAUUCCCUUUUUAAUUUAAACUUCUUAAUGCUAAUACAUUUUACCAAUAUUGUUUUUCUGUUCUCUUUAAAUAUCUGUACCCAACAGACUUAUCAAUUGUAAAAGAUCCUUAUUUUGUCUUACUAUGAAUGAAAUUCACAGGUAUUCAAUGAAGUUGCCGUGAGUUAUUUAUUCUAUGGGUUAAAGAUAUGAUAUGUGUAUAAGCUACUUUAGUGUUUCACUGAACCUGCUGAGGUUUAGCUGUAUGGGAUAAUAUUGGGUUUUACAUCAGAUAUAUUUGAUAGAAUUUAUGCUAACCUGAAAACAUCUUCUGUAGCUUACAUUUGAUAUGAAGUCAUUCCUGUUAAUAAUUAAUGAUGUAAUUUGUGUAGAUCUUAAGCAUUUUUGUUUUGUUUCAGCCUGCCUCUACAAAUUGGAGUGGCUCUGUAUCUUUUGUAUACUCAAGUCAAAUUUGCAUUUGUAUCUGGAUUAGCAAUAACUAUUUUAUUGAUACCAGGUAGAAAUAUCACUUAGAAUUUUGUGUGUGACAAUAAGCCGCACUUGUUACAUUACAACCCAUGUUUAAUCCUCUUUCACCUGCUUGAGUUCAUCAUGGCGAAUAUCAGUUGGAAUGAAUUUGCAUAUAAGUUUGUAUCUAUAAAUAGAUUUGUUUCUUAAAUCCAAACAGUAAUUUUUUCUUAAAUAUUAUCAAUAACUGAAUUUAGAGAGAAGUUUUUAUUUUAUACUGUAUCAAUAACAUUUGAUUUAAGUUGUACUCUCAGGGAUGUUUGUCUGCUAUCUGUUUUGAUUUAACUUGUAUCUUAGGGCAUAUCUCAUACGAGUUUUAAGGUAUAAAAAUAUUGUUUUUAUUUUGAAUAAACUGUUUCUUUUAUACGAAACAAGUCUUAAGGUGAAGAAAUUGGUUGUGCUACGCAUAUUAUCUCCAAUGGGGGAUUUCUUGAAGAAAUAGUUUCUUCAUCCUAAGAAUUUUGAACAAAAAGCCUGUUGGAGACCCUCUUAGAAGUCAGAUGCUUUUUAUUUUGGAUCAUUUUUAAGAAAUAUUUACUUGACCUUGAAGUUCAUUAAUCUAUUUAAAAAAUUAAUAUUUGUUUUAUUACUCAAUUUUAAUCUUCAGUGAAUAAAUGGAUAGCGCAAUUGAUUGCAAGGGCUACUGAGCAGAUGAUGAAGGAGAAAGAUGAAAGGUAACCAUAAAUAAAUUGAUUAAUUUGGUAGAAAGUUUCCAAAGAUAAGUCAUACUUUGACUUUCAUAUUUCCAUUAAUUCAUUUGGUCAGCUCCCUCCUCAAAAAUUGCAAGUUGUGUUAUUACAAUUUGUGUUGCUUUUCCAAUUAUAUUAUACAUGUCAAUAUAAUUUUUCCAUCAACGAUAUUCUUACAGAGGACACACAGCGCAUUGCAUGUUGCUUAAAAUUCUCUUAACUCCUGAAGUUGUGACACAAUGUUAAAAGAGUAAUUUAAGUUACAGUCACAUGUCUCUGAUGGACAUGUAAUGUAAUAAUUUGCAACACAUACGCUGCUAUGCAUAAAUACUAACAUUUGUGCAAUCAUUUCUUUUGCUUUGGAGUUUGAAGAGGUUAUCUAGUUAUCAGUGAAUGGUCGGAGUUCCUAGAAAGUAAAGUCUUGGCUUGGCUGAGAAGCAAUUUUUACUCUUAAGAAUAUAAUUCAUUUUUCUUCCAGCAGUUACUUAUCUUGAGAAUUCCCGUUCUCAUCUUCUGCCCCUUAAGAUUAACAGCUUAUUAUUCUUUGCCUGAUUUUCUCAUUUUACUGAAACGAUGGAUGAAUAUGAAUGAAAUCUGUUCAUGCAUAUUUGCAAUACUAAAAUUUAUGAUUUUCUUAUAGGAUUCGUAAGACAGGAGAACUUUUGACGUAUAUUCGCACUUUGAAGAUGUAUGGAUGGGAACUUCUUUUUUCUAGUUGGUUGAUGAAUACAAGAUCUUUGGAAGUCAAACACUUAGCUGUAAGAAUUUAUAUUCUGAUUUUAUCUAUUUAUGGAUAAAACGGUAAAAAAUUUCCUGAAAUCCACUAAGGUAGUAUUGAAGAAUGGCAAAAGGAAAUUGUUUGCCUUCUGUCUUAUUUAAUUUUUAUCAUCAUGUCUCAUCCAUUUUUUAUAGACUCGAAAGUACCUGGAUGCAUGGUGUGUUUUCUUUUGGGCUUCAACACCAACGCUCUUUUCUCUUUUCACAUUUGGACUUUAUGCAUUGAUGGGACAUCAACUUGAUGCUGCAAUGGUAUAUUCAAAUUUAUUUCACCUAAUCUUACUGACAAGUUUUUCUUCUUUAUUUUGCAUUUAAUUAUUUUCUGUCAUUGUUAAGAAAUCUAAUGCAGUAGAAAACCUCUAUUGCAGGUUUUCACUUGUCUUGCUUUGUUCAACACCCUUAUUUCUCCACUAAAUUCAUUCCCUUGGGUAAUUAAUGGAUUGAUUGAUGUGAGUCUUCCAUAUUCCAUAGUUUUUUAUGAACUGAGUUUAUUUGUACAUGCAUUAGGAUGAAUUGUUUCUGUUAAUAUAACUGCAGGCCAUCAUAUCUUCCAGACGGUUGAGUAGGUUUCUCGCGUGUCCUGAACAUAAAGUUGAAGUGGGAGACACGAGUUCAUUCCUAAGUGAAAAGCUUGAUUCUGUACAAGGUUUGGGUGUAUUUAUCCAAGAUGCAUGUUGUACUUGGUCAAGCAGUGAGGAACAAACAUUAAAUUUGGUGUUGAAUCAUGUGACUCUAAGUGUGUCCCAGGGUUCCUUUGUUGCAGUUAUUGGCGAGGUCAGAUCCUUGUUUGAAUUUUAUCAAGAUGUCUUUAGCAAAUAAAAUCAAAUAAUCUUGUAUGGUAAAGUAAUUUCACGGGAUAUGCACAUCCAUCAUAUUUUGGCAUCACAACUAAAGAAAAAUAGAUGCUUGAGAUCAUUAGUUCAAAAUAUAUAAUGUAUGUCAUGAUUCCAUUCACUCAGUCUUCUGUAUCUGUCAAGAUCACUAGCAUUUCAAUAUUCACAAUUCAAAUUGAUAUAUGAACCUACUUCUAAUAUGUGAAGCACAACUUAGUUAUAUCUAUUAUUACUUCACCAACUGCGUGUAUUCAGGUUGGUUCAGGUAAAUCAUCCCUGUUAUAUUCAAUUCUUGGAGAAAUGCAGCUUGUUCGUGGCUCUAUUUAUUCCAAUGAAUCCAUUGCUUAUGUACCUCAGGUUUGUAUAUGAUAAUUGAUAUGCUUAGUCUCUAGUGAAAUUUCUUAGCUCUUUGUUUCCUCAAAGUCUCACACAGCAGGUCCCUUGGAUUUUAUCUGGAACGGUGCGGGACAACAUAUUAUUUGGGAAAAGCUAUGAUCCUGAAAGGUAUAAUGCCUUCAACUUUAGGAGUUUUUUAUACCUCAUAAUUUUAAUCUAGACCUUUUUCUUCUGCUCAGUGUGACCUUGACCUUUGCAGACAUUUUUUGAACCGAACCAAAAGAACUAAUGCUCUUUACAGGUAUACUGAUACACUGAAGGCAUGUGCAUUAGAUGUUGAUGUCUCAUUGAUGAUUGGAGGUGACAUGGCUUAUAUUGGAGAGAAAGGAGUCAACUUAUCGGGUGGACAGAGAGCACGUCUUGCUUUGGCAAGGUGCUAUCUUCCAAUUCUCUUUUUAUUAUAAGUAUAUUUGGGGGGUUUUAUGCCUUGAUUAUUUUUAUAAAAAGGCUGUUCUAAAUUCUAAUACUGUUCAAUUAGCAGGGCAUUGUAUCAUGACUCAGCUGUUGUUAUGCUUGAUGAUGUCCUGAGUGCAGUAGAUGUACAAGUUGCUCAAUGUAUCUUAUACAAGGCCAUUCUAGGUCCCCUUAUGCAGAGAAAAACUCGAUUGCUCUGUACCCAUAACAUUCAGGUUAUUGUGACUCUUCAAAACUAUUAUUUAUGAUCAUAAUUACAUUGGUUGUUUUGUCAAGUAUUUCGAUUAAAUUCAGAUGAACAUGAUAUUUUCUCUGAUAUUUUUCAGAAGAUAUGUAUUGUAUAUUUGGUAUUUCUAUAAAAUGUAUACUUAUAUAAGGAUUAACUUAUUGAUGCAUCUCAAUUUAUGUACAGGCAAUAUCUUCUGCUGAUAAGAUUGUUGUAAUGGAGAAGGGACACAUAAAGUGGAUGGGAAAUUCACAUGACUUUCCAAUUAAUUCAUUUACAGAAUUCUCUCCGUUGAAUGAAAUUGAUUCAGCUUUACAGAAUCAUAGACAAUCUUGCAGCCCAAAUCUUUCUUCCAAAUCCAAGGAGCAGUCUCUUCUUGAUACAGGUAUUGUGCAUGAUCUGGAGGGAGCACAGGAGAUAGUUGAAGUUGAGUUGAGGAAAGAGGGAAAAGUUGAGAUUGGAGUGUAUAAGUAAGUACAAACAUAAACGUCUCUGAUAGAUAUGUAUGGGUAUUGUCAGUUUGUAGAUAGGAUUUUGUGAUCUUCAAUAGUUGAUUAACAAUUUAGUGCCUUUUGAAGGAAUUAUGCUGUCUUCACUGGCUGGUUCAUGACAGUCAUUAUAUGCCUAUCAGCUAUUCUGAUGCAAGCUUCUCGUAAUGGAAAUGAUUUAUGGCUUUCAUAUUGGGUUGAUACAACAGCAGAAGGCAGUCAGACAAGAUAUUCCAUCUCCUUCUAUCUGGUAAGGGGAUGAGCAGCAGUGAUAGUUUGCAUAGUACAUUUUUCUUUCUGGACAUGACUUAUGGACAACUAAAUAUUUUAUGGCACAACAAAUAUUUCAUGGACAAUUAAAUAUGUCUUGUGCAAAACGAAAUACUUAUAGUUCAAUUAUUUUUCUUAAUUAUAAUAGUUCUAAGUAAUGCAAAGGAGUUUUUUAUUGGAAACUUCAGUUUAAAGAGUUUGAAUCUAUUGAAAAGAAAGAACGAAUUCCUCACUUUCACCCCUAUAAACAUCAUGCUGGAGAAUGGAGUUAAGUGAAGCUUGUAAUUCCAGAUAAUUUCAGUAUUAAACAUUAUUUGAAAUUCUUGGUUCACUAUUUUAAAACCAUUUGUAGUACGUUAAAAUUACCUGACUAUUUUACCUACCACUCUAUGAGCUACUAUUGAAUGUAACUUUCUAAUUUGUUUGAGAUGAUAAUUAAUGGUGCAGGCUAUACUAUGUCUCUUUUGUAUUAUUAAUUCCCUUUUCACAUUGGUGAGGGCAUUCUCUUUUGCAUUUGGUGGAUUACAAGCUGCAACUAAGGUACACAAUAAAUUGCUCAACAGGCUUAUGAAUGCACCUGUCCAAUUCUUUGAUCAGACCCCUGGUGGGAGAAUACUGAACAGGUUAGAAUAAGAUGUCUUCAGGGAAUAGCAGAUAAUGAUAAUAUAAAUUUAUGUUUCACGAUUUAUUAUGUUUUGUGCAGGUUAUCUUCAGAUCUUUAUACCAUUGAUGAUUCACUUCCAUUCAUUCUGAACAUUCUCCUAGCUAAUUUCGUAGGCUUGUUGGGUAUUACAAUAAUUUUGUGUUACGUACAGGUACAUUGAUUUUCUUGGUUUGUCAUAUGUACUAUGGAACUACCAAGAUUUGUGUUAAUGUUCCCCAUGAUCUGUUUUUAUCUUUCGAUUUUAUGUAGGUCUUCUUCUUACUCUUGCUAUUACCAUUUUGGUAUAUCUACAGUAGACUUCAGGUAUUAUUUUUUCUUGUUGACACUCUUAUUUAAGCUCUCCUUUGUAAGUUCCUAAAACUAUUAGGAUUAUUUGUUAUUAAAUUGUAUGAAUUUGGAAACCCGCAUAAUUAUGGAAUAUAAAAUAAGGGUAUAAUACUACAAAUAAAUUAUUUCAGUAUUUUUGAGUUUCAAACGUUUAAAACCAUAAUCACUUCUUUGACUUGGUAUAAUAGACAAUCAAAAUCAACUGAUCUAUGCAGUGGCUUCAGUUCUUCUACAGGUCAACAUCAAGAGAAUUACGAAGACUGGAUAGUGUUUCUCGUUCUCCAAUAUACUCAUCUUUCACUGAAACACUUGAUGGAUCAUCAACUAUUAGGGCGUUUAAAUCUGAGGUAAAUAUGUAAUUUUAAAGUAAUGAUCUUAAAUAGAACUUUGUAUCAUGUUGAAGAACUUUACUGAACAAGGGUACUUAAGAUAUAACAUGCACAUCACAUCAAUAAGAUCCGAGGACGAUAAAAUAGCUAUUUGUUUAAAAUCUUUUCUUGUCAUGUAUAUUAAUGAUAUGGAGUGAACCUGGCUAUUGUAGUUUUCAGUGUUGGCGAAGACCAGUUUACCAUGUGAAAUUUCUUACAAAAAGAUAUUUAUACUGUUAAGUAAAGAUUUAGAUGUGGCUUGAAACUAAUUGUUUUACCUUUAUGUUGCGUAAUUAAGAGAUAAUUAUUCCAUAAUUAGUACAUAUUCAGUUUUCUAUUUAUUAGGACAUAUUUAAUAUCUUUUGGUGAUUUGAUUAGUAUAACUUUAAUUAUCUAUUAUUUCUUUUCUUAAGUAGAUUGUAAAUAGUCUAUAAAUUUAGACUGUAAUCACAUUUAGAAAUACAUUCAAUAUUUUUCCUUCACCUUGGUUACUUGGAAAUACCUACCAUUGUCAACUGAACUACCUUAUGAGGUGCUUAUUAUUUGUUUGGUUUCUUUAAUUAGUUGUGGUGCCUUUUGCGAUACUUUUUUUUGUUGAAAAUCUUACAUUGACUAAAGAUAAAACCAAAUUGUAAUGUAUAAGUGGGUGAAACUUCAUGUUACAAGCUGGUUUUAUAGGGUUGAAUUCUUGAUUUUCAAUGUACUUUAAAGUGUUUUUUUUUCUUUGGUCUUCUACAUGAAUUAGUUGUUUGUCUUAUGUACCGAGAAAAAUUAUACUAGCCAUGUGAGUUGGCGCAACUAAUAACUAUAAUACAAUGAUCAUUUUUACCAGGACUUUUUCUUUACCAAAUUCACUGAACAUAUAACGUUGUAUCAGAAGACUUCCUACACAGAGAUAGUGGCAAGUUUGUGGCUUUCCUUGCGUCUCCAGGUAGUCUUUGAGUCAAUUAUAUUUAUUGACAUUUCAAGAUGAGAAAAUACAGCAAUUCACCUUAAACUUUACAUUUUACAAGAUUUCUACGUGCAAAAAUAAAGUACAUCCAUCGGUUAAAUUUGAAUAUGUAUUAAAUCUGGAGUAUUAGUUGUUGCUAAUAAUUACUUUCUUCCAGUUAUUAGGUGCAUUUAUCAUCUCCUUCAUAGCUGUGAUGGCUGUUAUUGGAUCUCAUGGCAGUCUGCCCAUCAACUUUGGUACCCCAGGACUGGUUUGUUUGCUAUCCUUUUAUUAAAUCUCUGAUUUGAUCAACAGAUUUUGUACAUUGAACUUUUUUUUCCACAGGUAGGAUUGGCCCUCUCAUAUGCAGCUCCAAUUGUGUCCUUAUUGGGGAGUUUUUUAUCAAGCUUCACUGAAACAGAAAAGGAAAUGGUUUCAGUUGAAAGAACUCUUCAAGUAUGAAUAAGACUUAUUUCCCUUAGUUGAAACAUGUUUAGACACAUAUACGCUGAUGCCUAAUAUUCGUUUAAUGUUUUCUAGUACAUGGACAUUCCUCAAGAAGAACAAACUGGAUGCCUAUACUUGAAUCCAGAUUGGCCAAAUCAAGGAUUUAUCGAAUUCCAGUGUGUUACUUUGAAAUAUAUACCAUCUUUGCCAGCUGCACUCUGCAAUCUUAGUUUUAGAAUUGCUGGAGGGACACAAGUCCGUGAACUACUUUUGAAUUUGCACUGAAGUUUUCUUAGGUUUAACACACCCAUUACGUUUAAUACUAAUUGCGUGAAAUGUAUUCAGGUUGGAAUAAUUGGAAGAACAGGUGCUGGAAAGUCCAGUGUGUUAAAUGCUCUUUUCCGUCUUACUCCAAUAUGUACAGGCUCUAUCUCAAUUGAUGGCGUGGAUAUUAAAAAUAUUCCGGUCAGAGAACUACGUACACAUUUGGCCAUUGUUCCUCAGAGUCCAUUUUUGUUCGAAGGAUCAUUAAGGUACUUCAUUUGGAUUUUUUCACUUAAAAUACUUCUGAUGCAACCUCUGAUUUAGCUCCUUCUAGAUGAUAAUGUUCUUACAUUCUUUUCAAGAAGAAACUGUAUUAGCAUUUACUCUGACUGCACCUACACUUCAUCUCUACAUAACACUCUGUAUUCUCAAUGUUCUAGGGAUAACCUAGAUCCUUUCAAAAUGAAUGAUGACUUAAAAAUUUGGAAUGCAUUGGAAAAGUGCCAUGUGAAAGAGGAAGUAGAAGUAGCUGGAGGGCUGGACCUUCUUGUAAAGGAAGGAGGGAUGCCAUUUUCAGUUGGCCAGCGACAACUUCUUUGCCUCGCACGUGCACUUUUGAAAUCUUCCAAGGUAAGAAUCAUGAUUAAGGAAUUUUGGUCUUUGACUUUUUUUAUUUCUUGUUAACAAACAACUUUAAUAUACGACUAAAUUAUAAAAAAUAAAAAAUAAGUGAAUGUAAAUUUCACAUACUAAUUUUAUAAAAUUGAAUUAAACUUAAAAUUUACUUUUUAAAAUGUUAUUAUAGUCUAUUUUAAUAAGAUUUAUUGGUUUAUGAAUCAAUUUUGAAAUUCACUCAAGUAAGUUUUCAAUAUGUAUUAAAAAAAAUGUUUCUGGAGAAAAUAUGACAUGCCACUUCCAAAUCUUAGUGAGAGGUUCCUCUUGCCCUUUUAGGUUCUCUGUUUGGAUGAAUGCACAGCCAAUGUAGACAUUCAAACUGCUUCACUGCUGCAAACUACCAUAUCUGGAGAAUGCAAAGGAAUGACAGUCCUCACAAUUGCUCACCGGAUUUCAACUGUUGUAAAUAUGGACAACAUUCUGAUUCUUGACCACGGGAAACUGGUAUGCUUUAUUCAUGUAAUUUGGUGUCAUUAUUAGAAAAGAAUGAGGCAAGAUGAAAUAACAUGAGCUUUCCUCCCUCGUCCGCGUAGGUUGAACAGGGUAACCCACAGGUUCUUCUGAAAGACGACAGCUCGAUAUUUUCUACUUUUGUUAGAGCUUCAGCAAUGUAGCCAUGGAAUCCUUUCUGUGAUGGUAUGCCUACUGUAAAAUAUCAAAUCCAAACUUUCAAUUGCCUAGAUCAAUGCAACUGCAAAACAUGUUCUCGACUUUUCAUCUAAGUUAGUAGAACUAAUUUUAGCCAACAACAGGUGAGGUGACAGCAUAACAUUCAAGGCUUCUUCUUCCUGCACCCCUAUGUUUUUCUUCCUGCACUCCCACAAUUUUCUAAAUUCCGAAACUGGCCUUGACCUUUUAUAUGAAAAAGGGCAUCGUGGUUACUGGAAAUAGGGAUAUGGGAGUGUGCUACGGAUUCAUCAAUUCAGAACUGAAUCAUUUUUUUUUGGAUGAGGGUGUGUUCUGGAAGCAAUUUUUACAUAAUUAUUGAUUUCCAAAUUGCUGAAUCCGAAAGUCUAAUUUUGUUACGGAUUGGUGGAUCCAGAAUGUUUUUUUUUUUUUAAUUAUGGAUUUCUGAAUUUGGAAUGCACAUUUCUGUUAUGGAUUUGUGGAUCCAGAAUGCUUUUUUUUGAAUGUGAAAUGCAUAUUUUAAAUUAUGGAUUGGUGAUCCGAAAUUUUACCAGAAGUGCUAAUCCGAAGUUUUUUCGGAUUCCAUAAUCAUAAUAAAAAAAAAUACAGUUCAAAUGCAUUUUAGGGUUUUUAAAAAGUAAUAGGGACAGUUUGGUCUUUGCAUAACAUUGUGGGGUGCAGGAAGAAAAAUGUAGGGUACAGGAAGAAACUGCCAACUUUCAAUUGCUAACUUAAAUCCUUUUAUUUACCUGCUUCUGUUCCAAUUUAUAAAAGUAUAACAAAUUAUGCUUUCAUUCCAAAAUUAUCCUUACAUUAAUGUCUCAAAAAUACAUUUCUUAAUAAAUCUAGGGUACAUAAAUAAUUUUGCAAGGAACUAGUUCGAAAAUAUGUUUUUAUAAAUAAAAUUAAACAAAUUUAGUUUUUUUUUUUUAUAAAUGGGAACAGAUGUAAACGAACCUGAGAUUGGGCACUCAAUGAUUAUUUAGAAACACACCUAUACUACUAGUAAUAGGUAUUUUUUUCGGACACACUCUUUCUCUAAUCUUAUUAUGAAUUAUUAUUUCCUUGAUUCAAAAAUAAAUAAGAUAAUUCAUUUUCUAUAUAGAAUGACACGAUCUCAAUAAAUAAAAUGGUUACACGUACCAUUGAAUAUAGCUUUAGAUUUAGUCUAAGACCUAAUCUUAUAGGUCAUUGAUUAAAGUCAUUAAUUUUAUACUAUAUUGACUUUAUGAAUGAACUUUAGAAAUACUUCAUUCUAUUGAAAUUGAUCAAUUCAAGUCUAACAAAUUAUAUUAUGUUAAUUUAAUAAAUUCAAUUUUAUGUUUUUUAGUCAUUAAUGAACUGCUGUACAAAGACUUUACCGUUAGUGGGAAAUGAACUUUUUCUUUUGUCCUAGAAGAGACUCUGAUAUUUCAUAUUUCGUAUACGACUUUUCAUUCUAAUAAGUCUUGAACGGGAUUCUGAACUUGAGAAUUAAAUUGGUGGCAAUGUCUUUAAUGCAACGAAUUAUGAGUGGAAAAGAGUUAAAUAUGAUGCGGCCUAAAAGAAGCAAAGUUGGUUUGAUUAAUGCCUCCUAUGGUUUGAAUAAUGUCAUUUUGGAAAUGCUUGGAUCUAAUGUCACAUUGUUAUGGAAAACUAGCCUGGAUAAUGUUAACCUUUAUGAGAUAAUUAUUGUUAUAUAUAGUCUUGGAUAAUGUUGAUCUUUAUGAGACAAUUAUUGUUAUGAAGGGCUGAGACUAUGACUAUUACUGAUUGUAAAAUUGAUUUCUUCCAUAAUAUUUUUUUUUUACAUAAUUGUUACAUUUAUUUAUAGUAUUUGAUAGACUCCUGUUAAACCUAAAUUAAGACACAUGUCAUGAUUUAAUUAAUGUUAAUAUAUAUUUUAAUUAAUUAAUAUAUUUACCUCCAUGAAUUGGUAGUAGAUACCAAUCAUUCCGGGAGCAUUCAACUCCUAGAAGUACAGUAACUAUGCAACCAUCAUUGCCUCUGUACAAGAGCAUUCAAUAUCUACAUUCUCUUCCGCGAAGGAAACUGGUGUGCAGAUUUCAUGGUUACACUGAGAUCAAAUGGCCUCCUUUAGGAGUAUCCUCCUUGCUGUUAGCAAGUCUCAUGGGCAUAGUUUUUAUUUCAAACUAUCUAACUUAAACCUUUAUUUUCUUGUUUCCGUUUGUAACUUGAUAAAAUUGUAUUAUUUUGCUCAUAAUUUUCUAGCUUUAAAGAAUUUGUAAUUUAUUUAUUUAACUUUUAAAUAUUCUUGGUAUCAUUUUUUUAAAGGAAAUGAAAGUAAUUGGGUACUGUCUAGGCUGGCAAAACCCAUUGCAUAAGCCUAUGGUAGUUAUGUUUAAUAAAUAUUAGAUGUAAAGAGAAAAUGUCCAAUUAAAUCUGAAGUCUAAUAAAAAAUAUUAUAAAUAGGUGAUUAACCUUAGAGUUAAGAGUUAAGUAUAGUGAAUUUUAUAUAAUAAUUAACUAAAAUCUAAUUUUAUCAUCGAAACUUCUUGUAGGUGCACACAUAAUACCUGAGAACAACUACCAAGACCAUAGAUCGAGAGUUCCAGUUGAUUCAGUUCAUAAACUAUAUCCAAAUCCAAAUCAAAUAAACAGUGUAACAAAGUUCAAGUCCAAAUAGAAUAUCGAAAAGCUGAUAGGUCAAAAAAGAAGAUUGUUUGUAAUCCAAUAAUAACAAAUAUUGUCUAAAACAUAUUUUUAAGGUAAAUUCUCUUUUUGCACUUUAUUUUAUAUCAAUAAAUUCUUAGUUUUUUUUUCAAAGUAAAUAUUUUCUAUGCGUGCAAAAUAUAUAACAUUAGAUAAAGAGAGUACUAGUAAAUUAUAUUAUUAGAUUAUAUUAUUAUUAUAAUAAGCAUAUAAGUAAAUAUAUUAUAAUAAUUUAAGACGAAUUCCAAAUAGAAAUAAUUAAAGGUAUUAUUAGAGGCGACAAGGAGGUGAAUGCGUUUUGUUAGUUUGAUUCAUUGAGGGAUUAUGAUAUGACAGGCCAGUGGAGUUAGUGUGCACACACUCACUCACUUGGUGGACCUAACACCCCGUCUCUCAUGCUAAAUUGCGCACAAACUCAUAAUGCCCAUCAUUUUUUAUAUCCACCGCAAAUUAAAAACCCAUUAAUUAAAAAUUCUUUAUUUAAUAUUUUCAAAUAUACAUUCAACUUUUCGCCCUCCACCAUUUAAUAAUUAACUUCCUAUAUUAAUUACUUUCUUCAGCAUUUUAACGGUUUAUAUAUAUACAAAAGUUGAGUUAAUAGUUUGUUUUGAAGUUAAUUGUGUUAUAUUUACUAUUAAGACUAUUAUUUUUUUUGGAUUAUUUAUAGUAAGUGGACCAUUGUUAAAAUGUGGAAAAAUUAAAUUUAUAAUUUUUUACGGGCAAAUGUUUCCUGCACCCAAUAUAUCUUUUUAGUUUACAAAAAUGUCCUUAAUUUUGGAAAUAAAAAUUUGGAAUUGAAAAUAAUAUAUUCUAGAAAAAUAAAUUCGAAAGUGAUUAUUGAGUUUUGGAAAUAAAAAUCUGAAAACAAAAAUUAAAAUCCUAUUUUGGAAAAAAAAUCUGGAAUUAAAAAUAAUACAUUCUGAAAAAAAAAAUCCAAAAAAGAGAUUAUUGUGUUUCAGAAAUGAAAAUCCAGAAACAAAAAUGAAAAAUCCAUUUCGGAUAAAAAAAUCCGUAAUAUAAAAAUUUGUUCUGAAAAAAAAUCCAGAACACAUAUUUCAGAAAUUUUUUUUAAGGACAGUUUCGUCUUUUUCACUGGAAUCGGGUGCAGUGAUAUGGUGCAGAAGUAAUUGCCUUUUUUACAUUUUUAUUAAAUUGAAUGUAUGAACUGAUAAAAUUGUUAACUUAUAAUUUAUUUAAUGAACAAUUUUGUUUAUAAAUAAUUUUUCAUUUAAUCCUUCGUGUGAUACCAGAUGAUUAUUGUUAGUUGAUAUCGAUAUAACUAAAGUGUCAUAACUAUGUCUUCUACUAUAUUUAAAAAAAAAAAUUGAAAUUGUGAAGUGUAAUGAGGGAUUACUAAUGGCUUAAUAGGAGACUUCUAUGAACCACUUUUAAACAUUUUCUUCACCUUCACCAACUGUCCCCUCUCUCUCUCUCUCAUUUAUUUAUUAUGCGCAUAGAGAAGAAAAGUGAACACAACACAACAACCACAGAGAAACAGUUAGAGAAAUUGGUGCCAAAAUUCAGAAUUGCUUACUCUCGCUGCCAUGGCUGGUCUUCAAAGAUCUGCAGUUUCCUUCAGGAGGCAGGGUUCUUCCGGCUUCGUUUGGGACGAUAAGUUCUUAUCAGAGGAAUUCAACAAACUCAAUAACCAACACCAAAACAACGACGCCGAUCAGACUAAAGACCUUCAACUUCAACCACCGCCGCCUCUCCAGAGAACCCGCACCAGCGGCGGAGCUCGCGCCUACCGCACCGGAAAAGUAUCGCCGGCGAUCGAGCCUCCGUCUCCCAGACUCUCUGCAUGCGGCUUCUGCGCCGCGUUCGGAAAAACACCGCCGCGGGACCACAGCAAGCCGCAACGGACUAUGGCCGCGAAGCAUCGAGCGAGGUAGACGACGGAGGGUGGAGGUUGUUGCAGGCGACGGAGAAAGAAUAUUCCGGCGAGGUUUCUACUCUUUGGUUUUAUGAUGUAAUGUUUUCACUUUUAGGUUGGUAGUGUAGGGCCGGUUGAGUUGAAUUUAUAUUAAAUUAAGGACAUAAUCAUCACCUCACUACUCUAUUACUUCUCUUUUCUUAAUUUCAACUCUCUCUUCCAUUUUUUUUAUCAUAAUGUUUUGCUUUUUUAACUCUCUUUCAACCUCAAAUUCAAGUGAUAAUAUAUUUAUCCUAGUGAAUUACUGUAUUUUUGAGAUAUUAUUCAUUUUAGAGAUUAAUAUUUUAUCAAAUCCAUUUUUAUAAAUUAAAAAAAAAAUGUAUUUAAAUUAUCUUAAAUGUUGGAGAUCGCACAUCGACUAGAAAUGAAAAUAUUUUAUUGUAUACUAGUUUUAUAAGGUUGAGUUAGGCUUAAAGUUUACUUCGUAAUAUGAUAUCAGAACUAUUUCGAAUUUAUCCUAAUAAGUGUUUGUGUUGGAUUCUGCACCCUAUUAACCGAUCUUAUGAAAUUGAAUUAAACUUAAAGUCCAUAUAUUAAAAUAUAUUAACGAUAUCAGAAUAUUUAUAAACUGCAUUUUUGUUAAUUUAAUUUUCCAUAAUUUCCAACAAAAAUGAGAAUGGAAGGAAUAAAUACUAUAUAUAUACUAUUGAUGAUUAUGAAUUGACAAAUCAUUAUAAUACUUUAACUUUUUAACGGUUGUUAUCCUGCUCUAUGUUUUGUAGUGAAGUAAUGAUAUGUAAUUAUUUUGUGUUGAUAUAAUCUAUAAUAUUGUUUUAUAUAUUCAAUAAUUUUACCAAUAGGCCCACAAAUUUUACUAAGAAAUUUACACAAGGGAAUUAAUUUUAUAUAUCCUUAUAUUAUAAAUAGGAGUUGAGUUUUUAAUAGCGUAAAUUAUAAAAUGGGAUGUUAUUUUAGAAUGAGGAUAAAAUAAUGCGUAGUUUUGGUUUAACUUAUGUUAGUUAAAUAAUUGCGUAUUCUGAUUAUUUUUUAGAGAGUUUUUUUUAAAGAAAAUAACUAUUCUCCCAAAACUAAUUGCAACCAAACAUUACUCAUGUUAUUUUCUCGCUUUAAUUUUUAUUUUUUUUUCUUUGAUUAAUUGUUAUUUAAUAGGGCAAAUUUUGAUUAUUAAUAUUUAUAUAAUAGAAAAAUGUAAGUGAUUUUAUGGUAUCCCUUUGUUUGGCGUUUUAUGCGUGAAGAGGUGUCCACUAGAAGGAGAAAGUAUGAGCAAGACACUCAUUUUUUAUCUAUGCAUUGGUUUUUGGUGUCUCUUUGGAUACAUACCAAACAAAACACAACACUUGCUUGGAUAAUAUGAAGCCCAAAUUUUAUGGUGGACACUCACUAAGCUUCUACACCCACUUCAUCCCAAACCUACUUUAUAAUAUUUUUGUAUUUAAUGAUUUUUUUAUAGUAUAUAAAUGAAUGUUCUUUUUGUUGAUACGAGACGGUUGAAAUUUUCUUUCCUUACUUCAGUAUCUAGUAAUAUAAUUUUCAAGAAAUGAGGGGUUCCAUCUAUAGAAAAUACUGAGUUUCAGUAAGAUCAUCAAAUUUUGUGUAUAUAGUGAAUAUAGUGCUAAAAAAUGAGUUUGGAUCACUCCCACCCUAAAUCCUAAACCCUAAUAUGUUAUCAUCUAUUUAUAAGCUUUCAUGGACUUGGAUAUUUGACAAUAGUUUGUUCAGGUUUUAAUGUGACAUAUUAUAGUAUUAUUUCAUAAUAAGAUUGAUAUUCCCAUAAUAUAAUUCUCCAAAUUAAUGUUAUUACAUGGUGAUAAUUCUAUAGGGGUUCAUCAAUAAUAGUCCCACGAAUCUUGGUUAAUUUUACUUCGUCACGGGCUUUCCCACGAUUUAGGUCAAAAUGGAACAUAUUCGACUUGGACUUGAUCGAUUUUAUAAAGUUAAAUUAAGUUUUCACUUUUAACAGUGUUCAGAGUUAUUUAAAAUUUAUCUUAACAAAAAUUUAUUAAGUUGAUCAGGUCACUUCUAUUGGACCACACUUAGAUAUAUAAACCUUAAAGUAAAAAUGGAUUGGAAAUUCUAUAUCAAAUAGAAAUAAGGAUAUUCAUAGUAUAUAAAAAAUGCAAACCUAACCGAUUUUAUAGGAUUGAAUUAAACUUAAAAUUCACUUAUAAAUGGAUAACGUAAGAUUAAAAUGAUAAAAAAAUUAAUAACUAAUAUUACAUAAAUAUACUUAUAAAUGCAUGGCAAUAUUAAUUAUUACUUUUCUUAUCAAUAAGUGUCUAGAACAAAAAAUAGACAGUUAAUUAACUUAUUUUAAGUUGAAAUUAUGUAUGGUGAUUUGGGUGAAAACAAGAAUAAUGGAUACCAAUGAGAGUUAUUAAAAAUAAUUGAUAUUCUGAGAUAUAGUGGUUGAGUUGAAGUGAUUCUUGAGAAGCAUAAACAAUAAGAUGGUAUAUGAGAUGACAAGACAAAUCCAAUACAAGAAUUAAACACAAGCAUCCAAUACAAUUAAUUUAUAAUAAUAUAAAUAAUUAAUUAUUAUAUAUACUAUUUUAUAACUUUUUAAAAUUGAUUAUAUUUAUUAAAUCACUCACAAACUUUCAUCAUUUUUCAUUUAUUUUUUACUAUAUUUAUGUUAAUCCAAAUAACCUCAUUUUCUUCAUAUUUUUUAAAAAUUUAUUCUCUAAUACAAACAAAGCAUAAAAGAUAUAUUUUAAAAAUAUUCAAAUUCUUGUUGUAAAGAGGUAAAAAUUUAUACCUAAUCAUCAUGAUGUUUCAAUUUGCCAAUACAUGUUCUUAAUAUGUUGUAGAAUCGAGGACCAAAAAGUUGUAUAAUUGCACCCUUUUGUUAUGUCCGAGUUCUUUUCUAGUGUGUGUGGACACAUUCUGUUUGCAAUUUUUCUAUUUGAUUUAUUUAUUUGAAAUUCAUGUUCAAGGAUUAUUUUUUUUAAUGUCUCGGAGUUACAUUACAUAUGUAAAUUUUAUCUUAUAAAUUAAUUUUAUAAAAUUAAAUUAAAUUUCUUUCUUAAUAACAGGACCAAAAUGUAUCAUUUUUAAUGUUUUAGGUUAACUUUCUUAGUGUUUUUCAUAUAUCAAAACGUUUUAGAAUUCUGAGUGUAUGACUAUUAGUUUCAGAUUAUAUAACUAAAAAACCUUUUCAAAAUUUUAAGUUUGUUGAAAUAGUAUCAUUGAAUCAAUCAAUCACUUUAUUUAUUUAAAAGAUUUAGAUUUUUUUAAACUCUUUUACAAUUUUAUUUUUAAAACUUUUCGAUAAAUUAAAAAAGAUAAAUAUAUUUAAAUUAUCAUUAACUCGAUCAUAAAAAAAAAUUGACGCUAAAAAAAGUUAACAAUUUAGCAACCCUAGUUAAAGCAAGAAAAAAGCACCAAGAGAGAGAGAGAGAAAAAACGACGUAACACGAAAUUCUUUAUCAUUUGGAUCCAGUUAUUUUGUAUGGGAAGCAGAAGGGUACAAGAGAAGGAAAUUUCGGCUCUUGCAAGAUUAGAUUACCAAGAGACAAAUUUUAUGCUAAAAUGAAAAACAAAUAGCUUCGAUUAUGGUUUGAUGAAUACAAACAUUGCCACUUACGUUGUAAUCUUGUGCAGUGUCUUUAAAUAGUGUUUCUGUUACGUGUUACUCUUUAACUAGUUGUUCCUACUGAACCAGCAACAUAAGAUUCUCUCACAAAACUUCCGAAUCUGACAGAAAAUGAAGAACCUCAGAUAUUGUUUCAGUUGGGCAUUUAUUAUUAUCUUCAUUCAUGUAAAUGUACUUGUCACUCCAUAUCUCACUGGUGCAGAAGGGUUUGAUUCUGUGAUCCAGCACCCACGUUCCAGGUGGAGAAGAAGCAGAACUAGAACCAAAUGGGUUCUUUAUGUCGAUGAUUAUGGUGCAAAAGGAGAUGGCUUUCACAAUGACACCGAGGUAAUUGCUUCCUUCUAUUUCACAUGCUGCUUUUUUUUUAUCAGCAAUCAUAAUGGUGUAAUUGUUGCAACAGGAAAAUCACUUACAUGUAGUGAACCGAAUUGCUUGAUAAUCCACAGGAAAGGGUGUUUGUUUAGAGUGUGAAUCAGGGAGGAGGGUAUUUUGAAUGAAUCUUCUGCUUAAAACUGAAGUAUUCAGAUUCAAGUCUUGCUAAAUGCUUAGGAAUAGUUAAAGAUGCAACCCUGUUGUCUUAGAUCUCAUAAUAGCCAUGAAAUGUUUGAUAAUUUGUAUGAAAGAGCUAGGUAGGGUUAGGAAUCUCCCCUGCAGCAACUGCAAGCACAGUAACAGCCACCAUGACUUUGUUUAUUUAUUUAUCUUUUCAGGCCUUCCUGGGGGCUUGGGGAAUCGCUUGUUCUCUUGCUGGAAUUAUAAAUCUUGUUUUUCCAUUUGGGAAAACUUUUCUUGUUCAUCCAGUUGACAUUGGUGGGCCUUGUCGAUCUAAGAUUACUUUGGUGGUAUGCUCACAGAGUCAAAUCUCCCAUUCUUGUCAUGUGCUCCUUUCAGUUCCCGAAUGAGGUGUGAUUCUAUAGAAAAUAUGCACUCUAUUAACUUUCAAAGUUGUUAUAGAUAUCAGGUACAAUAGUUGCACCGCAAGAUCCUGCUGUGUGGCUUGGUUUAAACCAGCGCAAAUGGCUUUACUUCCAUGGGGUGAAUCACCUCACUGUUGAUGGUGGAGGGAGUAUCAAUGGAAUGGGAGAGGAAUGGUGGGCCAGAUCAUGCAAGAUCAACACCAAAAAUGUAUUGCUUCCUGGAAAUAAGUUAAUAUUUUGUUCAAGUUUAAUCAACUGUGUAACUAAAGUGGCUUCAAAAUGUCCUUUCGCAGCCAUGUCAUCCUGCUCCAACGGUUAGUGAAGCUUCAAAUAUGGAGAAAACCAGAUCGGUUUCCCUCAUCUGAUAUCUGUUAUGUGUUUUAUUGGCUGAAUAUGAAACAACAUUUACACUGCAGGCUCUGACUUUUCAUAAAUGCAAGGAUCUAACAAUCAGAAAUCUUAUGCUGAUAAAUAGCCAACAAAUGCACUUGUCAUUCACUAACUGUAUGAGGGUUCUUGCCUCCCAUCUCAAAGUAUUAGCACCUGCUUUCAGCCCUAAUACUGAUGGAAUCCAUAUCAGUGCAACAAAGGGGGUUCAGGUCAGGGAUACUGUAAUUAGAACAGGUACUGCUGAACACUUAUUUUCAACCAAGUGUCAUUUUAGGCUUGAAUGAUGUUAAGGUUUCAACGGCAAUUUAAAUGUUCUUUACCUCAAAUAGCAAUUGUCCUGUAAUUAUUAAAUAAUUAGCCAUAUUACAGAACACACUAAAGAAAAAUCAGAGGAACAAAAAUGAGCAAAACUUGAACAAUAACAGGCAAAAUAUGAAGAACCAUGCAUGUUGCAGAAUUUGGACGAGAGCUCACUCUAAUUGCAAUGAUUACUCUCAUCACUUACAUUAUGUUCCAGAAUAAACUUUGGUAGUGAAAUCAUAUACCAAAAGAAAAAUAAUGCAGUCCAUUAUUUUCAAUUUCAGGUGAUGACUGCAUUUCAAUAGUCAGAAAUUCUUCACGGGUCUGGAUCAGAAACAUCUCUUGUGGUCCUGGCCAUGGCAUAAGGUGAAAGUAACUUUCACUUUUCAAUUCUCAAGACAUUAAGUGGUGUAAUUGUUUUAACCUGGAACCUAAUUUUUCAGCAUCGGUAGCUUGGGAAAAUCAAAGAAAUGGGAGACGGUGCAGAAUGUAAUUGUCGAUGGAGCUUAUCUUUACAACACAGAUAAUGGGGUGAGAAUCAAAACUUGGCAGGUGAGUUUCUUAACACUGUAGCACUUUCUUUUUAUAGUCAUCCAGCAAUGAACACAUUGAUUGACUUCCCUCAAAUUUUCAUUAGGGUGGUACUGGUUUUGCCUCCAAGAUCACAUUCCAGAAUAUAUUGAUGGAAAAUGUCUCUAAUCCAAUACUAAUAGAUCAAUACUACUGUGAUUCACAACAUCCAUGUGAAAACCAGGUACAGAAUUUUUUGAUGUUUUUGCUAGCACAUUCUGACAAAUUUUCCUUUAUGUGGAGUGAUGCAUUAUAGUUGGUUGGGGAAACUUUUGAGGAACUGUCUCCAUAACUUUGAGAAAAAAUAUUAUUUGGAGAAUAUACUUCGCAUUGAUUAUGUAGUCACUAGACCUCUGAAUCUCCAAGGAGGACAAAUCACUUAGUCCUUGUUUUUUCUUUCAAAAUUUAUUCCAAACAACAGAGGGAUUUAGCUUCUAGAAUUGAUAGAGAAGUUCAAAUUUGUAGUAAACUAUACUGAAGCUCAAAUAUACUGAAAGAAUGUAAUUUCCUGUAUCAAAAUACAGACUUCGGCUGUGAGAGUGGAGAAUAUAUCCUUCAUUGAUAUACAAGGAACUUCAGCCACCGAUGAAGCAAUUAAAUUUGCAUGCAGUGACGUUUCUCCAUGUGAAGGACUAUAUCUUGAAAAUAUUUUUCUUGUAUCGUGCUUCGGAGGAAAUACUAGCUCUUUCUGCUGGCAAGCUCACGGUUCUGCUCGGGGAUUCUUGUAUCCUCCUCCCACUUGUUUCUCAACCAGUGAUGAUUUCAUUAGACAAAAUGUCUUGGUAGAGUCAAACCCUGUUAUUCAUUCCAUUUGAAUCAAAGGUAUAGAAUAAAAUGAGUACUCUAUCGUUUAAGGGGAAGGUAUAUAUGGUGGUCACCUGUGAUCCAUUUUGAAGGUUUGGAAGUCUAGAUUUGAAUUAUACAACUCGUAUUUUUCAAACAAUUUUUACACAUCAAGAUAUCUGCAAAACAAGUCACUGGUAAGUCACGUUUUCAAAAUAUCAAGUUCAACUUUGAUCAUGAUUUUAGAACUUGUUUCUUAACUUUUCAAGGGCUUCUUUUACAUAGUAGCACAAAAAGUCUGUCUAGUUUUUCACCCAACAAACAUAGCGCAAAUCCAACAAAUACGAAGAAAGAUAUAAUAAAAUCAGUGAAUUGUGUUUACACGAAAUCAUCAUUGGUAGCAAGCAUAUCAUAUACCACUUUACAAAUUUCCAACUCAACAUUCACAUUUCAAAACUGGUUCAUAAAAUUUAAAAUCAUAGAAUAAGAACAGACAAAAAGAUUAUACUAUUGAACAAAUGAUUUGUUUUCAUUAUUUUGUAAACCAUUGUCUAUGGGGAAAACAGAUAUCCAUAUCAUGAUUGUCUCGUCUCUUUUGUAAAUUCCAAUUACACGUUUUUUAAGUCUUGUGUAAUCUUUGAGCAUCAAAAUUAUGCUCAAUGAUAAGGAAAAAAGAAAAUGCACAGAAAGAAAAUGUUAAAUUCCAUUUGCAUGAUGUUUCUUAAUUGUCAAACUUUUCUACCAUUUUCAUACAGUAGAAGAUGAAUUCUUCAGCAGCGCAUAAAUGGUAAAGGAACAUUACUUGAAUAGACUAAUAAUAAACAUACAACUUAAUAUCUCAAAAGUAAAACAAAAACACGUAGCGUGUUUAUGGUACAUACCCAAGAUUCGUUGUAUACACAGUGUAAAAAGCUAGGGAUGAUUAAUAUCAAGAAUAUUGAAACUUGUAUGAAGUGAAUUGAUCAGACAGAAAGGCAGAAUUCAGACACUGAAAAGUGAGUGAAAUUUAGUCACUCCCCAAACUCUAAAUAUUUCUAACUUAAUGCAUCUGGACUACAUGCUAAGAUCUACAAGUGACGACUUUUCACUAACAUGAACAAGAAAUUUGUGAAGAAGCUGUUUCAAAGCUUCAAGCUCUAAAAAGCAACAGUGUUAGCGAGGGCCAAGUUUGGGGCAUCCACGGGCAAGAGGCUUAGAACUGUUUUCUGGAGCUCUGAAAGUUCGAGGUACCAUCUUAUCAACAUACAGUGUUCCAUCCAAGUGAUCACACUCAUGUUGUAAAAUCCGAGCCUGCCAACCAGUGGCAUUUAUUUUGAUGGGUUUCCCGUAACGAUCAAAACCUUCGACCUCAACAUCAAGGUGUCGCUCUACCACAGCGUAACCAACAACACUGCAAAAUGUCAUUACAGAUGAAGAUGUUCUUAUAUGUUAAAUUAUGACAACAACAUUGACUAGCUGUUAGCUCAACAAUAGUUAAUCAACAAAUUCAAUUGGACCCAAUCAGGUUGGUGGACAAUCUCACUGAAAACGUGGCACAUUUACAAGAGAGAGGGAUAAUAUUGUUAAGAGAUCCCACUGUUCUUUUGCACAUGCCCUUUUGAAACUGCUUUUAAACCUCCACAAACUCUAUUGAAUAUCGAAAGCCACAUUUAAAAAAUAAGGAAAAGAACAUACAGAUAAGAUACAAAAAUUAAGACAAACAUGGUUGAAACUUAAACCCAAGCUACAACAGAAUAUGGAGGUCACAGCUUCUUGUGAUCUCAAAGUUUAGAAAUCAUCUAAGCAAUCAUCUUAUAGAUAAUUUAUAGAUAUUAGCAGAACUUUUACGUACCGGUUACAUGCACGAACUGAAGACUCAUCGUUUGGAAAGCAAAUAAGAAAUUUGCGACAUUUUAGUUUAGCCCUUAACAACUUCAAUCACAUUAACUCUGAACCAUUCUUUAAAAUGGAAGAAUAUAUAUACAUAUGGUAUAUGUAUAGAAAAUCUUCAGAUAAUAUGGUAUCAUACUAGUAAUCACUUGAAAACAAGUGGAUCUUUUUUAUUUGUUCCAUAAUCUCUUCUUUGUUAUGCUAAAGUAAUUGAGAAAAUUAAAGGCAGGAUGCUGGUCUCGGGAAAUUUGAAGCCAUAACUCAAGAAAUGACCGACUGCGUCAAGAGUCUAGACAGACACUUAAAUAUACAGCACGCUCUCUAUCAUUGAUUAAAGAUUGUUGCAAAAACAUAAAACCAUGAUUGAGACUCAUUUAAAUGUGACGAAAGAAUUUCAAAAUUUAGUAAUGUGAAAUAAAUUUUCAAUCAAUAAUAAAGAGUGAGUUCAAACAAGUGUAUAGCAAAGUAUGUUACCAGCAUUUCUCAAUGUAGAAUUCCUAAAAGUAAAAACACAAAUGCAUCUGCCACUGAAUGUUACUAUAAGGAGGAAUGGAGAUAUUGAAACUUAUGGAAAAGCAAGUAAUGAAUUGUUAACAAGGUAUAGGCACACCUCAAGCAUCCUUCAAAAAAGAGUGCAGACCUGUUGGUCUUCUUCUUCAGCUUAGGAUUCAAGAUCACCUACCUCAAAUCAAGAGAGCUGAAUGAAUUUGCAUAUUAUGAUGUGAAGUUGAAUUGAAUAGUUCUCUAUUGUUUGCAUUGCAUAGAAUUGGAGAUGGAGACAGACAUAGACAUACCAUAAGAUGAAAAGGUCUUCUAUCUUGUUCUUUGAGCGCUUCCUCAUCAUCAUAACCCAUAUAUUCUUCUUUAUCUUCCAAAACAAUUAUCUACACACAAACACAUAAAAGAAAUCAUAUAUUUCGAUGCGAUUGCAUAGGUAAGUGUUAUUGAUCCAGAAAAUGAUAAGGCACAUUAGAUAAGAUAGAAACCCUAAGGGAAAUUCCAAUCUGUGGAGCAGCGAGACCAACACCAGGUGCCUUUCGCAUGACGCGGAUCAUGUCGUCGAUGAUCUUCUGUACUCUCUCUGAUUUCAUCUCUGACGCCUCAACUUCUUUGGCUCGCUCGUGCAGAACCGGUUCUCCGGCUUUCACAAUUUUCGGUAACUUCCAUGCUCCGUCCAUCAACCAUCCCGAACCUGAGCUCAUCCUCUUCCCUGCCAUUCCGUUCGUGCUGGUGGUGGUGGUGGUGGUGCUGCUGCUGCUUCGAAGGCACCCGUGCAUUACGACGCCGUUUCGUAAGAGGUACGCCGCCACCGGAACCACGCGCAGCCGCAACGCCACCAGCUGCACCGCUUCCAUGCUUUCUUCUUUCACCCACUCCCAUAUUCAAAUUAAUUUCAUUUUAUUCUAUUUUCUAUUUCGGAAAAGGAAAAUAAUAGUUUAGAACUUUAUGAGAUGGAUUUAAAAAUAAAUAUAAAUAAUUAAAAGUAGUUUAUAAUUAAAUAAUAUAAAAAAAUAUUAAAAUAAUAAUAUUUGGAAUUAUAAUAUAAUUAUAUACAAAAUUAUAAUGGUUAAUGUAUCAUUACGAAAAAUAUGGUUGAAAGCAUAGAUUUACCGUUUUUUUUUCUCUUAUAUAUAUAAUAUUGCCAAUUUAUUUAGUCAAAUAUACUUAACUUAAAAUUUAGGUUGAGAAUUCGGUCAGAAAAAACCGAAAUUUAAGUUUUUUUUUCUAUUUUUUAUUUAAAUUAUAUUGGUAACUAAUUUUGAUUUAAAAAACAAUUAGAUAAAUUUGUUUAAUAAUUAAUAUAUUUAAUAUAGUUUUAAAAAUGGCAUAAAAGUAGUUAGUUAAUUAAAAUAUAUUUUAAUAAGAAUUAAGAAUUUAUAAUUAAUAAUCAAUAAUAUUUAAUUUCAAUUUUGAGUAUUAUUGAAAAUUAACGAAAAAAAAUAAUGAUUAUUUUAAAAUUAUGAUAGAGUAAAAAUAAAAAUAUUUUCAAUAUGAAAAAAUAAUUUUAAAAUAGUUAUUUUAAUUAUUACAUAUGGAAUUAUAAAGAAGGUGGAACAUGUAUAUCAAUAUCAUCCGGAAAUGAAUUAUUUAGAUAAUAAAAGCGUGAAAACUAUUAUUCGUUAUAAAAUUACUAAAUAAAUUAAAAAAGGUUUUAUUACUAUCUUCCGAAAAAGUAAAAACCAAGUUAAUUGCGUUUUAGUAAUGUCCUUUAAAAAUAUUAGUUUUAUUAAUGAUUAUUUUAAAAUCCAUAUUUAAAACAAUUGAUAUUACUUCACUAUAUAAACCUUUGCAUAAACAAAAUAAUGAUGAUAAUGUUAAAAGAUACUAAAUAAUAUUUGCUAAAAAUUGAAUAUGCACUUUAACUUUUAUUUUUAUGAGUAUCUUAUCACUUUCAUAGUACAUAUCACAUCCGAAUCAUGUUUAUUUUUUAUAAAAAUGUUUUUAUAUUAAGUAUUAUUAUGCAACUUGACAUCUCAAACAUUCAGGUAUACUGACAACUCAAGUAACAACACAAUAAUUUAUCAUCACAUAAAAAAUAUUAUUAAAAAUAAAAUUAAAGAAAAUAUAAAAAUAUAGAAAAUUAGGACAAAAUCUAUAUAUUAAAAAAAAUAUGUAUAUAAACUAUAUUUAUUUAUAAAUAAUUCUAUAAAACCAUAAAUUCUAAAUCUUAAACCCUAAACCCAGAAAAAAUUCACUUAUGUAUUUAUAAGUAUCUGGUAUGUAUUUAUAACUAUAUGGUAUAAGUUUGGUUUGUGUCUGCUUUAGCAUUUAUGUUGUGCAUCACAUUCGUCUAAUGCUUUUAUAUCUAUAUAAUUAACAUUGCUUUGUGUGUCAAGAGAAUAUGUGGUAUAAGGUUUUCAAAUUGAUAUGCUAAUUUUCAAAUUAGGGUUUUUGAUAAAGAUGUUGUGGUAUAGAAGGAAGUGUAGGUGUUGCAAAUAGAAAAGCCUUUAUGUACCCAUUUGGCAUUUUGUGAGAGAAAUAGGAAUUCCCCAUGCCUCUUAAUCAAUGCCACGUAUGGGAAUCACAUGCCCAUCAUCAUAUUUAAUGCACAUACAUUGCACCCAUCUAAUCUAUUAUGGUUUAGACAGGUCGGUAUAGAUGCUCAAUAAUUUAUCUUCUCCAUCAUUGCUUUUCAACAAUUUUAACUACACUUACAACUAUAUCAAAACAUUAGCAUUUCGUACAAAGAAAAAGUUUGUUUUCAACUCAAACUAGAAGAUAAUAUGAAGAUAAUAAAUAUAUGCAUCUUCUUCCUCAUAUAUAGUGAUUCAAAUUUCACUCACACUCACUAAAACUUUUUCUGUUGUUAUUUCUAAGAUGUUAAACACAUUUUUUAUGUCGAUAUUCAUUAUAUAUUAGUGAGUAGAUAUUGACAUUCUUCAACUCGUAGUUAAUAUUAUAUAUUUAUGGGUAAUUCGAUAACAAAUAAGUUAAUAUAAAAUUAUGAAACUUUGAUUAAAAUAAAUUUUAAAUAACUCUAAUAAUAUAUUAAAAAGUUAUAAAAUUAAAUUAUAAAGGUUUAAUUACCUUUUUCGUUCCUAUAUUUAUAGUUAAUAGUUAAUUUGGUACCGUGGUUUUAAAAAAAUUCAAUUUGGUCCCUAAGUUUUUUUAAAAUGUAUUCAAAAUGGUCCUUUCUGUUAAAUAUCACCAAACGGUGUUAAGUGGUGCUUAUGUGGCAGACACGUGUAAGUUACGUGGAUAGUGCUUACAUUACUUUAGUGAAUACUGAAUUAUGGUUUAGGUUAUUCAAAUUGGGGAUUUCGAAUUUCUGAUUUAGGGUUUCUAAUACGAGGAUUGCUCCCCUGGUUGGAUUCUGUGGUGCGCUUCCCAACUUCGAUUCCAUUCGGAGGUGUGCUCCCCUCAUUUGAUUCUGUGGUGCGAGUGAAUUCGGAGGUGCGAUCUUAAUUGAAACUGCAACUCUAAUUAAUCAGUUAACCAACAUAGUUUCAAUUAUGAAGUUUACUUCGCUCACUGCAACCAUUGUGGAAUUGUCCAUUAGACCACAGAAUCCAACCAGGGGAGCAAUCCUCGUAUCAGAAACCCUAAAUCAGAAAUUCGAAAUCCCCAAUUUGAAUAACCUAAACCCUAAUUCAGUAUUCACCAAAGUAAUGUAAGCACAAUCCACGUAACUUACACGUGUCUGCCACAUAAACACCACUUAACGCCGUUUGGUGAUAUUUAACAUAAAGGACCAUUUUGAAUACAUUUUAAAAAACUUAGGAACGAAAUUGAAUUUUUUAAAAACCAUUGUACUAAAUUGACUAUUGGUUAUAAAUAUAGAGACGAAAAAGGUAAUUAAACUAAUUAUAAAAUAAAAUUUUGAUUCAAUUAUAUUAUAUUUAUUAAUUAUUUUUAUAUUUAGUUGAUGUGUGAUUCCAAAACUAUUUAGAAACUUAAUUGAUAGUGAAUGUAAAAGAAAGUCACAGUUAUAAUCCUAUAAAAUAAAAUAUUUAUUAUAAUUUGUGAAACAUGGCGUCUUGAAACCUGAUCCUGGGAGGCAGGAAUGGGCAUAUCACCAUGUCUUAAGCCGCAAGAUGAAAUUCAACGGUGCAUUGCACAUGCCACAACCGCGUGGGAUGGACAAUAAUUUCUUUUUUCUUACUCAAAUUUUAGCAUAUAUUAUUAAGAAAUGAAUUAUUGAGUGAAUUGGAAAAUUAAUUUGAAUAUUAUAUAUAUAUAUAUAUAUAUAUAUUAAUUAUUAUGGUUGACGUUGACGUGAUCUGAUAAUCAUAUUUUAAUGUGAUUAUUUUAAUAUGAUUAUGUCUAUAUCUUAUUAUGUUAAUUACUUUGAUUUUUGAUUGAUGUUUUGUAAAGUUCUUUUGUAUUCUUAAUUUAAUUCAGUGUUAAAGAAGUUUGAUCUGAAUUUUUUUAUAUAAAAAUUAAAAUAUUUAUAAAAUAUCUCAUUUUAUUUAUUCUCGUUGAUAGAAAAAAAAACAGCUAAAUAUUCUGUCUGAGGCACUUUUUUUUCUUCCCAGACUCAAUUAACUUUGGUUUGAAGCUAAAAGCAGUGUGAAAACAUUACAUGAAGCAGAGGCAAAAUAAAGGUAUGAAUUAAAAAGUAGAAACCGCAUAUUCCCUUCUUUGUUCAUCUAUAAAUAUGCUGCUGCAUUCCACAACAAGAACACAAGCAUCAACAGCAAAUUUCUGAUAUGGAGAUGGAAGGAAGAUUGAGGAAGAAGCAGUUGCAGGGAUCAUCAGAAGAGGGAUCAGAGAAGAAGGUGACAGAGGGGAGAGAGAGAACAGAGAAGGCUGUUGAAGACAUCAAUGCUAGUGCUGAUGCAUUCAUCAAGAACUUCAGGAACCAGCUCCUCAUUCAGAGGCUCCAAUCCAUAGAGAAUUACCACCAAAUGCUUAAUAGGGGUCUCUAAAUCUAAUCAUAUCCUUAAUUAAUUUCCUUUCUCUUCAUUUCUUGUUUCUUUUGUUGGAGAACCAUGCAUGGUUUGGACAAAUAAAAGUAUACAAUCCCUAUCAGUUUUAACCAAUGUAUGAUUCCUUUGGCAACCAUGGUGAAAGUUAAAGUAAUAUUAUUUUAAACUUUUUUUUUUAAUCUCAUGUCGAUUAGAGAUACGAUCAAUUCAUAGUAUUAAGAAGUAGAUUUUACGCAAAACUCAACCUCAUAAAACUGGUUUAUAAAGUAAGAUUUGCAUCCACCUAUAUAUUAUAUGUGGGAUCUCCAACACAUUCCUCACGUAAAAGUUACACUUAUAUCUGAGACUAUAUAUCAUGGGUGGUCCGAUAACGAUCCGAUAUCGUGUAGCCUGGUAAGUCGAACAAAAACAGAAUAGACUCAAAACGACUCCAAUACCAUAUUAAGAAGUAAACUUUAAGUCUAAUUAAAUCUCAUAAAAGCGAUUUAUAAGAUAAGAUUUGCACCCAGUUAUAUACUAUAUGUGUAAUCUCCAACCCAUAGUACAUAAAUAACUGCAAAUCUCAUCUUAUAAAAAUAUUUUAUAAAAUUAAGUUAGAUUUGAAGUUUACUUCUGAUAUUAAAUUUCAAUUUUACUUGAAUUAAACUUAAAAAGUCAUUUUUAAUAGUAUUAAAAUCCACUUUUUAAUAGUAGAUGACAACGUUUUUAUAUUCACAUCUCAUAAGGUAAAGCUAAGCCUAUAUCAUUGAUAUGUUAGUUCUAUAAAAUGAUGUUUCAAUAGCUUCUUUAUGAUGGGUUUAUGUUGGGAUUUCACAUGAUUUUUUUUUAUAUAAAACAUAAUUUUUUUUCUGCACUUUUUUUUAUCUCACACUUUUUUAUGGUCAUCAUACUAUUUAUGAGUAUGCAGGUUAAGUUUUAUGACUACAUCUUUUAUAAAAUUUAUAACUGAAAUUUAACAAUCCCAAAACUAAUGAGGGAAAAGUGAUUUGGUUGUUAGGUCAUUGAUUUUAGGCAUAUGUAUGACAAUUUUUAUUGGAUGAUAAUGCAUAAAGUUUUUACACUUUAACUGUAUACUAAUAUAAAAAGUUAUGCAUUAUCAACUAAUUAAAAAUCACUAUAAAUAUUAUUUUUAAGAUAAUUAUUACAAAAUUAAGUCAACAAAGUUACUUCACAAAAAAAAAGUCUAAAAAUGAAAUUUUAAUUUAUAAGUCACACCAACAAGUUCUAACACUCAUUCAGGCUAAUUCUUCCACUAAUAAAAUCAAUUGUGAUCUGCAUCCAAGUACAAAAAUGUUUAUUUUACUCUUAAAUUUUCGAAUAUUUAUAUUCACAACAUAAAAAAAUAAUAUGUGUAUUCUGGAUAUGAUCUUCCGGAACAUAGGAAUGUUUUUAAACACUAAGAUCCAGAAAAAAAAAUGCAAAAUCUAAAAAAAUUAUAAAGAUAAUUUGGAGUUUAAAAAAAAAUAUGAGUGUAGAUCAUAAUUCAUGUAUAGGCAGAAUUAGCCUUACAUAAAACGGAGUCAACCUAAAACUUUGGAUCAGCCCAAAACUAUAUAUGGGUUUUAAAAUAUUUUAAAAAACCAAUGUUUUAAUUAAAAUACAUUGUAUAUUAUUUAUUUAAUUCAAGAUUAAAGUAUGCGACAAAAAAAAUUAAUGAAUAUCUAUCUAAAAAAAAGGAAAAAUAAGACAAAUCAAAAUGAAUUAUUGUUUGUAGUAAUUACUUUCAACGUCAUAUAUCUAUACGAAUUUUUAAUUGGUUGAUAAUAUAAUUUAUUUAGUAUGAAAGUUAUCUCAAAUUAGAAUUUUAUCCUUUGAUUUCCCCUUCACCCCUUUUAUCAUAAAACGGAAUAAAUAUAUUAUUUAACAAAUGAGCAUACAAAAGUAGUGUGAAUUAAUCAGGAAUUAUUUUAUGAUACAUUUAAUAAUAAUAGAUUCAAUUGUUUCUUUCAAAUUUUUUUUUAUUAUUCUUUCAUUUUAUGUGAAGGAUCGUAUUCAAAAUGUUCAAAUAUUUUUUAUUGAAAUGUAUGACAGUUUUUUUAUUAUUGAAAUAGUAACUAAAAGUCAGUAACCAUCACUAUUUUCUAACCUAACUUUUUGAACCCUUCACAUGCAACUUUUAUUUCAUGAAGACAACCUUUUUGUAAUUUACUUUUGUGUCAAAUUAUGUUUGCAGUUCAUCAAAAUUGAUUCUCUCGCGUCAUUCAAAGUUUAAUUCUUUUAUCCUAUUAUUUAUUUUAUGAUAAUUAUGUUAAAAUUUCUACUAGGUUGAUUUUUAAAAUUUGGGAAAACUAAUUAUAGACGCCAAAACAUAAAUGAAAAUGUAGUAUGCAAAUAAUAUUAACUAAACUUAGAUUUUAUAAUAAAGUUUGAUGUGAAUGGAAGAAAUAAUUGAAGCAUUUUAUAAUUUUUGGCAUAAAAAAUGGUGACGAAACAAAAUUGGCAUAUCCAAUUCAGCUUUUGUGUUUCAUUGCUGGUGCUGACUCACCAUGUUUACAGUCAGUAACUCUCAUCCUUAUUGCAUCUCAAUUUCAAUUUCUUAUCUUACUCUUUUCCCUUUCUCAAUCAAUCCUUGUUGAUGGAUAUUUCACUAUUUUCUUUCUUUUCAUAACAACUUCACAAUUCUUUUGUGUUUUUUCUUCCAUGGAUGGUACAUGCAAAAGAUACUCUGAUGUUUAGGUGAGAUCUUGAUGUUUGGUGUAAUUAAUGCGGGACAAUGACAUACUUAUUUUCAAAAUCUGUGACUAUUUAUAUGAUUAUCAUGGACCAUUUGUUAUUGAGCCGAAUUGGAAUUUUGGAUCAUAAUUAAGAGUGUAAUAUCUAAUGCUUGAUUACUAUUUAGUUUUGUUAAAAUCUUCUGGUAAACUUAAUGAUUUUGUUUGUGUCAGUGAACAUAAAUAUUUUUUUAGUUUCUUUCACUGUGAAAUUUAUUUUCAUUUCUAAGCUAAACUUUAGGUAUUUGUAAUAAGAAAAUUACUAAAACUAUUAUUGUCAGUUUUUUUUGUCAUAAUAAAUGAAUUUUGAAAUAGGAUGUUAAGAUGUGGUAUUAUUACAAUACAAGCUAAAAUUUCGUUUCUUACACAUAAAAAAAAGUUGUAAGAAAUCAUUCCAAAAAUAUUUUCUUACUACAAAUACUUAAACUCUAAUAUUUAGAGUAGGGACAAAAAAUAAUUUGGCAUUAUAACCUUUAUUUUAUGUGUUUCUAUGUUAUAACUUCUUACCCAAAAUUAUUAAUACGAGGAUUUCAAGUUUGGAUUAUUUAAUCAAAUUUUACAAUUUAUUUUCCCACUUCAACGUAAAAUUAUAGAUUCAUAAAUACAGGUAAUUAAAUAAGAAAUAAAAUCAACCAAUUUUUUUAUAUUUUUUAAUAAACUCUAAUAUGUAAUAAAAAUAUAUAUCACUAUCAUUUCCCACCCUAGAUUGGUGAGUUUGUUGAUUCUCAAAUUUUACCUACCCUUCUAACGAUGGUUGCUUCAUUCUAUACACAUGAUUAGUUAUUGAUUUUAAGUUUUUUAGAAAAGUGUAUGCAAUGUAAAUAAGUAAGACUUUUUAUAUUGUCAAUAUUUAUUUUUAGUUGUAAUAAUUAAUUUAGUUUGUAAUCUAUAAUUAUUUUUUUAGAUUAUUGAAUAAUUAAUUUAAUAUACGAGAGCAUAUACUUUUUAUUACAUAAAAAGUAAUAUAUUAAGGGAUAUAUACACUAAAAAAAACCAAAUAUGUAUAUGUAAAGGUAAUAAUUUGAAAUUCAAAAUAUAUAAUCAAAAACAUUUUAUCUGAAAUAAAUAAGAGAACCCAUAUAAUUUAUAUCGUAACACUAAUUAAUCAUGUUUUUGGUAUUUAUGAAAUUGAAAGAGUCAUUUAAUAUAAAAAUGUUAACAUCAUUUUAAUAUAACUUUAAAGUGGUUAUUAUGAAACUUAAUACAUUUGCCAUUCAGUUGAUUAAUAAAGUUAAUGUGUAAAAAAAAUCAGAAGUUCGAGAAUUAUUAAUUCAAAUUAAUAUGUACAACAUGCAUGCUUCACGACUUCAUCAAAUGUUCAUUGACACUAAAAUGAAUCAAACCUAAAAAACUGUUAAAAAUUUCUUUUCGUGCUUAAUUGGUUAACCAUGCCGUUCUCUCGAAUUUCCUGUUAUAUCUAUAGCUUUGUUUAUGUUUUGAACAAAUGUUUCUAUAAUUUUUAAAAUAAUUUUCAGAUUUAAUAUCUUUUGUACCGUUCAUGCUCAUACGAUACUUGGAGGUCUGGUAUCCAGUUAAAAUCGACCGACAUAAUUAAAAUCAUCAUGCCCUAACAGAAGAUUAACGAGACUAAUUAGAGAUGAAACAUCAAGUAAUACAUUUUUAAUCAUGAUUCAAAUUCUUAGUUUGACCUAAUAACAAAUUAUCUAUAAUAAUCAUAUAAAUAUGGACAAAUUUCAAGAACUAAAGUACGUCAUCAUUCAGUCCUAAUAUUACCGAGUGUCGGACACUGAAGUCUUAUUUGAACGUUAAAGUGUCUUUUACAAGUAUAAUUCGAAUUUGAAGUUAACGAAAAUGAAAAGUAAAGAAGCACGAAGAGGUCGUAAAGUUAAUUUAAGUAGAGUGGAAGAAAAAUAGACCGAUCGAUAAGGAAAGUAAUCGUUCUCUUGGUUUCAACCCGAGAACAUCUUUAAUUCUAAACUUUAAUUAAAAAAAAUAAAAAAACACUACAUAAAUUUAAAGUUUUAAACAACAAAUAUUUCGUCCAAUAAUUCAGACCUUUUAAAAGCUUCAUUAUAAUUUCCACUUAUAAUUGAUAGGAAAAACUGAAAAUAUUUAUAUAAGAUGAAACUCAUCAUUUAAUAUUCUUCUUCUUUAUACAUUCAAGAACAGUUUGUAUAAGGAGCAGUUUAUGCUUCAAAACAAGAACAAAAUUGAGAAAAGAAACCAGAAAUAAGAACACUAUAACAGCAUGAAGAAGAAGGAGGAGUUGAUAUCCAUGGAUGCAUGUGUGACUUAAACAAUAGCAUUUUGAAUUUUGGUUGAGUCCUGUUUCACAAUCUGGUGUAUCUGUCUGUGUUGAAGCAUCUGAAGGUUCACUCGAGAGCAUGACCUAACCAUGUCACCUCCCAAAGGAAUCACCGGAAGGCUAUCACAGUUGCAUAUCUCGAUCAUGAACCCAUCUGGGUCAUGGAAAAACAACUGGUCCACUUUGAUCCCACCUUCUUCCACCGUUGCACGCACGUACUCCAUCUCCAUUUCCUCAAGCUUCUUCUCCACUGCCACCAUGCUUUCACACUGUUUUCAUUCAUCAACCCACACCCACAAAAACCAUGUUAGUUCCUUUCAUUCAGUCAAUUUGUCAAACACACACCUAUCAUGAACAAAUCAAAAAGCUGAAUCAAGUAAACACCACAAUCUUGCCUGGAAUGAUAUGUGAUUAUCCUUUGGAUUGAUUUCUUUCUUUCUUGGAAUCACGUUCGGCUCCUCUAAUUGAAGCAAGUGAAUCCCAAUUCCAUAUCCAAAUAGCCUGCACAAUGAUUACAAAAUUUAGUCCACCCACAAGAAAAUUUGAAAUUUUUUGGACUGAAACAAGUUGUUUUGUUGGGGUGAUGAGAGUUUUCUAAAAGCUCGUUCUCUGAUAAACACGCAAACACACAAUUUUCACACACAAUUUUCACCGAGAUACCCUUAGAGUUCAUUUUUGGUAGGAAAAAAUUGAAUUACCAUGCGCCGUCAAAAUCAAAUGAUCCUGGCCUUCUGAUGGGGAAGAAGCCGAGAACGUUCUGAUAGAAGUUGAUGGAUUUUACGACGGAGGUGCAGACGAGGGAGAUGUGGUUGACGGACUUUAGGUGCAGAGGGUUUUCUACGAUUUCUUUCAUUUUCUGAAGCAACAAACCAAGAGUUGAAAAUGCAAAACCAGAGAGAGAGAAGAAGAAGAUAGAAAGGGAAGGAGCAGAAGAAAAAAAAGAGAGGAAGUGCACCUACCAAGGCGAAAUGGCUGGGAACUAUAUAUAGAAGGCAAGUCGCCAUGAGUCCCACAUCGAUGGAUAUUUUUUUUUGACACCUCGUUUCCACGUUAGCCAAUCACCGGUCAAAUCCACGCCCCCAUCAAAUCCAAUUAGAAAAACGUUAAAUGCAAUUCCAUGAACAGUGUAAUAGUAUUGCCAUUUUUCUUAUAUUUUAUUUAUUAAAGUUGUUUCAAAGUAUUCUUUUAACAAUAAAAAAUAAAUAAAUUUGAAUCACUUUAGGAGUGGUUCAACCUUACACCUUUAUAUAAAAUAAAAUAUCUAAGACACUCCAUCUUAAAACUCGCACGUCUAGGAUUACAAAAUACUCCUGACUUAACCUAAAAAUAAAUACCCUAAAAACAAACACUUGAGUUAAAAGAUAUAUCAAGAAACCAUCAUCAUACAGAUCGAAGGUUUGAGACACCACUCGUAAAAGGAGAACAAACCAGAGAGACUACUUUGACGUAAUCCAAUAUCAAGUCUUCACUUGAACCAAAACAACUACUUCUAAACCAUCGACAACUCCCCCAUUCAAGAUUACGUUGUUUCAAAACCUAAGUUCUUUAAUUUCUUCUAAAAUAAUCUUAAAUUAUUCAAAAGAAACUUCUUUCAAUACAAAAUUAUAUCAAAUUAUAAGUUGGAAUCUAACUUUGGUAAUUUAGUAAGAUUGUGGUUGCAAAUUUUAAGGGGCUAUAAUUAGAUUUUUAUAGUAGCUUUGCAAAUUACUUAACAAAUAUAUAAGUCGUAUUUGAAGAUUGACUAUGUUAGACUUCUUAAUAAAAGUCUCGUAAAAUAAAAUUAAUUGAGCCUUAUAUAAAUUGAAUGUAUUUUUGGGAUAUAAGGGAGUGAAGAAUAAUUGAGGAUCACGAAACCCUUCAACAGUAUAAUUUUGAAUUGAAUGUGCCAUGAUUUCAUCUUAUAUACACUGCACAAGGUCACAAGUUAUAGUGCAUUAAUUUUUGCAUUAAUUUUCACAAGUUUGAAGUCUUUGAUAUUCUUUAUGACACUCUUCUUUUAUGAUACACAUUCUAAGCUCCAACGUAAUAAUUUGGAACAAACAUUAAAGGAUGUCACAGUGUUAAAGAUGAAUGAAUGUCAUUUUUUUCAAGUUUAGACAUCUUUUUCAUCAAGUUUGAAGAAUAAAAAACACUUUCACUUAGAAAAUAGACGUGUCAAUUCAUCAGCAUAUUUGAUUUUAUCUAUUUAAUUAAUUGAGAUCCUCAUAUCAUAGAAUAACAUCUUAGAUCAUACCUAAGUUGGAAGAUCCCCUUUUUAGAAAGAUUGGUUAUAUUUUGAUUUUUUUUUUUAUAAAUUAGUAAUAUAUUAUUCUAAAAUAUAAGAAAAUUAUCAAGUGUUUUAGUCUUUUGGUCAAAAGACUUUUUUGGAUACUCGUGAGAGUAGAUGAAAUUUCUUAGUUUUUAUCUUUCAUUAUACACAAAUUUUAAUCCUUUUUACUUUUAAUAAUUUUAUUUUUAUAGUAAAUGUUUCAUUUUUUUAAACUUUUUUCAUUCAAAUAAAUCAACCUUGCACUAUGAAUAAAAAACUAAAUAAUGAAAAAAAAAUCUUGUUUUGGAGUCCAUAUUUCCCACACUUCAUUUUCUUGUUUUAAAUACCUCCUUAAAGAUUUUUUUCUAAUAACACAAGGAAGCUAUUGCUUUCAUUGGUUAGUAUCCAUGCAUUAUGUCUGAAUUAAUUUUCACUAUUAUAUGUCUCCAUUAUUUUCUUCAAGAUUUUCAUUACUUGAGCCCACAUGAAUAAAUAGCAGAAAAAAAAGAUGUGAAGCACGAUAAAUUAUUUCUGGACAAAUAACAUAAUCACUUUAGUUACCUAAUAUAAUGAAGACAACAUCGAUCCACUGAUUUUCCAUUUUUAUAUUUUAAUUUCGUUGUUUUUUUGACAGUAUAAAUAUCUUUUAACUAUAUAAAAUAGAUUUAUACUCAAUAUAUAAAAAAAAUUAUUUAUAUUCUUCCAAAGUCAAGGUCGGAUUCUUUAUAGAGUAAUUUUGUUUAUUUUCUGCUCCGGUCUUUUUGUAUACGUAAUAAUAUAAUAUUCUAUUAAUACAAAUUUAAUUAGUUCGAUUUUUACAAAACUGAGUUGGUUUAAAUUAUAAAAAAAAUUGAGAAAUGAAAACUAAAUCAAACGAAUAAAAUAUAAUUAGUUUGAUUUUUUUCAAAAAUACAGUCUAACUUGUACUUGAGAAUUUACUUAGGAGUUCCAUAUGAAAAAUAUAAUAAAAUAUUUAAUGUAAUUUUUAAAUUUAGAGAAAUAUUUUGCAUGCAAAGUAUGACUUAAGUCGUAAAAAACAUUUAAAGCAAUGUAAUUGCUUUGAAGUAGUGAUUAAAAUAUGGAAAAAAGAGAUUCUGUGGGCAUAUGUAAGGGGUUUUGGUAUUAUGGCGAUAUAAUAAAUUAGCACUUGCUCAACAUUAAUAGUACAAUAUUAAAUAUGUGUCGUUUCUGUAUACUUUAUAAUAUAUAAUAUGGUUUAAGCAAGAAACCUAUUAUAGUGACUGUUUUUAUUCUUAAUGAAAGUUUAAUUGUGAAUACACGUCUUUACAAAGAAAAUUAUUAAAUAAAAUUUAACUUUAAAACAAAAAAACAAAAAAUAGUUAAGAGAGCUGGAAAUCCAACAUUAGUCAAGAUCGACCGAUAUAACCCAAUUCAUUAUAUCCAAAUAAAAAAUUAACCAGACUAAUCAGUGGUCAAAUAUUUAGUAAUACACUAUUAAUUUCGAUUAAAAACUCUAAUCCGACCGAAUAACAAAGAACUCAUGAUAACCAUAUAAAUAGACACCAAUUUCAAGAAACAGGUAAGUCGUCAUUCAGUAUUAAUAGUACCGAGUGUCGAAUACAGAAAUUUCACUUAAGUAUCAGAGUGUCUUUUACAAGUAUCAUCCGAGUUUGGAGUUCGUGAAGACAAGAAGGAAGAGAGUGAAAUGAGAGUACAAAUACCAUUUUAAGGAGAAUGGAAGAGAGGUAGACCGAUCAAUCAAGAAGAAAGACAAUUGUUCUCUUGGUCCCAACUCUGAGAACAUUUUUAAUAUAUAUAUAUAUUAUGGAAAAGAAUUUUUAAAAUUCAAAAAUAUGUUUAAGAAAUCCAAAUCUGAAAAUGUAUUAUGUAAAAGGAUUCUAGAUUUUCAGAUUUUUUUAAGAUAUUUUUAUGAUUUUGUAGGAAUAUUUUCGUCAUUUUAAUGAUAGAUUGGGUGCAGGGAGAAAUUGGUAUGGUGCAAAGAGAAUGUUUCUAAAGAACACGGGCUUGGCCCAGUAUGAUUGAGUUUGGUGAAUAUAAGAUUGGGCCCAGGCCCGUGGGAGGGAGAAAGGAGUACACGGCUUUUUUUCAUUUCUGAAUCACAUUUGAUAGAGAAGUCGUUAGGGUUUUUGGUUGUUAGCAUCAUCGCGCGAGUGUGUGAGUGAGAGAGAAAGAGAGAAGAAUGGAAGCCAUAACAGAGGGAGUGAACAACAUCAACAUCACCGAUUCCUACAAGAAGAAUCGCAUUCAGGUCUCCAACACCAAGAAGCCCCUCUUCUUCUACGUUAAUCUCGCCAAGGUAUAUCAGAUUUUCAAGCUCGUUAGAGUUUCAUUUCAUUUCAUUUCUUUCCUCAUGUUUCAUUUUUCCGUUUCUGCAGAGAUACAUGCAACAGCAUAACGAGGUCGAACUUUCAGCACUAGGAAUGGGUAUUCAAAUCCCUAUCGCCUUAUUUCUCUCUGUUUUGAGUUUUAUUCGUUGAAUUUCGCUGCUGUUGGUUCUAUUGCUUGCUUAUUGAUUUACAAUGUGGAAUCAAUCCUUUCUGUUCAUUCAGGUUGCUGAAUAUAACUCUGUUCUGUUGGAAAUUGUUUAUAAACCAAAGAAUAAUUGCAUUUCAAAAGUCUUGCAUUCGUUGAACAGAACAUUACUCUUGGAAACAGACAUAAAUUGAUUAGGUUUCACUGGCUGAACUUUUGAAUUCCUUCAGUCUUGUUGUUUGAUUCAGGCCUUUCGUAUUUUCCUCUGAAUUAAACUUUCUGUACUGUGAUGCUGGUGUUAAACUUUCUAUAUAUGUACUUAUGCUCAGUUUUAAAGCAUCAUAUCACUGGCCUUCUAUGCUCCGAUGCCUCGUGAAAUUCCAGAUAAGUCGUAGGUUUGUUUGCUUUGCUGACCCCAUGGUAUCCUUGGGCUAGGCCUAGGAGUAAGAACUGAAGUGUGUAUAAUCUGACUUUGUCAAAUUGGACAAGCUAAUUUUUGACGUAGCUGUAUUUUGGAGGUUUGUCCUUGACUGAUGAUUAACUUCGUGAGAGUUACCUACAUGGGCAUUUCGUCCAGUUUGGGUUUGAAGUAUAAUCCAUUACAUAGAUAUGAAAAAAUGGCGUGUACGUCGUGUAAGAUGAAAAUUCUAUUGCAGUUAUUAAUAUUAUAAUUCGAACUUACUAAUAUUAGAAAUAUAAAUGGUAAUAAAAUCAAAGGUAUUAAUAAUAAGUUAGAGUUUACCCAGGCAAUCAAUGUCAAUCUAGGAGCAAUAAGAUGUACGGUUGAAGUCGAAAAAUGAAAGUUGGUUAUGAAAUUAAUAGAAAAAUAGCAUAAUGAGUUAGAUAAAAUUAGGCUAAUUCGAAGUGGAAAGUUGAAAGGAAGAAGAAUGGUACAUAGAAAAAAACAAUAGACUGGUAAAGUGUGAAGGAACAGAAAAAUUACAGUCUUAUGUGUAAUGUUUAAGGCAGAAGGGUUUCAAAAGCUAUUAUGUUCUCAUAGCAAAAAAUGCAUAGAAAAUUAGGGAGAAAUCACAAAUUUACCCGAAGAAUAUACCUAAACUAUGUUGUUUUAGGGUUAACAAUUUGGUUUUUGAAGCCUAUAUCUUAGUAACAUUGAUAUAGCAUUCAAAUAGCUGCUAUGCUCCACUGUAGUGUGCCAUUGUCUUUUAUCAUCUGUUAUACUGGGAGAAAACUGUUGCAACAGUCUGAUAAGUAUAUUUCAAUAAUGGAAUGUUAGAUAGAGUAACUCAUAAAAUUUUAUAAUUGAGAGGCAAUAUUUUUAUGUUGCUAUCAUGUUGUUCCCUUAAUUAGUAGAUUACAAUGCAAUGCUUUUUAUGAGACUUUCUACUCCUCUUUUUUCUAUUCUCUUUCCUUGAUUCCAAUCUUAAUAUGAUUUCGGAUUUUUCAACCCGUUUUUUUUUGUUUUGCAGCUAUUGCCACAGUGGUAACUGUUGCUGAAAUUUUGAAAAACAACGGACUUGCUGUUGAGAAGAGUGAGAUUCUAUUUUUUCCCAUUUCUUUCCUGUGAAAUCCCUUCCCUUCUUGUCACCUCUAUCAGAUUCUUCAGUGCACAAAUAAUCUAAUCUAAUUUGUUAAUGACGCAAUCUUCAUGCAGAAAUCACGACAUCAACUGUUGAUAUAAAGGACGAUUCUAGAGGUAGACCUGUUCAAAAGGCCAAGGUAAGUCUAGAAACAAAUUUGUGUUCACUCUAGAAUGUUUUCUUGGAGCUUGUUUGGCCUUGAUGUGUGUGUGAUUCCUACCCAUAGUUUUGGAAUCUGCUUUACAACUAGCCUAAGUUUUUGCAUUUCAUAACUCGUUUUAGAUUGAAAUAGUACUUGGGAAGACAGCAAACUUCGACGAAUUGAUGGCUGCUGCAGCUGCUGAAGACGGUGAAAAUGGGGACGAGCAAAACGCAUAAAUUUCCUAAAAAUUACGCCUGAAUCUGUUGAAGAAAUGUACCGCUUCGUAAUUUGCGUUUUUAUUGUGGCGAGGUAGAGGACACGUCUUUAUAGACUGACCUGCUAUAUUGAACAACAAAAUUCCUUGUUUCUUUUCUCUAUAAAAUAGGCAUUUCUUAAUUUCAUUUUUUGCUUCGUUUUAUGUAUCAAUUCUAGUGCUCUAAUCUCUAUGAAUUUGUCAAUCUAUGUCAAUUGCAGCUCAACCUUACAUUUCCUCCCUUAUUUCAGCAACACAAUCUAAUUAAAAAAACUUGUAUUAAAUUGAUGAAAUACACUUCUAAACAAUAUUUCGGUGGAAACUGAAAAGUAUUAUGAAAAGGGUCUAUUUAAAUGAUAAUAUUCUAAACUAAGAAAUUUGUCUGUGUCUGACAUAUGUGUCAGACACUAAUAUUUCUAUGACACUCACACUUGUAGGACGUUCAUAUGUUUAAUUUGUGUUUAAUUUGAAAAAUAUUUAUUGAAUUUUUAAUAAUCAUAAAAAAAAUAUGUUUAAUUUGUGUUUAAUUUGAAAAAUAUUUAUUAAAUUUUUAAUAAUCAUAAAAAAAAUACAUUAAUUUUAUGAAACUUCUAAUACUUGUAUGAUAUUUAUAGGACAUGUAUUCAUAUGUUUAAUUUGAAAAAUAUUUGUUGAAUUUUUAAUAAUCAUAAAAAAAUUCAUUAAUUUUAUGAAAUUUCAGUAUAAAUUUUUAUUAUGAUUAUAAAAAUAAAAAAUAAAUAUUUUUGAAUUAUAUGAUUAUAAAAAUAAGAAAUAAAUAUUUUUGAAUUUUUUUUUUUAAACAUAUUGUAGAUAAAACUUUAUUAUCAAUUUAUAACAUUUAUAAUUAUAUAAUUAUAAAGAAAUCAACGUAUAAAUUUUGUCAUGCUCGUUUUAUACAUUAAUAUUUAAAAGUUAGAUUCUAACAUUAAUAUGUUUGAUCGGUCAAAAUAUUUAUUUAAACCUUUUGGAAUAAAUAAUCUAAGAGGAGUGAUAAAGGUUUUUAAAUAAAUAACUUAAUUACCCACCACAUUGAAUAAUUUAAUAUUAUUAAAUUGUUUAAUAGAAGUAAUACAAUAUUUAUCGUAAAACAUUUGUCAUAAAACGAAAAUAAUUGUGAAACAUAAUUAAAAGUUAUAUCAUUGUUUUAUGUUUUUUUAAAAAUUUUAUAUUAUUCUACCAAAUGCAUUCAUAAUUUUAAUCCAUAAAAAUUCAUUUAAUUUUUUUUUCUCACCAUGUUUCACAAUUACAUAUUUAAACCAUUUUCUUUCAAUAAUUAUCUAUCUAUCAAUAAAUUAAAUCGUUUUUAUUAUUUAACCUUAUACCAAAUUAUUUUUAACCACCAUUUUUUUUACAUACCAGAGGUUAAGUUUUCCUUUUACUGUUCUGCUUAUAAAUUUUUUAAUUUAAACUUUAAUUAAGAAAAACCAAUUUUAAACUUUAAAUGGAAAAAUAUUUUCACACGCGCGAGUGAUAUUUAGCAAAAUUUAAUAUCGAGUUCCAUAUUAUUUGUAAAAAGCCUUAAUUUUCUUGUAUUUGAUAAUCUACAACAAAAUUUAAAUGAGUUUCUUUACUUGUUUUUAUCACAUUAGUUCUAUAGUGAUUGUAUAUUAAAAAAUUCAUUGAACUAGUGUUAGUUGUGAGUUUUUAAAAAUGAAUAAUACUUUUUAUAUAACACAUUUUAAAUCAUCAUCAGAUAAAAAAAAUAGAGUUAAAUCUUUUAGUAAGACCCACAUAAAAAUUUAUUCAAUACAUGAUACAAAAUAUUGGAAAGUAAUAUAAAAAAGUGUAUUUUAUGAGCUUAUACUAUUAUAGAAGUUAAAGCAUGUGAAUAGAAAAUCAAACUUCAUUACCAUGUAUCAUAGAGUGACAUAGAAUAUUGAAGGUAUAACAGAUCUUUCACCAUAAAUUAAAUUAAGAACGAGAUUAAGAGUUUAAUCUUAGCUAGAAAAAAGAGAUUAUUUAUUACAUAUAUAAGAUGAUGGAGAAAGCAUUGCGAUUAUUGUUGUAUUAGCAUAAUAUGGCAAUGCUAACUAUAAGUACUUCCCCAGUAUGAUUUAUCUUCUUGUCUUAUCUGCACAAACCACAACCUUUUAAGCUUCUAAAAUAUAAACAUUAAUUCCAAAAAAAAAAAAGAAA